UUAUAGUUUCUUCAUCCGCCGUAGCCAAACAAGUCCUCCGCACCCACGACCAAUUCUUCUGCAACCGAACUAUCCCAGAUGCAGUCCAAGCCUGCAAGCAUGCCAAGUAUGGCAUGCCCUGGCUGACGGUUUCCUCCACGUGGAGAAACCUCCGCAAAAUAUGCAACUCCCAUCUUUUCGCGGCCAAAGUUCUCGACGCCAAUCAGGCCAACCGUCACCUAAAAGUGCAGGAGCUCAUAGCUGACGUUAAGGAAAGCGUUGUGAAAGGUAAGGCGGUUGAAGUUGGAAGGGCUGCUUUCAAAACUACGCUCAAUUUGAUGUCACGGACUGUGUUCUCUGUGGAUUUAGCGGACCCGAACAGUGAGAGGGCUAGAGAGUUCAAGGAGUUGGUGUGGAGUAUUAUGGAGGAGGCUGGGAAGCCAAACUUGGCUGACUAUUUUCGUGUGCUUAAGAAGAUUGAUCCCAUGGGGAUACGGCGCCGUUUGGGCAAGCACUUCCAGAAGAUGAUUGAUCUUUUUGACCGCAUGAUCGUCCAAAGGUUAGAAUCAAGGAAGUCACGUGAUUAUGUCACCGGGAAUGAUAUGUUGGAUACUCUUAUAAACAUGAGCGAAGAGAAAAAUGAGGAUAUGGACAUGGCUGAAACUCAACAUUUGUUUCUGGUUAGUUGCUACUCUAGCUCUAUUAAUUAAUUGAUAAUUAAAUUGCUUAGAUAUUAUAAUGAUAACUUAUUAACGUAACUUAUUGCUAGAUUGUGUACCAUCUUAAUUGAUCAUUUUAAAAUUAUGACUAUGGUCACUUUUAUUUUUGUUGAGAUGGUAUAAGUACGUUAAUCCUACACUGAUCAAGGUUUUGUGUUCGAUCCCCUUAUAUUGCUUUUAUUAAACAAACUAUUAUAAUUUUUUUUCUCAUUAUAUGUCUAUGUGCGCAUAUUAAUUUGACUAAUUAACUUUUUGGUGAAUUAGGAUUUAUUUGGUGCGGGCACAGAAACAACUUCAGCCACAUUAGAAUGGGCAAUGGCUGAGCUAUUACGCAACCCUGAAAAGCUAUCAAAAGCUCAAGAGGAGUUGAAACAGGUCGUUGGCAAAGGAAAACCAGUGGAGGAAUCAGACAUCACUCGGCUCCCUUACUUACAAGCCAUAAUCAAAGAGACCUUCCGACUGCACCCAGUUGUCCCACUUCUUCUCCCUCGCAGAGCCCAAGCAGACAUAGAAAUCUGCGGUUACAUUGUACCAAAGGGUGCACAAGUGCUGGUCAACGCAUGGGCCAUCGGCAGAGACCCCAGCAUUUGGGACAACCCUACCUCAUUUAUCCCUGAAAGGUUUUUGGGAUUGGAUAUCGACGUUACUGGCCAGAACUUUGAGCUUAUUCCGUUUGGUGGUGGGAGGAGAAUAUGUCCUGGGUUGCCUUUGGCGAUGAGAAUGUUGAAUUUGAUGUUGGGUUCGCUUAUUAACUCGUUUGAUAAUUGGAAGCUUGAAGAUGGAGUUGUGCCAGAAAAAAUGACCAUGGAUGAGAAGUUCGGCCUCACUUUACAAAUGGCUCAUCCUGUGAUAGCUGUGCCCAUCAAGUAUUAGGAGAACCAAACCUAGCUAGCUAUGGUUUCUAUAAUAAAUAGAUUUAUGUUUUUAUUAGGGAGUUAUAAUAAUUAAUCCUGCUAAUGAUAGGAAAUGGUCAGUUGUCAGUUAUGUUGUUAUUAGGCCAUAACUCCAUAUUUAUGUGUAUGAUAAUGGCUUGUUCUAAUUGUAGAUUGUUCUCUACAUAUUUAUAUAUUUUAUAAUGAUCAUAUGAAUGACUAAGGAGAAAAUAGUUUCUAUAUGGAAUAUGGUAUCAGAGCUAAUGGCUAACGCCGAUUAGCGAUUCUCCAGUUGCCAACAUUGAGAGUUGUUGGCGCUCCUCACUCCUCACCCCUCACCCGUAAGGGUGUUUGUUUAUGUUUAGUGCUUUUUCCUCCCCUCUUCUCAAAGAUGAAUAUGUUUUUUUCUUUCCAUGUUAGAGAUUUUUUUUGUAUUGUUUCAUCCUCGGUUAUAUUAACUGCGGGCAUCGGCGGCUUCUUUCUUUUUGUUGUGCCUGAUAAAAUUGACCUUAGAUGGCUUCAUUUUCUUCAAAUCACCCCAGUUGCCUUUCCCAAUCUGUCUUGAUGAGAUUGGACAAAUAACUUUAAUGGACCAAUAUGCGCAACCCAUGUAGAAAGCCAUAUCUAUUAUAGGGUGGACUCCUAUCCUGGUGUAUGAUUUUUGUUUUGUAAAAUCACCCCAGUUGCCCUUCAAAAUGAUGGUAGAUUGACCUUGCGAAGGCUAUAUCUAAAGGAAAAGCAAACAGAGCCAUGCCACUAGAACACAGAUUUUUGUUUUGUAAAUUUUUUAUUAAGUUAUUCGGUGUUGAUUUUUCAAUUUAAAAAAUGUAUUUGGAAAUCUUGUUGGCUCAAUCACUUUUCUUUCUUUGUUUCUAAUCUUCUAGAUUUGGGAGGGCCUACUUCGGCAACGGGUGAGAAAUGGUGUUAGAAGGGGAUGGAAAAGUCGUUGAAAAAUUAGGUUGGUUUUAUUUAUAUAUUUUUUAUUUAUAGUGAAAUGAUGGAAAUGGAAGCAUGUGAUUUGAUUUAACGGAAAUUUUUAAAGGAGUUUGAUGUAGGUGGUAAAUAUUCCAACACCUUAAAUAAUUCAAGUGGUUACUAGAAAAAAUUAAAAAUUCAUGUAGUAAUCCCACACGCACCUAGAAGUUCGGAUGAUAUUUAUGUAAAUUCCCCAUUAAGGUAAAUAGAGAGCUUGUAAAAGCUUCCACUUCUAACAAAUAAGUCCGGACCCAAAUUGUUCUCGAAUGUCUUUGCCUAAGUUUGUCUCUUAGCUUAGAGGAUAUAUAUAAACAACUUAAAAGAGUUAGUCUUGAAAAGAUAUUUUCAUGCUUUCUCGAUAAGUCUCAACAAUCGUGCCAAAAAUUAAUUAAGAGUUAGGCGAGAGAUGGAUUUCUUGUGUUUGCAUGCAAAUGUGUCUUAUGGUUGCCUGGAUUUCUUGUGGGGAGCUGGGAGGAGAAAGGGAUGGAGAGAAAGAGAGGGGGUUUAUUUAUUUAUUUAUUAUAAAUAUUUUUUUAAUGUUAUUUUAUUUUUAUUAUAUAAUUAAUUUAUUAUUUUUUUAAAAAAACGGCGGGUCCUAUAGUGGACUCGUCAUCAAUUACACUAAACGGUCAACUUAACAGAAGGUUUAAAUUGGUCAAAUUUGAAAAUUAUCAAGUGUAAAUUGUUGAAAUUGAAACUCGAGAGCCUAUAUUGAGAAUGAUCCUAAAUCUUCAGGAAGUCUUUUGACGUUAGUCGUAAUAUAUAUUUGUAAUUCCAUGAGUGUUUCAUGUUGCAUGCUCCGCGGGUCCUUUUCAAAAAAAUAAGCCAUGUGAACAAGAGUGAAUUUAGCUGAAGACAUGUCAUGUCUUCUGUUCAUAGAAAAACAACAAAGAAACUUUCUUUCCACAAAUGCAUGAGUGUUUUGUCUCCAUGCGUCAGGCAUCUCAAUUUUUAAAAUUGAUUGGUAAUAAGAAUAUAUCUCAGAGCAUUCACAAUGGUAGCAUGUAAAAGAGGGUGUAUAUCAAAUUUACAUUUUCUGUCGCCGGAAUCAGCUCCAAUGGUCGUAUGUAAAUGCAUUCUCAGGCUGAGAUGUAAAAAAAGAUGGAAGUUUACAUCUUUUUUCACAUCCUAGAAGCGGGUUCCACGACUGAUAAAAGAGGAGAGAGGAGAAAGAAGAGCAGCAAAAUUUCUGGAAUUAUGUGCCCCACACUCGCGAAUACAACUUCAGUCGCCCAACAUAACUUAGUUUGGGCCCCACUUGUGGCUUAGUGCACUUGAUUUAAUGGCAUUUGAAUUGGUGCUCCAACAGAUAAAACAUCAUACGACUCUAAUUUUUUACAAACCCCAAAAUGAUUAAUCUAAAGGCCCAAACAAUUUCUAAACAAACCCCAAAACCAUCUAAUUGUCUAAAAUUGAUGCAAAAAAAGGCCUAAUUUUUUCUUCUUCUAAUUUUCUAUAUAUAAGCACAACCUUUGUUCACAAAAAUACCACUCUUUAUAACUUAUUCAAAUUUAAAUAUUUUUAGGUUUAUUUUUUUAGAAAAAUAAAUAAAUCUAACACACACAAAAUUAAUUUCAAAAUGUUAACACACACACAAAAAAUAACACAAAAUCGAAUUAACACAAGAAAACCAAAUAUACAUCUUUAUAUUUACAUCUUCCCCAUUGGAGCAAAAAUUACAUAUACAUCCCCCAGAGAUGUAAAGAGGAUGUAAAAGUGGUUUUACACCCCCAAAAAUACAACCCCCCACUGUGGAUGCUCUAACAAGGCAUGAGCUCCUACUGGGAAAAAAAAAUUCAAUAGGGCCAAUCAUUAGUUAUUUUGAAUUCUAGCUACCCAUUCUUUGACUCACCUGCAUAUAUAUAGGGGAAUGCUAGCAACCUUCUCUCUAAUCUUCUCUUUUGGACUUUCUCCCUUUUUCUUAUGACAUGUGUCACUUUCUUUACACUAAAAACAAUGUAAUUAAUGCAUCAAAUAAGAUAACAUUUGUUUCCAAAUUUGCCCUUAUUUUUUGUAUUGAUUUUAAUGUUUCCUUAAAUUUAUUAUCCAAAUUUGUUACAACUUUCUUAUCACCUUGUUAAAAAAUUAAAUAAGAAAAAAUAUUAGUUUUUUUUUUUCCUUUUUUGAAAGACUCCAACAAAUAAGACUUACCUAAUUAAUGGUUUAGAAAAAAAUAUUACCGAAUUAAUGGUUUGAAAAUGCAAUCAAUGAACUUCCUUUUAAAACAGACUUCCUUAGAAGGACGACUUUUGUCCGUAUGAAAAAAAAGAUAUAUCUUUUGUGGAUUUUUUUAAGGUCAUUAUUGUGUUUAAAAAAAAAAGUUUUUCCUCUAAAAAAAAUAGACAUUUUCUUUUUUAAAAAACAGAAUUUUUUAAUAUUUUAAUAUUUUUUACAUAUGGUAAGAGAGUUGCAAAAAAAAAAUUGGAUAAAUUGAAGGACAAUACAUUUAAUAAGGGUAAACUUGAAAAACAAAAGGCGGUUUGUUCGAUGUAUUAAUGUCAUUAUUUUAAGUGUAUGGGAAGUGACACAUGUCAUGAGGAAAAGGAAGAAGGUCCAAAAGAGAAGGUUGGAGAGAAGGUUACUAGCAUUCCGCAUCAUUCAAUGAAACAAACUCUAACAGUUAGUUCUUUCUCAUGUGAAAUUUUUUACAUUUCUCACUUCUUCACAUGCACACUGCCUUUUCUUAAUUGGUCUGUCAAUUUUCUAUUAUGUAUGAACUUAUUAAUGUGUAUGAGUUCCUAUCGUGUAUUGGGGGAACAAACAAAAAGGAAGACAGAUUAGUCAAUGAAAUAAUAUAUGGAAUUUCCAUUCUUUCUUUAUGUAAUUUUCAUAUUAAAUGACGAAGAAAAUUCUAGAGGAAGACAGAUUAGUCAAUGAAAUCAUGUAUGGAAUUUUCGUUCUUUCUUUAUGUGAUUUUCAUAUUAAACGACGAAGAAAAUUCUAGAGGAAGACAGAUUAGUCAAUGAAAUAAAUUAUGGAAUUUCCGCUCUUUCUUUAUAUAAUUUUCAUAUUAAAUGACGAAGAAAAUUCUAGAGGAAGACCGAUUAGUCAAUGAAAUAAUGUAUGAAAUUUUUGCUCUAGGAAGACAAAUUAGUCAAUGAAAUAAUGUAUGCAAUUUCCUCUCUUUCUUUAUGUAAUUUUCAUAUUAAAUGACGAAGAAAAUUCUAAAGGUAGACUUAUCAGAAAAGGAUAUACAUUUGCUCAUAAAUGAAAAAGUAAAAUACAUGUCCUCCUCCUUUGUUCUGGAGAAUGGGACAAAAGUGGGUGGUUAUAAGACUUUGAGGAAGGCUUUUACCAAUCAAUCAAUGAAGACUAGAGGAAGACUUAAAUACCAACGAAUGGCUCCUUUUUUGGUUAGGGGAACGUGUGUGUGGGUGUUAAAAUUCAUUGGAGAAAGACUAGAGGACUAUACCACAUCAUGUGGUAGAUAAUGUGUCAAUUUGCAAAUAGCUUUAGUAGCAAGUGGACUAUACUAGCCACCUACAACUUUAAGCCUGAUCAUUCAGAUAAUGCUUGUAUCUUCUGUUUUACUGCGGUUGCUAGCACAAAGAAAGCCGAUGCUUUCGUUGCCUCUUCUACCUCCACGCGGCAUUGCUCUGUCGGGCUUUCUCCUAUUGCAGAUAAUUCCCCACUACUGCCUUCGGUAGGAGUAUGGGCUGUGUCUCAAUUAGUGUGGUUGAUCUUCCGAAUUGCCUUAGUUAGCUUUGCCUUACCAACUACCUAAUUAGACACAAGGCCUCUCCUCGGAGAGAAAGUUACUAGCAGAACUGUAUAAAACUUUUAACAGUUGUCACAUAUGAUUAGGUGUGUUAAACCCCUUUCAACCUUAACUCUAGAAUUACACAGAGUAACAAGUAUUAUUUAUUGAAUUAUCGAAACAGUACAAUAUUCUCAACAACUCAUUCUUGAUACAAUAAUUGCCUAAUAUAGCUGUAAGCUCUCAUUAACCAAUUAUGUUAGAAACUAAUAGUCCUGAUCUCUUGGACCAUAGGGGUCCAAGAAAUUUGUGGUCACUCACCGUUGGAUGUAAAUUCAACGGUUCACUCACUCUUGCACUCAUUUUAAUAAACUUUUUUAUACCAUUAGAUUAAUAUCCAACGGUGGGUGACCACAAUCUCUUGGACUCCUGUGGUCCAAGAGAUCGGGACUGUAGAAACUAAUUUCUUAACUAAUCAAUUAAUAAACUGACUAUGCCAGGUCAUCACUAAUCCAGCUCAACAAUGAUGAAGGUUCCUAACAAUGUGAUCAGCAGAUGUGACAUAGUGUUAUUGAUUAAAAUAUAGCCAUCCCUACCACCUCAUGUAAAUCCCACAAGACUCCCAUUCAAGGAGGGAAAGAAAGUAGGGGGAAUGCUAGCAACCUUCUCUCCAACCUUCUCCCUUUUUCUCAUGACAUGUGGAUUUUUUUAAGGUCAUUACUGUGUUUUUUUUAUAACAAAAAAAAAAAAAAAACGUUUUCCUCUAUAAAAAAAAAAAAAGAAGACAUUUUCUUCAAAAAAAAAAAUUUUUUGUUUAAAAUUUUUCACAUAUGGUAAGAGAGUUGUAAGAAAAAUUGGAUAAAUUGAAGGACAAUACAUUUAAUAUGGGUAAACUUGGAAAACAAAAGAUGGUUUGUUUGAUGUAUUAAUGUCAUUAUUUUAAGUGUAUGAGAAGUGACACAAUGUCGUGAGAAAAAAGAAGAAGGUCCAAAAGAGAAGAUUUAAGAGAAGAUUACUAGCAUUCCUCAUAUAUAUAUAUGUACUUUUUUUGAUGAGAAAAGUCCCUUCGAGUGGACAGGAAAUUGUACUUUUUUUGUCUUUUCGCAUUUUUCUUUUCAUGUUCAAGUAGUUUUGGACCAUCCUCUUUCAAAGCAGACAUGUGCAGUUGCAAAAGACCAUCGUGCAUGUUUAUGGGAAAAAACAAAACCUCUAGCCCACUUGGCUAAAAAUUAUUGUAUGUAUGUCAUUUACCUUCUUUUUUUUUUUUUUUCCUGCAUGUCAUCUACUAUUUUACGUGAUAUGUGCAUCUGUGAGAAUGAUAGCUCUCAAACGCUAGGCACCACGAGUGAUAAAUUAUUUUGAUUAUAGAAUUUAUAGUUAAAUGAUUUUAACUAUGUGGAAUUUUUUAGACCAAAACUCGAUUUAUUCAAAUUAUAAUAGUUAAGUUUAACAACUUUUGUGCAAUUAGAACCAGAGAGAGAAUGGAUUUCUUGAGUUUUUGUAUCAUCAUGCUAAACCUUUUCUUUGUGUUGUUGUUCUCAAUUAUUCAAGCUCUGCAAAGCAAAGCCAAUCCCAAAAGGCAUCUUCUCCCACCUGGACCAAAGCCAUUUCCCUUUAUUGGCAAUCUUCUAGAGCUUGGCAACAAACCCCAUCUGUCUCUCACCAAGCUUUCUCAAAUCGGCCAAUAUUCAUAUUGGGGAUUCCCCAUCCCCACCUUCAAUGGGGAAUGGGUUCCCCAUCUAGCCCCACCUUUUGAGAUUGGCCUUGCUUUGCAGAGCUUGAAUAAUUGAGAACAACAACGCAAAGAAAGAUGACACUAGGUAUGUCAGAGGUCGUAUACUCAAGAAAGAUGGCACCAGGUAUGAUUUUACGUAUUUCAGAUUGUGUGAAAGAUUUUGAACAUGUAUGUUAAAGAAAUCUAACAGUUGGUAUUAGAGCCAGGUUGUUUGCACAAACUAAAAUCGUUUUUCAAGCAUGCCUAUUACGAUUUCUUAUAUGUUUAUGCCAUGAUGAGUUUUUGGUGAUGUUCAAAAUUUGAAGAUGGAUUAAACAUAUUUUCUAAAUAUCAAGAAUAUUAAAGAAUCUGGAAAAGCAUGUUUUAAUUUGAUUUUCAUAUCUUCAAAACUUUAAACCCAUUUUUGACCUACCCGAUGACCUUAAAACCCCAAAAAUGACCAUAUGUAAUAGCACAGCUGUGAGUUGUGUUAAUUAGGUCAUUCCCUAUUCAGAAAGGUAUUUUGUGUAAGAUCCCACAUCAACCAACGGAGAGGGGGUGAUGUGCCUUAUAUGUGCACACCCGCAUCCAUCUAGCACGAGACCUUUUGGGAGCUCACUGGCUUCAGAGUCGCAGGAACUCCGAAGUUAAGCGAGUUAGGAGAUAGAGUAAUUCCAUGAUGGGUGACCCACUGAGAAGUUGCUCGUGAGCUCCCAGAAACAAAACCGUGCCGGCAGAGAGGGGGGCCCAAAGCUGACAAUAUCGUGCUACGGCGGAGCCGAUCCCGGGAUGUGACAAUUUGGUAUCAGAGCCACUCUGCCGUGUGGUACGAGUGUGCCAACAAGGACGUCGGGCCCUUAAAGGGGGUGGAUUGUAAGAUCCCACAUCAACCAACAGAGAGGGGGUGAUGUGCCUUAUAUGUGCACACCCGCAUCCCUCUAGCACGAGGCCUUUUGGGAGCUCACUGGCUUCGGAGUCGUAGGAACUCCGAAGUUAAGCGAGUUGGGGGCUAGAGCAAUUCCAGGAUGGGUGACCCACUGGGAAGUUACUCGUGAGCUCCCAGAAACAAAACCGUGCGAGCAGAGAGGGGGGCCCAAAGCGGACAAUAUCGUGCUACGGCGGAGCCGAUCCCGGAAUGUGACAGAAACAAAUCCUUAGCACAUGAGUUUGUUGUAUUAUUAGAUACUAAUCAUCCGGCACACAUACUAUGCAUGAGUAGAGAAUAAAUAUCCCUCAUUACAUUAACUUUUUAGUUGUGGGUCAAAUCCAGAUCUUCCGUUUUCUUCUCUACUCUAUAUAUAUAUAUAUUUUUUUUUUUUGCCAAAAUUAGGAAGGAGAAAAUGUUUGCUCACACACACACUACAUAUCAAGGUGGUACGGAAAAUAUAACCUGAGACCACUAUUCUACACAUCAUUGCCCAUUUUCAUUGGGCUAAACUUCAUUGAUCAUUGUCCUAUGGAGCAACUUCAACUGGUAGUGCAGGGGCAAUUUGGUCCAUAAAUAAUAAUAAAAACCAGUAAUUUUAUUUUUAUUUUUAAAAGUUUAACUUUCAAAAUACAAAUAUAAUUUUUUUAAUCCUUUUAAAAGUAAACAAUACAAUUUAUAUACAUACAUAUAUAUAUAUAUAUAUAAUCAUUCCUUUCUCACUCUUGUCUUUCACAAAGUCCCAGAUUCAUCUUCAAGUUGGAAUCUAGGCAAGCACUUCGUCGUUAACCAUCACCACCACUUCUAGGUAUUCGUGCUACAACAACCAUCACAGUCACUUCAUCAGCUGCGGUCUUACCUUUUGAAGGCCCUAGGUCUUACAGCAAAGGUGGAAUAGGUUGAUAGUACUGAUGUUCUUGAGGGCAUGCUUGUUAGAGAAAACAUAUUCAAAUGUAAAGAAUUGUAAUGAAAAGGAGGCUCUUUUUGUGAUUGUUGGCUUGUUGAGUUGAGUUGGAAAUUCAAGUGAAGGGAUUUUAUAGGACAAAAAAUGGGAUAUUUAGGCCCCGUUCGGUUAAGUUUUAAGGGGUUGUUUUCAUUUUCAGAGAACAAAAAUGAGGUAAGAACAUGUUCGAUGGCCCAAAAGCAGAAAACACUGAGAAUGUUUUCAUAAAAUGAAAACAAGUUCACGUGUACUUGUAGAAAACAGAAAAAAGAUGUUUUUAUUCUCACGGGAAACGCUCAAAAUAGGGGGAAGAGAGAGAGAGAGAGAGAGAGAGAGGGUUGCGACCUUCAACUGCAUCAAUUAAGAUAAGGGGAAGAUAGAGGGAGGAGAGGGCUAUCUUUUUCAAGUGGUGGCGCAGCUUAAGGUGACCGGAAUUGGCACUGACGAUGGUGACAGCUACUGGGCAGUUUUCCAGUCAAAAUCUAGCACUAUCUUGAGCCUCGAUUGAUGGGUGGGUUAGGUAGAGGAGGAAGAGAGGAGGAGUUUAAUGGUGAUGGCACCAGUUGACGUGACUGGACGACGAAGAAUCGCCGGUCUGAAAGUGAGAUAGAGCGCAGGGAGAGAGAGAGAGAGAGAGAGAGAGAGAGAGAGAGAGAGAGAGUUAGGGUGAGGGAGGGAAGAGGAAGAAAGAAAGGAGGAGGAGAAAACAGAAAAAGAAAGGGAAAAAAUUGAAAAAAUAAAAAAUAAAAGAAAUAAAUAUAGUUUUUAUUUAAAAAUAAUAAUAUAAUGUUAAAUUAUACAUUUAAAAAAAAUCUUUUUAGAACAUAAAUUAGCAAAAAUACACUUGAAAAAUAACUCAUAUGUUAUUAUUUUCAAAUUGUACUACAAGACACAUUUUCAUUAUUUUUAUUUUCUGAAGAUGUUUUCUAAUUAAUCUACCAUACGCAUUUUCAAUUCCUGAAAAUGCAAAUUCGUUUUCUUAUUUUCAUCCUCUAAAAAUAUUUUGUCAAAACAUUCUCCAAAAAUGUUAUCGAAUGGGCCCUAGCUUCCACUUCAAGCUGUUUGAGUAGAUAUACUAAAGUUGAUGCUUAAAAUAUUAGGCUUUCCCCAAACUUUUGAAACCUGGUCAAUGUUCGGAUGAGAGGCAAGCUUCUGAAGCAAUUUUCAAAAGGAAUUUAGGUAUUUUAUUUAUGACAAAAAGUCAAUUUUUUUGAUUCCUAUGGUUUAUUAUUUUUACUAUUAAGGUCCUUAUUUUUAAAAUUUGAUAAUUUUUGUUCUUGUGGUUUCAAUUUGAAGCAAUUUAAGGACAAUCCUCAAUUUGUGUCAAAUUUUUUUUUUUUAAAAAAAAAAAACUUCAACUAGUUUGGGAACGUUGGGAAAUGAGGUUUGGUUACUCAUGUUUGGUUACUGCAGUAAUUAGGAAUGAAAAGUUAUCAAGGUAUGAAAUUCCCCAUACAUUGGAAGUCCAUAUCCAUGAGUCCAUAAUUACAUUCCCAAGUAUCACUACUACGUUUUAAUAUUUGUGCAACGAACAAGAAUUCGUCGUGCAAAAUGCACUACGGCGACGGAAAAAAUUAGGGAGAUUCACUAUUAUACCCAAUACAUGGGCCCAAAUUAUAAAAAUACCAUAUAUGAAAUGGACUUUAGAAACACACCCAAAGCCUGUUUACAACAUAACAAAGAGGCUUUAACUUCUUAUAAAUUGCAAAACUGCCAUCAAUUUCUUAAAACAAGCCCAACCCGAAAAUCUCAUAAAAAUACCCAAAAUACUCAAUAGGGCAUCAAAGUAAUUUAAUAAUUAAUAUUAAAUUCAAUAAGGCCAGCUGUCAUUUUUUGGGUUUGUUUAUAGAAAUUCAAUAGUGUAGGGUUUAUUUAUAAUAUUAGUGCUAAGAAUGGGUAUAUCACUAAAUAUCUCAAAAAAUUAAUCGUCAUGUAAACCACUGAAAACUGGAGCGUCCAAAAUUUCCGUCGCGCAAAAAGUCUUAGUGCAACAGAAAACUUAUGCGUCGCUCAAAGUGAGGAAGAAAAACGCGCAAAAGAAACUUAGCCCGACGACAUGAUUUAUCGUUGCAUAAGAAAAAAGUGGGAUUUUUUUUUGGCCCAAAAAUACUUGUAUGGGAUUUUUUUUAGCGCCAAACCCUUGCGCGACGGAAAUAUAGUUUGUCACGUAAAGUUUAAUGUCGGUACAUUCUUGUGUGACAGAAAUUGGCUUUCACGUGACGGCGGUUUGCUUUUGGGCGAUGAAAGUUUGUGCGAUGAAUCAAAUUUUGCGUCGCGCAAAAGUGUGAUGUCGACACGUGCUUGAGCGGCGAAUAAGUUAUUUUGUGCGACGAAAAAGUGAUUUUGUGCGACGGAAUUUUUUUUUUUUUGCAAAUGCAGUUUGCGCAACGAAAUCAUGGGUCCGUCGUGCAAAGUCCUUCUUCUUUAUAUCUGUAUUCUACCAUUGCAGAGGCAUAAUGCAAAAAAAAAAAAAAAACAUUUUGCCUCUCUCUGCCGCUGCCUCUGCUGGGAAUUCAGUACGUUCAUUGGGUAAGUAAUUUUUGUCGUUAGUUUAAAAGUAUUAAUGUAAAUUCAUACUAACACUAUUAAUUUUGUUCUCGUUAGGGAUAUUUGUAAUUAGCGUUUGGUAGAGAACGAUUGAGAAGAUAUUUUAUUCGUUUUAUAUAUUUAAAAUGUUAAAUUAAUUACAUUAUAUUAAACUUACUUUGUGAAGUUAUAUUUAUAUUAUGGUAUUAAAUUGUGAGUGACGUAGCACAAUGUGUUGUGAUGUACGAAGUUAAUUGAAAUGAACUUCGUACUUUUAUUUUUAUUUUUAGUAACACUUAGUUUCCCGUUUGAUAUUAGUUGGAUUUCGUGCAUGGAUGCGUAAAGCAUGACUGCGGUCCAAUUAAUUCUUGAAUUGUCCCAUUAUUUGGAUAGUUUGGGAAUGCAUAGUUAUGUCACGUAAUGUACGGCUACAUGAUUAAAUUUUGAUUGUGGAGAUUUUGGUGUUAUCUCUGUACGUUCUUCAAGUGGUACAUAGGUAUUUAUACCUACAGUACACCUCAAGAACUGUAUCGAGAUGCUGUCGAAAUUCAUCCGCGUCGAAAUCUAAUCUCAUGUAGUCGUACAUUACGUGACAUGACUAUGCAUUCCUGAAUGGGAUAGGGCCCUUACCGGAGGCAUAAGGUGACAAUAUGGCUUCGUAUGAAGUUGUUGUGAUUGUUGUGUUGUGAUUGUGGUUUCAGGAAUUGUGAGCAGGAGGUGGAUACAUAACCCGAAUAGAUACACAGACGAAUACUUGGAUGAAAUUGAGGAUUUUAUUGAGUUUGCACGUACACACAACCCGGGUGCAACUAGAAUCCGUUAUCAUUGUAGGAGGAGUAAUAACACGUUGUGGGAGACAAUUGAAAAUGUUGGAUUUCAUUUAGUAAGGAGUGGAAUGAUUGAGACAUAUAACAUUUGGAACCUUCACGGGGAACAAUUAGACCAUGCUUCGUUUUCAAAUGCCACAAGAGUGGACCAUGUUGAACCUAUUAUGGAUCCUAAUGAAGAAGUCAUGGAUCUUAUACACGAUGCUUUUCCAUUUGCAUCGACCAACAUCAAUUAGGAAGGGGAAGAUGACGUGCCUACACCAAUGGACAAUGCAGAGUUUGAACAAUAUAAAAAAUUGUUAAAAAAUGCCAAAAGAGUUAUACUCGGGGUGCGAGAGCUUUUCCGUUCUCACGGCCAUUGUGGAGCUAAUGCAUGAAAAAAUAAAGUAUCGUAUGUCGAACUUGUGUUUCGAUUACUUUUUGGGGGUUUUCAAGAGAAUGCUUCUGACGGACAAUUGUUUGCUGAAAAACCAUAAACACGCACAUAAGGUAUUGAAUGGUCUUGGAUUGGGUUAUGAAAAAAUUCACACUUGCAAAAACAAUUGCAUGUUAUUCUACAAAGAGCAUGAAACAUUGGAUACAUGCCCUAUAUGCAAUGAGUCGAGGUUCAAAAUGACAUCUUAGAAUAGAACGACUAAGAUCCCACAAAAAGUCAUGCGUUAUCUGCCCCUGAAACCUAAGUUCAGCGAUUGUAUAUGUUGACGUAUACUGCCACAAACAUGAGAUGGCAUAAGGAAAAACGGGUAGACGACGAUGUGAUGCGGCAUCCUACAGAUGGGGAGGCAUGGAAAGAGUUCGAUUGAACGUUUCCCGAGUUUGCUGCUGAUCCUGAAAUGUUAGAUUGAGACUUGCCACUGACGGAUUCAAUCCGUAUGGGGUUCUAAACCAACACCACAGCACUUGGCCGAUUUUCGUAGUCACAUAUAAUUUGCCGCCUUGGAAAUGCAUGAAAAAAGAAUACAUGAUGAUGACUGUUUUGAUAACUGAGGAUCUUGGCAAGUCAAUCAAUGUUUACUUAAGGCCACUGGUUGAUGAGUUGAAUGAUUUAUGGACAAACGGUGUGCGCACGUACGAUAAAUCAAGUGGGAUGAUGUUCACUUUGCGGGCAGCAGUUAUGUGGACUGUGAAUGAUUUUCCCGCAUAUGUAAUGGUUUCUGGGUGGAGCAAAAAUGGUUAUAUGGCAUGUCUUGUAUGCACGGAAGAUGUAACUUCUGGUUGGCACGCUGGAAAGGUUUGUUACCUUGGUCAUCGGAGAUGGUUGCCAUGGGACCACGAGUGGCUGAAAAAAGAUAAAGAGUUUGACGGGAACACAUAGCGUCGCCUCAGACCUAGAGAAUUGUUCGGUGAUGAGAUCAUGGAACAGCUUAACAGUUUGGAUUUUGCUCCAUUCGAGAAAACAGUUAGUCGGACCAGACUAUGUUUUUUGAGCUUCCAUAUUGGUCGAAACUAAGAUUGAGGCACAAUCUAGAUGUGAUGCAUGUUGAGAAAAAUGUAUUUGACACAUUGGUGGGUACGAUUCUAGAUAUUGAGGGCAAGACAAAGGACACGAUCAAAGCUCGUCUUGAUUUGGAAAGAAUGGGCAUAUGAAGGGGUUUAUGGAUGAAUAGGGACAGUGAUAAAGGUUGAAGGGAUCUUGCAUUUUUUCUAGGAAACCUAAUGAUAAAAAGAGUUUCUAAAGUUUGUAUCAUCUGUAAAGUUUCUCGAUGGGUUGUAAUAUCGCACGUUGCGUGAGUGUUGACGGGGGUAAAUUUGCUGGACUAAAGAGCCAUGACUGCCAUGUGUUUAUGCAACGCCUACUUCCAGUGGGUAUUCGACACCUAUUGUCGAAAGAUGUAGUGAAGCCAAUCAUGUUGUUUUCCAAAUUUUUUUUCACAACUGACUGCAAAAACGUUGCGAAAGACAGACAUUUAUCAAUUGCACCAUGACAUUGUCCAAGUCCUAUGCAAGUUUGAGAUGAUAUUCCCUCCAGCUUUCUUCACAAGUAUGAUCCACAUAAUGGUUUACUUGCCAGAAGAGGCAUUGCUUGCUGGUCCUGUCAACUAUCGCUGGACGUAUCCAAUAGAAAGGUAUAUAAUCCUUAUCAUUUGUGUAUUCAUCAUUAUCACAUGCUUGCUAAUUUGUAUCAUAUCGUUUUAUUUUGGCAGGCUUCUAGGAGAGAUGAAAAAAAUGUACGCAACAAGGCGUAGCCCGAAUGAUCAAUUAUAGAGGCUUGGGUUCUAUAUGAGUCACUUACUUUCUGUGGAAUGUAUUUAAAAGACGUGGAGAUGGCUUUCAAUCGUCCCCAGCGCAAUAUUGACGGAGGUAUGAGAAAUGAAAAACUUUCUGUUUUUGCCCAAAGCACACGAAACUUUGGAGAUCCUUGAUGAGGAGAGUCAUUUUUCAAAAAUGACAUGGAGGUAUCGUAUUGGUUCAUACUGAACAAUUGUGAUGAGAUAAUGGCAUACUUAGAUGGGCAUGAAGAGAUGAUGAAGCGAGAACAUCCAUCACAUUUGUAUGCUCAAAAACACCAUGAAUUGUUUCCACAAUGGUUUUUGGAUUUUGUAAGUUAUAAGUGUUUUGUAUUUGACAAAUAUAUAUUGUAGUAUUUAAUUUUGUCAAACUAACAUGUGAAUGGUUUUGUAUAAUAUUAGGUGAAUAAGUUGAAAUCAUCGAAUUCCCCCACUUACAGUGAUGAGUUAUAUAACUUGGCGUUGGGCCCGAUUCGUGCUGAAUUGUUCUCGGGUUGUCAUGUUAACGACUUCAAGUUUUUGGGGAUUACAUGAGAUGACAAGUUGUGUACGUAAAACAGCGAUGUCCAUGUCCCAGGUGGAGGCGAAAGUACAGACACUGAUUUCUAUGGCAAACUCACAACUGUCGUGCAAUUGCUUUACAAAGACUGAUACCAAACGAUCAUGUUUAAGUAUCGAUGGUUUGAUACCAAUCCAAAUAGGCCGGGAAGUGUUAAAAUAGACAAUGGCUUACUAUUUGUGAACAUUAACAUAACAUGGUAUGAUGACGACCUUUACAUUUUGGCAAACAUGGCAAUACAGAUUGUGUAUCUAGAUGACCCUAAAGCCGGGAGUGGUUGGAAAGUUUUUCAGAAGAUGGAUCAUAGGAACAUGUAUGCUAUACCAGAACUAGCCUCAACUGACAACGACGUCGACAAUGUGGCUGACCAACAUUUAGAAUCUUCAAUGAAAAAUGAUGCGGAAAUACUUCGAGAUACAAAUGUUAUACAAGAACCGUUUUAGAUACAAUGGGUGUCUUGAAUCGAAAUACCGAUUCUGUCAAUUACAAUUGACCUCGGGGAUUUUCCGCGAUACGAUGUUGUAGUGGGCCCGAACAAUGACGAUCAUGUAAUUAUAGAGGAGGAGGAUUGAGAGACCGAAAGUGAUGAUAGCAACGAUAACGAAAGUUAUUAUAGUUCAAAUGAUGAAUAAUGAAUUUUUUUGUAAUUUUAUUAUGUUAGUGUACAAAUUUUGGCAAACCUAAUAUAUGUGGAGAAAUGAAACAUUGUUAAAUAAAUUGAGCUAUACAAGAAAAUGAGAAAUGAAAAUAAAUUUAGUUAUAAAACAUUGGUAAAUAAAUAUAUCCAAAACCUUUUCAUAAUAAUGUUGAAAAUUAUUUUUACAAAACAUUUUUAAAAAAAAAUGAAAAUGAGAUACAAUUUGACAUAAAUGUGUAUUAGGAGCCAAAACCUUGCGCGACGAAAUCUGCCAUGUCGCGCAUUGUUUGAGCGACGAAAAAUCACUCGUUGUGACUAUGUACCUUGCGCGACCAAAAGAUUUUUUUCGUCGCGUCAAGUUGCAAUUCCGUGCGACAACUUAAUCUUUCGUCAUGUAAAGACAUUUUGCGCCACGCUUUCAGUACUGAUCGCGCCAAUAUAUUUAUUUUAAUGUAAUAUAAUAUAUAUAUUUGAAAUUGAUGAUCGAAUUGAUUCAUUGUAUUCAUAUAGGGUCAAGGAGUGUAGCUGUAAAAAAUCAUCAAAAUCGGAGUUAAAAUAACUGAUAAAUCGUGAAUUUUCAUUUAUAACCGUCGAAAAGUUUUGUCCCGUCACUUGAUCUUUGAAUGUUUGUUUUUUCCGAUUUUUGGCGUAUAUGAUCUCGAAGUAUAAACAAACAAGUUUGAUGGUUGGAUCAUUGAAACUAGUUUUGUGGAAUGCAUAUGCCAUGAAAAUAAUAUAGUCACCAACAAUUAAGAGUUUAUUUAUACUUUCGUCAAAUAUAACGUAAGAUGUUGUGGCAUCCACUAGUGUAAAGAUCUUAAAUUAAAGAUCAAAUUCAGCCAUUGUAUUAAUAUAGGGUCAAGGAGUGUAGCUGCAAAAAAUCAUCAAAAUCGGAGUUAAAAUAAUCGUUAAAUCGUGAAUUUUCAUUUAUAACCGUCGAAAAGUUUUGUCCCAUUACUUAAUCUCUGAAUGUUUUUUUUUUUCGAUUUUUGGCGUAUAUGAUCUCGAAGUAUAAACAAACAAGUUUGACGGUUAGAUUAUUGAAACUAGAUACCAAUUAGAUACAUUUAUACAGAUACAGAAUAAACGGUUCCCGUAAAUAAAUAAACUUUGCGCAAUGAAAAAAAAAUUGGUCCCGAAAAACUUUGAGGGAUGGAAUCUUACGUCACGCAAAAGAUCUUUGAGCGAUGCAAAGACAGUGGGCGUCGCCAACAAACCUUUGAGCGACAACUGGGCAUCGUACGUCGCGUAGUGUUAAGAUUGUCGAGGGUUUAGGGUUCAGGGUUUAGGGUUUAGGGCUUAGGGUUGAUGAUUGCGCGACGAAUAAGAUGUUCAUGCGUUGCGUAAAAUGGGUCACACCUUUCACUUUUUCUCUCUGCCGCAAAGCUCUAAACCCCAAAUUUUGGUGAAUCACAACCUUGCUCGACGGAAGAACAGCCACUUUGUUGCGCAAAGUCUAUAAAAGAAAACCUUGCGCGACGCUUUUGUUUGUUCGUCGCUUAAUAUCGGCCAGGCCCUUCACCUUCUCUCUCUCCCGCUAAACCCUAAAUCCCCAAUUUUGGGGGAAUAACAACCUUGCACGAUGGAAUCUCAGCUAAUUCGUCACGCAAAGUCUAUAAAAGACAACUUUGCGGGACGCUACUGUGCUUUCGUCGAGAAAUAUCGGUUAGACCUUUCACUUUCUCUCACUCGCACUAAACCCUAAAUCCCAAAUUUUGGCAGAAUCACAACCUUGCACGAUGGAAUCUCAGCUAAUUUGUUGCGCAAAAUGGUCAGGCCCUAAACCCUAAACCCCAAAUUUUGAUGGCCACACAACCUUGCGAGACAGUUGCGUUUAUUCGUCGUGCAAUGUAUUGAAAAUUCUGGCGGAAAACAUACCUUGCGCGAUGCCUCAUGGUUUUUUUCGUCGCGCAAGUUCAAUUAAAAAUAUCUUGGGCUACACUUUCCUUUGUUCAUCACGCAAGAUCGAAUAAAUUUUCAGAAACAACACGACUGCCCAGACCCUUCUUCCUUAUUCCUAUUGUUUUGCCCUAACGCUUCUCUCCCUUCGCCGUCCACCGCCUCGCUGUCAGCCACUACUCCGCCGGAAAAAGGACUGGGCUGCCAUCACCUUCGAAGCCCACACCUUCCCUGCCGUCACCGCUACGUCUGCCAACGAUUUUCGCAGAUUAUUCUCCGGCCUUGUUCUCUCUCCUCCAGCCACCAAUUCCGACACCAAAGGUAUGAUUUCUAGACUAUUUUUCCUGCUUUAGCUUAUGGUUGGAUAGGAUUUGGUUAAUUGUUUAUUUUUGGUAUCUCUAAUUUAAACCCUAAGUUUGGCCGGUUUUUGAAUUUAAAUUCCGGCCACUUCCGAUCAUUUUUCGGGUUAGGUUCGAACAAAAGUGGCUCCAAUUGAAGUUUUGAACCUAGGGAGGAACCUUGGCCCUUAGUUUUUAGAAUUUUUCGGCGAUUGUUAUCGCUUUAGACACCCAUGCGCUGCCGGCGCGUGUGGUGCCGUGUGGGAUAACUGUAGCAGUGGGGCAUUGGGUCCCAGUGCAAUCCCCUAGUUGUUACGAGCGCGUAGGUGUGCUUGGAUUUGAAUUUGGUUACCAUUUGAGUCUCGAACGGAUUUCGCCUAUUGUGCAAUUUUUGAGUUUGAUAUGUUCGGACCGUUGGAUCGAACUCAAACUCACAUAUGUUGUACCUUGUAUUUCUAGGAUCGUGUAUGAGUCGACAGAUCAUGGAUCAGAGUCCCGGAUACUUCGAAAUCGCAAACACUAUGUCAUCUAUGCUUUUAAUUAAUUAGUUAAAAUGCUUAAUGAAAUUGUAUGUGCUUAUAAUUAAAUAUUCGUAAAUUUGAUUAAUUUGUAUGUGUAUUAAUGAAAUUUUGCAAAUGUCAAACCUGAUUAGAAGUCGUAAGGCAGAGACGAUUGCACAGAGUUCACCUGCCUCAGCUCAGUCGUCAUCUGCUGCCACUGCUCCAGCACUGAUGGACCACUUGCCAGUUGGUCCCGGGGGGUCCCAGGCCCCUACUUCGUCGGAUUCAUCAGUGGCACAGCCUGUUAGCGCCAAGUGGCGUCACCAGCCAGCUAGCACCACCGACACCACAUUGACCGACGCUACUAGUGCAUCGGGGUCAGCCAAGUAUAGAUUUCCUUCAACUACAGUUCUUUGUGUGUGUGUGUGUGUGUGUGUGUGUGUGUAUUUUAUAGUUAAAUUUGUUAUUUAUUUGACAUUAAUGUCAUAUUUCUUUGCAGCUAAGAAGAGCACCGGAGGGCCGUGUCGGCAGUUGAAGACGACGAAGGUCACUCGGGUGACCAACAGUCGUAUCAACAUCGGAUAUGACGAGCGACAUCGGGCUGCACCGACGGCGGAGUUGCAUAGCUCCUUGGCCCACGACAUUGGUCACGUCGUUCGGACCCAUUGCUCAAUGCAAUGGAAGUCUUAGAAGGCCAUGCCUGACGAGAUCAAGAUAGAGGUGCGUGGCCAGUUGUCGGUAUGUAGCCUACCUUUUAAUUCUUUUCCUUUCAAACUUUAUAUAUUUCUAUUACUUAAUAUAUGUUAUUAAUUUAUUGCAGACAAACUACAACUUAGAGGACCUCGACGACGAGUCGUUGGCGUAUGUCAACAGACUCUUCCCUGAGAGGUACAAGCAGUGGAAGAGCGACUUGCACCACCAUUUUGAGGCAUUUGAUGAUCCGCAAGUCGCUCUUCAGGAGGGUUGUCCGAAGGAGUUUGAGGGGCGGGAGGAUAGUUGGGCGUGGCUCUGUGCUCAUUUUCAAGCGCUCGAUUUUGUGGUAUUUUUUAAUAUUAAUUUCAAAAUUAUUACAUAUUUCUUACUAAUGUUUAUUUAAUUUUUUAUAUUUCAUUUCAAUUUCAACUAAUACGUUUUAUUUUUUGUAUAACAGAAUAAAGCCAAAGUCAAUAAGGGCGAUAGGAAAAAGAAGAGUCUUCUCCACCAUUCAGGUUCUAGGCCAUUCUCAUAUAGGAUGGAUGCAUGGCAGUGGGUAAUAAAAAAAUAGUUUAUAUUUAAUUUUUAAUAUGUCAUUAUUAUUAAUUUAUUUUUUUCGUACUAUUAUUUUUCUUCUCUUGUAAAAUUUCGGGAGGAGGUCCAAAUUCCCAGAGAUCGAUGUCUUUGGUGACGUUUAUGUUUGACCUGGGAAUGAGUUGGCCGAGUCCCUUCAUGUAAGUAUUAUUUAACUUUAAUUCUUAUGUUAUGCAUUCAAGUUUCAGGGUUAUUAUAUGAAUGUUUUAAUUUAUAUUUUAUGUUAUGUUAAACAGAUGACGAUGGUGGAGAGGAGCCAGUUGGUUCUUCAGGAAUCCUCCGCCCAACUUCCUCCCGAUACUCCGAUCGAGUUUAUGGAUCCUCCACGAGAUGCUGGGUUUCAGAUCUUGACGGAGACGUUGGAUCAGACUCUCAGGAGGAGGCCGGGGACAUAAUGUCGAGGGAUGGGGAAUGCCCGACGGAGGGAACCUAGACCCCGUUCAUCAAUGCAGUCAAACAUUCAGGUGACUGCUUUGACAGCAAAGGUGGCCGAGCUUCAGGGUCAGAUGUCAGUGAUUCUGUAGUCCCCCGCGUGGUCCGGCAUUCCAGUACAGCAAUUUGAUACGUCGACCUCCGAGCCCGUCCACCCCGAGCAUGCCCACUAGACCACUGCUCUUGUAGACCCGCAGACCUCCGAGCUGCAUAUGCCUGACGACCAAGUAGAUUUUGGAACAUUAUUUGAUUAGUUUUUUAUUUUCACAAUUAUAUUUUAAACCUUUCUCUUGUAGUAUACAUCUAUUUUAUUUUAUAUAAUUUUUUGUUCUCUUCAAUUCAUUUUUGUAUUGCAAUUUCAUUUUAUGACCAAAAAAAAAAAAACCAAAUUUAUUUUUUUACAAAAUUAAAAAAAACAUAAUAUUAAAUUUAAAUAAUAUAUAUAUUAAUUUUGCGCGACGAAAUAUUUUUCGUUGCGCAAAUUCACAUUUUAUAAAAUAAAAAAACGUAAAACUUCAUUUUAAAUACAUUUAGUUUAUUCUUGCGUGACGAAGUCAUUCAUCUUGCAAAAAGGAUAUGCGCUAUGACGAAAAUUUCAUCGCGCAAUAUUGUUCGUCGCGCAAAUGUUGGAGACACGAGUUGGGCGACGAAGGAAAGAUCGUCGCGCAACUGUUUGCGACUUGAAUCGCGCGACGAAUAUUUUCCUUCGCACAGUAUAUUCGCGACGAACAUGCUUUUGUCGGCCAAAGGUUUGUGCGACGAACAAUUGUGUUAUCCCUAAACAUUUUGUGCAAUAAAGGUUAACCGUCGCUCAGUUUUGUGCGACCAAUGCAAAAACUUGGUCACACAAAGUCUUUCCUCACUCUCUUUGCGCGACGGAUUGUGCGCGACGAAUUUUCUGUCGCACUGAAAAUUGUGCGACUAAAAGUAACUUUGCGCGACGAAAUCCUCUUCGCCGUGCAAAUCGUAAAAUGUAGUAGUGUAUGCAUUUAACAACAAAUGCAAUUUGAAACGAGUGUUGCUAAAUGAACUCUAAAAUUAACUGAGUAUACCCUAUGUACAUCCUAAUAUUUAAAUCAAACUGUAAAAUUAACUAAGUAUACCCUAUUUAGCUACCAAAAAUAUCAUUAGCAAACCCUUAUACACUCUAAAGCAUUAGUCGCCUCCUCCUUAAGCAUCCUUACAGGGAAAGCUCAACCGAAUUGAUGCACAAUCAACUGGGAACAAUGCAUGCUUGCCACCAACUCAUCUAAUUUCGGAUUCACACCAAGGUUUUGUUGCCACCCGAAUAAAUAGUCCGCGAGGUCCAGGGCCAUCCACUUAUGACUCAUGCUUAUCUAUUUUGGAAGCUGAAGACACCUGUCAUGCAUUUCCUUUUCAAAAGUCUAAAUGGUUGAAUAUUCUAUUGUAUUACCAACGUCAAAUAGUACCAUAUAUAUAUACAGCAAUAACCUUCUAUCAACCCUACUGUUAAGGCUUUGAAGACGUGAUCCAAUAUUAGUGGGAUUUGACCUACACUAAUUUGGGCAAGUAAAGAUAUUACAAAUAUUUACAAAGAUAUUUCCUAAUACUCCCCCUCAAGUUGGAGAGUGAAUAUCAUGAAGUCCCAACUUGUCGCGCAAUGUCACAAAUUGAUCCUUCCCCAAGGCCUUCGUAAAAAUAUCUGCCAUCUGGAAGCGUGUAGGUACAUACGAAGGACUAAUUAUUCCAGCUUGUAGUUUUUCUCGAACUAUGUGACAGGAUUAGCGGCAAUAUACAAAGCUGACUGAUUAUCACAAAACAAUGGUGCAGGAGCUAUCUGUGGGACUUUUAAAUCCUGUAGUAUAAAGCGUAACCAAGUUAGCUCCAAACAUGUGUUGGCCAUAGCUCGAUAUUCAGCUUCUGCUGAUGAUCUUGAAACAUUGGUUUGUUUCUUGGAUUUCCAUGAGAUGAGUGAAUUGCCAAGAAAAACACAGUAUCCUGUAACUGAUCUCCUUGUCGCACGACAACCUCCCCCAGUCUGAAUCACAAAAAGCUUUUAAUGUAAGAUUGUUGGUGGCAGAAAAUAACAAACGCUGACCUGGAGUCCCCUUGAGGUAUUUAAGGACCCGUAUGGCAGCAUCCUAAUGAGGUCUGCGAGGCUGAUGCAUGAAUUGACUUAGUGUUCAAACAAGAUAGACUAUAUCAGGCCUUGUGACAGUAAGGUAGAUCAAUCGGCCAACCAGUCUCCUGUAUUAUCAGUAAUUCUCAAUCUGUGGGAGUGAGUUUCAAAUUCUGUUCCAUUGGGAACUUGUCUAGGUGUGCGCCUAAAAGUCCUGAAUCCUGCAAAAUAUCAAGUGCGUACUUUCUUUGAGACAUGAAAAUACCUUUCUUGGAACGAGAGAAUUCAAUGCCUAGAAAAUAUUUUAAAUCUCCAAGAUCUUUGAUACGGAAGCGAUUGAGAAGGAACUUUUUGAGACGUUCCAUUUCUUGAAGAUUAUUUCCUGUGAGAAGCAUGUCAUCAACAUAGAUAAGAACUGCAGUAAAUGAAGUGCCUUCAGCUUUGGUAAAAAGAGAAUAAUUAGCUUUAGAUUGUUGAUAACCAGCCUUUUGAAUGGUAUCUGAAAAGGUGGAAAAUCAGUUUCUAGAAGUCUGUUUGAGACCAUAAAGAGACUUGUUGAGCCGACAUACAGCGUUCUCCCCCUGUUGGCGAAGACCAAGAGGAGGCUCCAUGUACACCACCUCAUGUAAAUCGCCAUGGAGAAAAGCAUUUUGAACGUCUAAUUGGUGGAUGAACUAAUGGCGGGCAGCAGCAACAGUAAGAAGACAACAGAGGGUAGUGAGUUUGGCUGUAGGGGAGAAAGUCUCCUGAUAAUCGAUGCCUUGAAUUUGAGUGUAGCCUUUAGCAACAAGCCGAGCCUUGUAGCACUCAAUGGUGCCAUCGGACUUGUAUUUGAUUUUGUAGGCCCAUUUGCAGCCGAUCAGUUUAUGACCAACAGACAGCGGAACCAAACUCCAAGUGUUAUUGUGCUAUAAAGCCUCUAGUUCUGCAAUCAUGGCUUGGCACCAAUGUGGAUCAAGAAUAGCCUGAGCAUAGGAUGUGGGUUCUGUGUGACCUGUAAUCUUAGCAAGAAAAGCACAAUGGGCAGAGGAUAAAUGAGAGUAGGUAAGGAAGUGGGAAAGGGGAUACCGAGUACCUAAUGCAGAACGAGGUGCUGAGGUUGAGUGAUUGACGUGGUUGGACAUGUGGUAGUCUGUAUGCCAUGCCGGAGGAUGUUUAUAGCGAGUGGACUAUCGAGGAGAGGGAAUGAGAGGAAUGGGAUUAUCUGUAUGUGGAGGGGUAGGGUCGACGGAUGGGGACAAAGGUGGGAUGGGAGAGGUGGGGUUGUCAAGCUAGUCAUAUGCGUCACAGAGGAUAGAGUGGUUAGGCACUUGUGGUGGGUUGGUUGGAGGGUUGGAGGAUUGACUAGUAGGUUGGGCGGAUCAAUUGGUGGGGUCCAACUGUUAAGAAAAUCAGAGGAAAGGUAGGGCUGAGGAGUAGGUGGGGUAAGGGAGGCCGAAAAUUGAGAGAAAGGGAAGGUAUUUUCACAGAAUCGGACAUCACGGCUUACAAAGAAUUUGUUUGUCUCCAAAUUGUAGAGUUUGUAACCCUUUUGGCCAAUAGGAUAUCCAACAGAGACACAACGUGUGGCACGGGGAUGAAAUUUAUGAAUAGGAUAGACAAUAGUUGCAUAACAGAGACAACCAAAGACUUUCAAGUGGUCGAGUGAUAGGGGACGGUUGUAUAACAAUUCAAAAGGUGAUUUACUGGAAAGUAAUGGUGAGGGUAAUCGGUUAAUAAGAUAGACAGUGGUUAAGACACAUUCACCCCAGAAAAUAAUGGGUAAGUGAGACUGAAAAAGUAAUGCAUAUGCGACAGUGAGAAUGUGGCGAUGCUUGCGUUCGACGACUCCAUUUUGUUGUGGAGUGUAAACACAAGUGCGCUGAUAUUCAAUGCCAUUAUUUUGAAAAAAAUCCCUCAUGGAGAAAAAUUCAGACUCGUUAUCUACCUGAAUGGUUUUAAUGUGGGCAUGGAAUUGAGAGUGGGCAAAAGAGACAAAAGAUUUGAGAAGGUUUUGGGUUUCAGAUUUAUGCUGCAUCAAAAAUAUCCAUGUGCACCUAGUAAAGUCAUCCACAAUGGUAAGAAAGAAACAUGCCCCUGAAUGUGUGGUAACUUUGUGUGGACCCCAAAUAUCACAAUGUAACAAAUCAAAAGGAGCUUUAAUUGAUAUUGAACUUAGAGGAAAUGGAAGUCUUGUUUGUUUGGCCAUGGGACAAACACUACAAUUAUUAUCAAAAGAAAUAGUAUUGGAAGGCAAUAAUGAAGAAGCUAAUCGAAGAAGAGCAGGGGAUGGGUGUCCAAGUUGCAUGUGCCAUAAAUCGGAUGAGAGUGAAACUUGAUAUGAGACAGGUGUCUUUUGCAAUGGAGACAUGUAAUAGAGACCACCACGCUGUUUACCCAAGCCAAUCAUCUUCCUCGUAGCCAAGUCCUGCAAGGCACAGAAGGUAGGAAACAAAAUGGCACAACAGUUUAGAGAAGUAGUGAGUUUGCUGGCAGACAUAAGAUUUAAGCGAAAAGAUGGAACACACAAAACUUUGUCUAAUGUGAUAUUUGAAUUGAAUGGUAUAGUGCCAGUGGAAGUGAUUGGGGCAUGAGAACCAGUAGGUAAAUUAACAAUGGGCAUUUGUGAUUAUUCAGUUUUAGUGAAAAGUCUGGGAUCAUAAGUGAUGUGAUCAGUAGCUCCACUAUCUAAAAUCCAAGGUUUAGUGAACACAGAAUUUAUGGAAGGAAUGGAAAAAGAAGCCAGACCUGCAGCAUUUGCAUAAGCAUUGCUAUUACCAGAGGAAUGAGUUGAACUCAUCAUAGAAACAGCAUGUGCUAGUUCUUGGAGUUGCUCUGCAGAAAACCCAUGUAAAGGGUUGGAUUGAGAGGCUGGCUGGGUUGGUGCACUGAAACCAUAUGAUUGGGCCUCAUGCGAUGGAGCUGUGUCUGCGGCGUGGGCAGUAGGAAAGGACCCACGUGAAUUGAUGUGCCCUCUAGACCCUUGACGUUGUUGCUUAGAUUGAUUAUGCCUAUUGCCUUGAAUUCCUGUGUCAUUGGGAACCCAUGCCCCAUUUUUAAAUUUACAUCUAUCCUCAGUGUGGCCUCUCCUAUCACAAUACUUGCAAUGGAAUUUAAGGGUCCGACAUUCUUCGAUUGUAUGACAGUUUCUAUCAGAGUGCUCACAGUGUUUGUUCGUCGAAUUAUUCGACAUAUUGUUUGAUCGGCUGUGAAUCGCAACGGCAAUGGAAAAAUUCUCUGUUGGUCCUGAUGUUAUUUGUUGCUGUGUUUCGUCUUGAACGACAAGUGAAUAGGCUUGGCGGACAUUAGGCAAUGGCGACAUCAUGAGGAUAUUCCCGCGAACACCGUUGUAGGUGUCGUUGAGGCCCAUAAGGAAUUGCAUCAUCCGAUCUUCUUCCUUUUGUGUAUUGUGUGCUUUCAUCUCGUUACAUGUGAGAGGUGUUUGAUAUGUUUCUAAUUCGUCCCAGAGAUCUUUGAGUUUCUUGUAAUAGUCUGAAACUGUCAUGGUGCCUUGUGAGAGAGAGGCGAUGGAUUUCUGUAUCUGAUAUAUGGUUGGGGCAUUCUUUUGUGAGAAUUGAUCUUUGAAAUCUUGCCACACUUGAUGGACAGUCUUGGCAUGAACAACUGCUUUGGCUAGAUCAGGUUCCACCGAAUGAGCAAGCCAUGAUAAAAUCAUACUGUUGCAUUGAUUCCAGAGAGCAUAUUCGGUUGGUUGUUUUGUUUCUACAGGAGGUUGAACGGAUCCGUUGACAAAGCCAACUUUGUUCUUGGCCGUGAGAGCAUGGAGCAUGGAUUUACUCCAAGAUGGGUAAUUGGUGCCAUUCAACUUUAUGGGAACGAGCAUGAGACCGGGGUGAUCUGAUUGAUGAACAAAAUAUGGGUGUGAUGAAUCCAUACCAGGAUUUUUGGUGUUGGUGCUUGAAUUUUUGGAAGUAUUGUCUUUGGUUUCUAGUGGUGUUUGAUCUGACAUGAUGUUUGAAGGUGGGUAGGAAGUAGAAGGGGUCAAGUACCAGGAUGAAGCUCUGAUACCAUCUAAAGAAAGUAAAUGGUUGAAUAUUCUGUUGUAUUACCAAUGUCAAAUAGUACAAUACAUAUAUACAACAAUAGCCUUCUAUCAACCCUACUGUUAAGGCUUUGAAGACGUGAUCCAAUAUUAGUGGGAUUUGACCUACACUAAUUUGGGCAAGUAAAGAUAUUACAAAUAUUUACAAAGAUAUUUCCUAAUAUCCUCGUCGGGAAAAGAUGUUCUGGGACUUGGUGGAAGUUGUAGUGGAGGUUUCAGACAGAAUGCUGCUUCCAAAGUAUUCAAGUUCCCUAAUGCAGCCAAGGUUUGCUGAAUUCUAUACAUAAUGAAUAUGUUGCUUAAAUCUGGAUUCAUAUUUCAAAAUCAAUUGGCUUAAUCAAUUGGAUUCAUACAAUAUAGAUAUGUUUUUUACCUUUUGAAAAACGUAGAUAUUUUUCACAUACGUUUGAUUGGGAAAUGGUGAGUAGGGUGUACUUGUUAAAAUUACAUUUGUUUUACAAUUCAACAUAUCUUUUUUGGUCAUUUUAUAUUAGGUUAAAUUAGUAAUUUAAUAAACAGUUUGGUAAUAAGGUGUACUUAGUUAAUUUUAGGGUUCGUUUAACAGCAUUCUUUGAAACCCAUUCUCAAGCUUCUAAACCUUGAACCAUGUGUGUGCCAUGGAUUUAAUUUAUUUUUCUCAUUCUAUCUAAGAUCAACUUUGAUAAUAUUUUUCUUUGUUUACUGAUGAACAAAAGUUAUACUUUGCAAGUGCACUAAUCGAUAUGAUAGUAUAGCAAGCAAACACGAGAGUUGUUCCCACAGAGAUUUGUAAAGUUUAUCAAUUAAUUUCAAAUAUGAUUACCUUAAGAAAAGUGAAAAAUAAAAACGAAAUAUUAAAAGUACUAAAGUAGCCGAAAAUAAGAUUACUCAAUUUUAAUCUAAGUGUUGAAAAUCAAGAAAAUAAAAUAACAAAGGUUGAAAAUUGGUUUUGAAAAUCAAUGGAUGAAAACUAGGAUUCCGACUUCACCGUAACAAUCCCAUUCUAUGUAUUGAGUCAAUUUUGAGAAUAAAGUUCCAAUUCAAUUCUAAGGGUUUGUUCUCUCUUUAAUAUGAUGAUUCGUUCGGCCCCGGUGUCACCAAAUAUCCUCAAUUAAACCCAACUAAUGAACCCUAUAGUCAAAUUUAAUCGAGAACCCAUUAAGUUUACGAAGGACAGUCAAGAACCAAGAAGUGUCUUAGCUUGAACCCCGUCUUUAACAACAACUCAUUCAUUCAUAGUGCAUAUAAGAUUAGGGAUGAACCCCUCACCCAAUCCUAUCUUAGACAAUCCAAAAUACUUAUAAUGGUCAAUUACAAGUGUCAAGAUCACAAUUACAAUAAUGAAUGAAACAAGGAAUGUGAAUUGAUUAAAAAUAAGAUGUUAACUCAAUAAUAUGGAAUCAUCAUGUUAGGUUACAUCGGAUCCCUAGCAAAGAAUUUAGUUACCCAUAGCCAUCUUAGGAACAAACAAUAUACUAAUGAAAAUAGAAUACAAAGUUUGAAUUAAGAUAGAAAAAUAUUUAGAUGAAUCCACUGCAGUUAAACUCUUCCUUUGGCAAAUCUUGAAGGCUAUGAACGGCCAAGAAAGUGAGUAUGUGAAUUGGGUGAUUGAGAUAUUGAACAAUAUGCUAGCGUUCUCCUAAAAAAUCUAGUCUAAAAGAUGUAUUUAUAGGCCCUAGGACUUUUCUCUAAUCAUACAAGGAUUAGGAAACUUUAAAAUCCCAAAAAUCAUAGGAAAACUAGCCAAAAAUGCCAAAAAUUAUGCGCUAGAUUUGCGCCGUCCGCUCGAGUGCCAAAACGUAGUUACAUAGUUCAUAGCUUGAACCACUCGUAUGAAAACUGAUGUAACUUCCUCUAGAAGACUCGAAAUCACGAACUGUAACUUCUCUAGAAACUAGACUUCCAGAGCUUUCCAACGAAAAUUGGCAAGUUAUCUAAUUCUUCCCGAGCACGUACAGGUAAAUCCUUAAAAUUGACCUAUGUGCACAAGCAGUUUCUUGACUUGCAAGUUGCUAAUUCCAAAUUUCUAUCUUCUUUACUCAUUUUCGCUAUAUUUUGCUUCUUUUAGUGCCAACUCAAGCCUAGGGACAAUUUCCUACAAAACUCACACUAAACACAUCAAAACAACCAAUUUUAUAGAAGAAACUAAUGCAAAUCAUAGGAACAAGGCAUGAGAAAAAAGCACAAAUAUGGAGUCCACAAUUAUAUUCCUAAGUAUGCAGUUACCAAACAUAGGAAUGCAAUUUGAAACCCAAUCUCAAGCUCCUAAACCUUGAACCAUGUGUGUGACAUGGAUUUAAUUUGGUUUUCUCAUUCUAUCUAAGAUCAAUUUUGAUACUAUUUUUCUUUGUUUACUCUUCCAAUAUUUUUACAUUGAUAGAAUUUGGGUUAUACUUACUUAAGAUACCAAAUUUGUAAUAUUGAAAUUUAAUAAUUAUAAUAAAUUCUCAAGUAUAUCAUAGAGUUAUUUAAAGUUGGCACUCCUUAAUAGAAUUCUCAAAUAUAUCAAAAAGUUAUUUAAAGUUCACACUCUUUAAUAGAAUUCCUAUCUCCACUGUUGACAAGAAACUUGGAGUCCACUGGAUUCAAGACCUCGAGCCUGUCUCGAGAAUAAGUUUUACACGCCCAUGUGUACCUAAAAGUCCAAUACCUUCGUGUUGGCCAAGUUGUGGGCCAAAUUCAAGUCACCAUACUCUUCUUUCUGAAAAGUUCUAAAGGGAGUUUAGGGUAUUUUUGAUAUAAAAAAAAUAAAAAGAAAAGGAGUUUUAUCGACAAGCAGUAUUGGAUCUAGUACGGAGCCAGUGAAGGCACUAGCCCCACUCAGUUUUGUCUACACCUAUGAAGUGUCAAAUUUACAUGAUAUUUUCUAUUGAAUGGGGACAAAUUAUUUAAUAAAAAUGCCUCAAAGAAGGCUAAAGCGAGGCAAUAAGAGCAUGUGCAGCACUUCGGUUUGGCCUGGGCAAAAGGCCCCCCUGCUAGCCUAAAGCAACUCCAGCGCUUCAGUUCUUGCAUUUUCAAUUUCAUUUUUUUUAAUAAAUUAAUUAAGGAAAAAUAAAAAAGAGGAAAAUCAUUACAUAUAGCUUCUUAAGUGAAUAAUGUUCGCAGUCGGUUCCAGUGAUGCGUUCCGUGUCUGAAAUAAUGGCACUAUUAUGUCCUCCGAAGGAAUAUACUCCCCCACAUCGUGAUCUGGUGGAACCGCCUCUGUCAAUGAUUGAGUCGUUCUUGUACUCCAUUGUGUCGGACUAUGAGGAUCGAGAAUAUUUUAAUUGUAUGAUGAGUGAGUAGGUAUUUCAAUUGUAUGAUGAGUGAGAUGUGAAUUUUAUAAUAAAUAUGGACACGUGGCAACCAAAAAUUUUAUCCGAAAAAUGUUAUCUGAAAUUUUAAGUGAGAAUUUUAUAAUAAAUAGUGACAAGUAACAACCGAAAAUAUUAUCUAAAAAGCUUAUCAAAAUUAAUGAUUUAAGUAUAAAAAAAUAGAAAAUAAAGUAAAAUAAAUAGUAUUUUCCCUUGCCCUUUGAAGUGGAACUAAAAAAGACAAGACUAACACUUUUCACAUAAAUAGUGUAUGUUCUUGCCUUACCUUUGCCUCGUCCUUGCCUUUUGAUAUGGAGGUGCUCUAAAGUGGCAAGUGAAUGGCUGAGAAGAGCUGCAUUAGGCCAAACUUUACAGGUUGUUGGUAGGCUCCAUUAGCCACUGCAUGCUAGGCCAUACUUUAGGACAAUUUCUGGAUCCACUAGUGCCUCCUAAACUGUACACCAAAACCAUUCUUUAUUAUAAAAUAGUUGACCUUUGCUCAGACGCCCAUACUAACAUGGCAGAAGUAAAACAAUUGAACUUGAACACUAGAGGUGCUUGUUUGAAUAUGAAUAGCCACCUGGCGGCUGUGGAGCUCUUUUACAAUUUUCGUCUUAUCUCUCUUCUAAUUAAACAUUAAAUUACUUGCUUUCGACCGAAAAAGGAAAAAAGAGAUUAUGUUGUAAUGAAAGUAAUGAAUCCCACGUAAAGGAAAAGAAGGAAGCUUAGUCAAAAGUUUAAUGAUGAUGUUAGAAGCUUAAUGAUAAUGUUGGGUAAUGAAGCCAUCCAAUUUGCCUAUAGACUUGCUCAUUCAAUUGUAGAACACACCAAAGGAGAAGAGAAGAGAAAGAAGAGAAAGUGAGAGGAAAGAAGAGAGAGUGAGAAAUCUGAGUGUCUUAAGUUCUGUAUGAGAAGAAAUUCUGUCAGUGUAAACACUAUAAAGAGCAAAUAUAAUUCUACUCCCAAUAUUCAAUAGUACUUCCUAUACUUUGCUUAUUUUAUUUUUAUAACACGUUAUCAGCAUGAUAGUUUCUCCUUUUUAUUUCUAAAUCUUUCCCAACUGAACACUAUGUGAUUAUUUCUCUGUCUCAUCUCUGUCAUAUGUCUCUUCUCACUUUACUACUACGACGACAUGCAAACUUUCUUUUUUGUGUUCUCACAAUUUUUAUGUUGUUUCAUCCAUGCUUGUUUAAUUUACUUCUUUGUAACGUAAUUUGGAAUGGUGUGGUUUUAUACCCCAUCCAGUUAUUUUAUGGUGGUGUAAUUUUUAUUAUCCAUCGCGUUGUAACACAAAUUAUCAUAAGAAAAUGAUGGUGUGAUCUUAAAACCCAUCUAUUAUAUCUUGAACGGUGGCAUAGUUAUAUUGCCCACAAUAUAUAAUAUGUUAUAUAUUUCAUAUGUAUUAGGUGGUGAUUUUAUCCCCACAUUUAUUUUAUUUACGGGUAUGGAGUAGGUUUACCCAUACGACAAUAUUUAUUUAAAAGUGUGGCACAGGUUUAUUGUCCACACAACUGUAUUUACUUUUCAUUUAAAAGUAUGGAGUAGAAUUAGUGCCCAUACCAGCACGUUUACUUUAUCGCACAUUUACUUUUACUUAAAGUAUGAUGUGGAAUUAACCCUCAUACUUUAUGAAUUUACUUUUCCUCACAUUUACUUCUAUUUAAAGUAUGAUGCUGAAUUAACGUCCUUACAACAACAAUUUACUUUAUGAAUUUACUUUACCGCACAUUUACUUUUAUUUAAAGUAUGGUGCAGAAUUAAUGUCCAUACAAUAAGCAAUUUACUUUACCGCACAUUUACUUUUAUUUAAAGUAUGGUGCGGAAUUAACGUCUAUACAAAGCAAUUUACUUUUAUUUAAAGUAUGGUGCAGAAUUAACGUUCAUACAACAAGGAAUUUACUUUAUGAAUUUACUUUACCGCACAUUUACUUUUAUUUAAAGUAUGGUACGGGUUUAUCGUCCAUACCUGCAAAUUUAUAGCACUUUAUUUUUAUUAUUAAUUAAUAUACAUGAAUAAAGAGGGCCUGAAGUUCCACAAAAAAAAUAUAGGGCCUGAAGUUUCUAUUAAUAAAUGGCUUAAUAUCCUAGAUCCCGAGCCUAAAGUUUUGGGUAAAAUAUGCAAGAUAUUUUUGGCCAGAAGUUCAAAAAUAUAUUAAGCCUGAAGUCCCGAAAUAUGUGCAGGAAAUUAUAAAAAUGUCCAUACUGUGAGAAUAUGUGAUUUUGGCUUGAAGUUCAAAGUCUAACAGUAUUGAGAACCUGAAGUUCCAACAAUCAAAUGGACAACCCUUAAGGCAUUAUUGCAAAUUGUGUUGCCCAUUCAUAUGGCUUGGGUCCAAGGGGCAAUCCAUCCACGAGUGGCAAAAAUGCAUCCUGGAAUAAGGGGAAAGCACAGACAAGCUAUAUGCCUAGAAAUGUUGAAGGCGCUUGUCAUAGAUAUGGUGCAAAGUAUAUUGGGCACGUACAUGCUGUACGCCGAAUCAUUUGGUGGAUCUUUAUCAAUCGUCACUUAAGAACAGGAAAGUGAAGACAAAUUACAUUGAUCAAGUUAUACCAGAUCUGCAAGCCACAGAUGACCCAUCGGAGUGUUUAUCAAUCUUCACUCAGACAUGACGCAUCUGAAUGUUUCCGAUUUUGCAAUUGAAAGAUGGAAUGAAGUUUAUGGGUCCGAAUUAGAUUAAAUUUCUUAAUGUGCCAUUUGUAUUAUCUGAAGUGUUGUUUUUUAAAUUUCCAUUUCAAUCCAAUAAAAGUGACAAUGUUUUCUAUACAUUGAAUAGAAUAAUUGUUUAUUGAUUCAGCUUAUUUUAUUUAUUUGAAGGGAUGGAUGUAAAUUAUGGAUGCCCUCAAAACGAAAGUUAUGGCAAAAAUAUUUGUCUUGCAGACAGCGCGACUACUCAUACGAUCCUUCGAGAUCAAAAGUAUUUCUCAAACUUGAUGCUUACAAAAGCAAAUGUAACAACUACAUCAGGUCCUACAGAUCUGAUUGAAGGCUCAGGAACGGCCCAAGUCAUGUUACCAAAUGGAACAACACUGUCCAUUCAAGAUGUUUUGUAUUAAUCUAACUCCAGAAGAAAUCUAUUGAGUUCCAAAGAUAUACAUUUGAAUGGCUACCAUGUUGAAACAAAGAAUGAGAAAAACAUGGAAUAUCUUUGCAUUACCUCCAGUGAUACCCAGAAGUGUCACUACUACAAAAAGUGAAAAAGACGACCAGAAAACAACGACGGUCUAAGUGAAAACCGUCGUGGUUUAUAAAAAGACGACGGUUCUAAAAACACCGUCGUGUAAUACAACCUUAGACAACUAAAAAAUGGAGUUUCAAAUGGCUGUUCAAAAACAACGACGUACAUAAUUAAACAACCGACGUCUAUUUGAAACAGAUUUCCUCAGUGUAAAAUCAAUGCCAACAAAGAACGGCAGAAGUUAUGAAUCGACCGACGUAGAAAGUAAAGACGACGAUUUCAAUAAAAACUGCCGUUUUUACUCAUAAAAUAACACGACGAGGUUUUCGUAUAAGACGCCGUAUAAUUACAAACAAAUCCACGGCUUUAAAAUACAAAAUAUCGCCGUAUUAAAUUAAUUUACAACGACGGAAAAUAUAAAUAUAUCGACGUCAUUCUCGUAUAGUUCUACUACGUUAUCUUUAAAUCGUACAAUAAAAUUUAUCGUCGUAUUUAUUCAUUUUAUACGUCGUACCUUUAAUUUUAACGGUCGUCUUAAUAAGAAUUUUUGUUAACAAUUUUUUUCUUUGAUUUUCUUAUCCUACGUCGGUAGAUCUACUUAAUGACAAGAAUUGAAAUAACCACGACGGUUUAUAUAGAACACCGCCGACAUAAUCAGUUUUGUCUGAGAUCCCAAGGGUUACGAAAUCUUACCAGAUGGAACUCUGUUCCACAUCAUAAUCUUAACAGAUGACACAGAUUUGCAAAUAUUGCGUCGUGUUAGUUUACAAAUUCUAGAACAUUAAUUUCCCUCAUUUUAAAUUUCCUCGGGAAAGAAAAAUCUAUUUAUCACGCUUUGGAAUUGAAAACUAAAACUGAAAGAAUACGGGAAAAAAAACUCCAUUUAUAAUUUAAAAUUAAAAUCCACGUCGGUUGUAGUACACUUAACGACGUUUAACAAAAUAAUCUACGUCGGUAAUUAUAAAUCUACCGCCAUCGUAACUUAAUAUAGACGACGAGAAAAGACGACGGUAGAACAGAAAACCGCCGUUGUUUCAGUUUCUUUAACAUAUCUUUCUGCAGGACUUGUGUAGUUCAAAGCAUUGACAAUGUCUUCAUCAUAUCUCCCAGAAACUACUGAUUCAAUUGCUCAUGCUUUAGAGGCCAUCUGAAGCCAUUUCUAUUCUUUAUCGCAUUCUUGAAACCCAUCUUCUUCUUCUGAAGCUCUACGGAUAAAGGAAGAGGCUAUCACAAUAAAUCCGACGGAUCUUCUUAGGCAAGAAAAUCAAGCAGAGGAUCAGGCACAUCUGAUCUUCAGAUUUCCCUGAGAAGCGAACUUUCCUUCGACAGCGAGUGGAGGCCAGGCUUGCAUCUCUUUUGAUGGAAAGCAAGGAGUAUUCAGAAGCACUAAGUGUCCUAUCAGGCUUGAUCAAGGAAGUGAGAAGGCUAGUUGACAAGCUUCUUCUUGUGGACAUAUAUUUGAUGCGAGUAAGCUCAAUUUCUCUUUGAGAAAACAUCCAAAUUAUUAUCUUUGAGACAUGAGAGACUGAGAGAGGAAGAACUUGGAACCUUAAAUGUAAACCGAAAAUGAAUGAAAGCGACAAAUUUAUAGAAUAAAUUUUUAAAACCAACGGCGGUCCUUACAAACAAACCGCCGUUUAAAUUGUAAAAUCAACGUCGGUAUGAUCGACGUAUAUUACAGAAAUCCACGUCGGUAAAUUAAUAAAAACGACGUGUUAAAUAAUAUACCAUGACGCGAGUUAUUACUUAUGUACUUUAAUUUUUGAGUUUACUACGACGGUACCUACAAACUACUGUCGUAUUUAUUUACCACGUCCGAAGUUAAAUGUACCGUCGUAUUUUGUAAUUUAUACGUCGUAGUUAUAUGUAACCGCCAUAUUAUUUUUUUGAAAUGGUUUUAUAUGUAAGCAACUUUUCGUCUACUUGACUUACACAUUUGUUGUUUUUAUAUUCUUAUUUUAUUUAAAUCUGUCAUCCAAAAAAGAAACUUUACAUAUUGCAGAAUAUUAAUUUCCUUCGUUUUAAAUUUCCUCCGGAAAAAAAACUCUAUUUAUAACGCACUGUAAUUGAAAAAUAAACUGAAAGGUCACGGGAAAAAAAAUUCUAUUCAUAAUUUAAAAAUUAAAAUCCACGUCGGUUAUAUUAAACCUAACGACGUUAAAUGAAAUGAUUCCACGUCGAAUGAAAAAUAUUGCGUCGUUUUAGUUAAAAACGACGUAGUUAAAUGUAACCGCCGUAUUAUUUUUUUGAAAUGGUUUUAUAUGUAAGCAACUUUUCGACUUACACAUGCACUGUUUCCAAACCCGAUUAAAAAUUUCAAUCUCCCAGAGAAACCUUUUCGUCUUUUUUCCUUGUCAGAGCAUUGUCAGAGUUUCUCAUCGUCUUCCUCUCGUCUUCUUCGUCGUCUCUGAACUUAAACAUCGAUCAUCUUCCUCUUGCUUUCAUUGCACGCAAAAGGUAAGCUUUCAUUUUCACUAUUUUGGUUACUGUUUUGCAUGCUCAUACGUUUUUUGUUUGAAAAAUCUUUUUACCUUUUUUCUGGCCAAAAUCAUUUUACUUCUUUCCAAGUUUGAUAAAAUAUACAGACAAAGAGAGAAAGUUUCCAACUUUGAAGACAACUACAUCAACUAAAUAAGACGACGGUAGACCACGACGGUUCGUCAGUUGUUCUAGCGUCGUCUGAAAAUUGACAAAGUUGUUUUUAAAAUAAUAGUCUUUUUUUAUAUGCUUGUUUAAUUGCAGGUUUGAUUUCGCUGAACAAUGGUUUUUGUUUUUCCCUUAUUUGAUAAAAUAUAAAGAAAAAGAAACUAGGGUUGGUAUCUAAUAUAGACGAUAAAAUAUAAAUAAUAGUUUACCACGACGGUGUAUUACUAUUGACGUCGUGUGAACAUAUAUACCACGACGUUAUAUAAAUAAUGGUUUUAAACAUUUAUUACGUCUGAGAUUAUUUCAUUGCGUCGUCUAAAAUCAUAUCAUACGUCGUAUUUUUUUAAUACCGUCGUUUGUGUUCUUAAUGUUUUCCUGAAAUAUUUUCACUUGCAGUUUUGUCUGUUAAAAUGGUUUCUCAACAACAAACUAAGGAUUCUGGCUCCAAGAAGCUUGGAAUGGUAGCUCCUCAAGAUAAGUCUUCGAAGGAGAUGAAGUCUUCGAAGAAGAUGAAGUUUGCUUCAUCAUCUGCUGAGACAGAACAAACCAGCCAGACAACAAUCUCAGAUGAUUCAAAGACUGGUCGAGGUAUGAGCACAAUGCCUCGUGUUGUGAAGAGAAAGCUUCAGAAACUGAGGCCAAUUGUUGAGUACAAUAAAAGGGGGAAAGGUGUUGGCCAAGCACAUAUUGAGAUGCAGUCGUAUAUUGGUGUGUUGGCACGCUCCAGGAUCCCACUUGUGGACAAGAAAUGGUCCCAAAUCCCCAAGGAUAUAAAGGAGCAGAUUUGGGAAGCAGUUGACAUGGCUUUUGUCGUAGGCCAAGGGGGCAAGACCUCUGUUUUAGCUUCUGCUUCCAAGAAAUGGAAGGAUUUCAAGUCUACACUAACGAGGCAUUAUAUCCUUCCAUACACCAAUGACAGGGAGAAAUUAAGCCAACCCCCUGAAACAUAUAAAUUCAUAGAGAAAGCACAAUGGGAUGCCUUUGUAGCUUCAAGGCUAUCCAAAGAUUUUGAGUCUGUGCAUUCUCAACAUGCACAGAUUAGGGAGAAACUCGAGUACAAUCAUCGAUUGUCUCGAAAAGGAUAUGCUGGAUUGGAGGAUCAAUUGGAGGAAACCAUGCCUGGGGUAGAAAUUGAUCGAUCUACCUUAUGGAAGAGAGCUAGACAGGACAAACAUGGUAACAUCCCUGAUCCAAAGGUGGCAGAGAAGGCAAAAUUAAUUGUAAGCCUACUCACUCUGUUUUAAAUUUUUAUUAAACUGUGAAUUAUUCUUAUUAUGUCGUAUGUUAUAUUUUUCGUCGUGUGAAUGAUAUUACCACGUCGAAAAGUUUUUAAAAACGUCGUUAAAGGUCUAAAUAGGAAUCACUACUAUGUUUUCUGUAAUUACAGCAUAAGACGUCGGUGGUUCAUUUUCGCGUCGUGUGAAUGAUAUUACCACGUCGAAAUUUUUUUAAAAACGUCGUUAACGGUCUAAAUAGGAAUCACUACUCUGUUAUCUUUAAUUAUAGCAUAAGACGUCGGUUGUUUAUUCAUUUCGUCGUUUUAAAUAAAUAACCACGUCGGUAUAACUACCGUCGUGAUAAGUUAUAAUAACGUCGGUUUAUACGUUAUUGCGUCGUGUGAAAUUAUAUAAUACGUCGUUUGUACAUAAAUAACCGUCGUGUGUUUUUUUGUUUAUCUUUGUUUUAGGAUGAAUUGCAGAAACAAGUCUCGGAAGGCAAAGUCAGAGUAGAUGGCAGCAAUGAUGUGCUGACCAUGGCUUUGGGCCCCGAGCAUCCAGGCAGGGUGAGGGGAGUUGGUGCUGGUGUUUCCCCAAGGCAAUAUUUCAAUUUGCCCAAACCACAGAGGGUGAGCUUUGACGACCGUUUGAAGGAGAGUUUAAGAGUUCUCCUUCAAGAAGAGACUAAAAAGAUGGAGGCUAAGGCAAGGGAAGAGGCCUUAAGGAUGGAGGCUAGGACAAAACAAUUGGUAGAGGCUGAGAGGGAGCAUUUCCUGAGUCAGCUUUCCCAAUUAAUUCCCAAUUUUGAUCCAAGCAUGCUUAAACCAAGAAUUAGCCAAAGCCCCAAAAAUCCAAUGUCUGACAAAGCUAGCUGCUCUGGAGGUGAUGUGAGAUCCCUACAUUUGGAGGAUGAUACUGCCAAAAUGGGGAAACAUCAGCCAGAUGAAGAGAAGGAAGAAGAAAAAAGAGAUGAAGAGAAGGAAGAAGAAAAGGAGAAAGAAGAUGAAGAAAAGCAUGACGACAAGGUAUGUUCACAUAACUUUGCCUUUUUUAUUUGUUUUUCAAAAUUUCAGACGUCGAUAUUUUUAUUUAAUCCGUCGUUUGUUUAAAACUUAGACGGCGGAAUUUUUUUAAGACGUAAUAAAAUAUUUAAACGACGGUUUUUGCACCGUCGUUUAAAUGGUUUCAGACGACGCUUUAUUCAUAAAACCGUCGUCUUUAUUGAAUUACCACGACAGUUUUUUCACCGUCGUUUAAAUACUUUUAAGACGACGUUUUAUUACUUAAACCGUCGUCUUUAUUGAAUUACCACGUCAUUUUUUUUAUUUCUUUAAACAGGUUAUUGAAGUUGGUGCUUAUUCAAAAAUGGAGGCGCCAUCUUCUUUAAAAACCCUUUGUCGUUUUGUGGAAACGACACUCCUGCCUGAGGAUAAGACAGUCCAAUUUACAAUUGAUAAGGAGGUGUUUGGUGGUGAGCGCGAUACCUUCCUCCUGCCUGAAGAUAUUACACAAUUUGCAGGCAUGGAAGAAAUUGGAGCUACUGUAUUGGCUGUAUAUAUGAGGUUUGUACUUCUAAAAUAAUAACUCGUUGGUUUAUAUAUUGCGUCGUCUUAACUAACUAACCACGUCGUCUUAACUAACAACCGUCGUGAUAAAUAUAUUAUAACGUCCUCAUCUAUUUCAGUACGUCGUGUGAAAUAUUAUAAUACGUCGUUUUUUUAUACAUAACCGUCGUGUUUUGUGUGCUGACUUGUUUAUAUUAUUUUAUUUGUUUAGGUACUUACACGAUGUUUUGAAAAAAGCCAAUAUGUGCAGUAUGGUUGGCUUUAUCGACCCUGCUACAGUUAGUGCCAACUCUGGCACAAUAACUGAAAGAUCACGACUCGUAGCAGCUCGACUUCAGAAGACAGACGGUGAACAGAUUUUCAUGAUGCCUUACAAUCCAGGGUUAGUCUCCUUAGGAUUUUGUUUUUAUGAUUUUCAAUAAAUGACAGCUUAUAAACUAACCACGUCGGUGUUUUAUUUUAUUUAGUCGUUUGAAACUACUAACCACGUCGGUAUUUAUUUAUCGUCGUGAUAAAUAUAUAAUGUCGUCGUUAGCUACUUUACUUCGUCGUGUGAAAUACUAUAAUACGUCGUUUUUGUAAAUAACCGUCGUUUUUAUAUUAAUUUUGUGCAGCCGUCAUUGGAUUUUGCUGAUUGUAAGAGCAAAGAGAGAAACCGUCUAUUUUCUGGAUCCUCUGCCAGGAAAUCGUGUGGUCGAUGAAGAGGCCAAAAACAUCGUGAACAGUGCUUUAAAAAUAUAUAAUACCCACAUAGCCCGAGCAGGACGUAAAAAUGUAAUUUGGAAAACUCUCUCAGGCACACCAAAGCAACCCAGCAAUGUCGAAUGCGGGUAUUAUGUAAUGCGCUUCAUGAGGGACAUCAUCAUGGAUCCUUCCUUGGGGUUUGAGAAUAAGGUAAGAAGAAAUUACCUUCAUACAUUUCACGUCGUUUUUUGUAUUAUCAACGACGGUCGUGUAAAAUUAACGUCGUUGAAUGGAUAUACUACGUCGGUUAUGAAAAAUAUCGUCGUCUGUGAUUGAAUUUCUUUUUAUUUAUAAACCCUAAUAGUCAUUGUUUAUGCAGUAUGCCAAGGGAAACCAGGAAGCUUCAUACCCCCAAGAAGCCAUUGAUGAAGUCCGGAAUGAAUGGGCAGAGUUUGUUUUCCAAAUUAUUAAACAGGGCAAUUAUUGAACACUUGAUAUUUAUGUAUAAUGUACCAAUUUUCUCUAUAAUAUGUAAUGUAAAAAUUUGUUGAGGUUUUCUUAAAUUAAAAAAAAAACAAACAUACAAAUUGCUUAACCGACGUGUAAUACUUUUCCAACGACCUAAUAAAGUCAAUAACCGUCGUAUUUUGUUGUUGCGUGUUUUAAACAAAUACGACGUAAAAAAAUAGUUAGACGACGUUCUUUGAACAAUUGAGUCGUUAAUGGUUUACAAUAUCUUCAAUUUCUUAAGGGUUCAGGGUAUAAUCGACGACGUUUAUGUAACGACUACGGUUAAGUCGUGGAAUAUAUAUUUUACGUCGUAUAGUUAAAUAGCCGCCAUGGUUUCUCAUUUUAACGACGUCAUUUUAACGACUUAGUAGUCUAUUACAAUUUACAACGUCUACAAUUUAUUUAACACCGACGUGGUUUGUUGUAUGGUAAGAAUAUUUUAUUAUUUUUAUAUCAAAAUAUUCAAAAUAAAUAUAAAAUAAAUCAGAAAAUUGAAAAGUCAACUCCUAUGAAGUCAUUGAUAUAUUUUCUUCCACAUAAACCUUGAAAAAAUUCAUUUUGAAUAACAAAAAUUUAAAAUGACCAUCCAAAACAAAAUUGUUUUGAUGAGUCAUAAAAUCACUUCUAGUUUUAUGGUUUAGGGUUUAGAGUCUAGGGUUUAGAGAUUAGGGUUGUUAUUUAUUGGGGUUUAUUUUUAAAGUAUAAUUUUUGGGUAGUCUAUGUUAUAUGUUAGGCUUUAAAACCAUAAAACCUUUUAUAAACUUAAUUUUUUAAAUUGUAUAAUUUAAUUUUAUGGGUUUAGUGUAUUAAUUUUUAACGACGGUGGUUGGGUCGUGGAAUACAUAUUUUACGUCAUACAGUAAAACAUACGACAUGGUUUACGCUUUAAACGACGUUAUUUUAAUAUGUAAGUCGGUUUAUAUAAUUUACAACGUCUUUAAUUUCUUAACACCGACGUGGUUUUUCAGUCGUCGUUAUAUAAAAAAUUCAAAAUAAAUUUAAAAUUAAUCCGAAAAAUGAACGGCCUUACGUUCUUAAUCCGAAAAAUGAAGUUUCCGUCGUGGAAUAUUAAAUUUACGUCGGUACUUGUAGAACUUUCGCCUUGGUUUUUCUUUCGACGUUUUAUAACGCGCGCGCUCUAAAAAUUUUCGCGCGACCUAAAUUUUUUUAGAUUUGGCUCUUAGCCUUAUACUUUGAUCCCUGAAACCUAAAAUUUCAGAUUUCACGCGACAUAACAUUUCGCUCUCUCACUUCUGCUCUAAUUAAAAGUUGCACUCUCCAGGCUCGUCGAAUCUGUGAGCUCGUCCAACCUGUAAGUACAAACCCUAUCUUCCCCUUGUAAAUUCAUUGAAUGAUAUUAGGUUGUUUUGUUAAAGGGUUUUAGGUAUAUGCUUUGCGAUCUGUUAAUAAUGUGCUUAUAGGUAUGGGUUCAUGGAUUUUCUGUUUAAUGGGUUCAUGACAAGAUCAAAUAAAGGUGUACUUUUGCUGUUUAAUGGGUUCAUGGAUUACAUUAUCUGUUAUGUUGAAUUGGGAAUGGAUUUAAUUUUGUCGUAUCUUUUAAUCACCCUAUGUUAUGUUGAAUUGGGAAUGGAUUUAUUGUUUUCAUGCUUGGUUUCAUGUAUAUGUUGGUUUCUUGCUUGGUUUCAUAUAUAUGUUGUGUUCUUAAUGGGUUUUGUGUUCUUGAAAAUAAACUGAGACACGACGAAUUUUAAGGCGUACGACGACGAUUACACGACGGUGUUUUUAAACUACCGUCGUUGUAUUACUUAUACACGACGGUUUUUUCAUAAACCGUCGUUUGUAUUACGUAUAAUAGACGACGUCUGUUGAAAAUCCGUCGUCUAUAUAUGCCAAAUACGUCUGUUUUUGAUUAAAACCCGUCGUCUCUGUUGUUUAUUACUUGCGAUUAGAUCAUUGUAUAAUCUGCUAUAGUGAUGGUCAUUGCCUGUAUUUUCACUUUAUUAUAGAUAAUAGGUUAUAGUGUCGGAGAUGGAUAAGUCAUGGAUGCACUCGGAUAGAAGAUCGAAGGCAUAUGAGUUUGGGGUGGAAGCAUUUUUGAACUUUGCUGUAGAAAAUCUUCUAACUACAACACAUAUCCGUUGUCCAUGUGUUAAAUGUGUUAAUUUGAAGUUGUUUGGGGUUGGAAUUAUAAGGGAUCACUUAUACUUUAAUGGAAUUGACCAAAGCUAUAAGAAUUGGACAUUUCACGGAGAACCUUGGGAAGCAACUACUAAUGCUAGCAGAAAUGUUGAAGAAGAUGAUGGCCAUAGUAGGUACAGUUUUGUGUCUGAAGAAAUUGAUAUGGAUGAUAAUGAUUUUGGUGAUUUUGGUUCGGAUCCGUAUGAGUUUGCCAAUGUGAUUGGGGAUGGAGAUCAACCAGUGUACCCUGGUUGUAGAAAGUACACGAAGUUAUCGGCAUUAGUGAAGUUGUAUAAUUUGAAGGCAAAACAUGGGAUGAGUGAUGUCUGUUUUACAUAAUUAUUGAUACUUCAAGGCGAUUUGCUUCCAGAAGGAAAUACAAUACCAACCUCCAUGUAUGAGGCUAAAAAGACUUUGUGUGCAUUGGGGCUGAGUUAUGAGAAAAUGCACGCAUGCCCCAAUGAUUGCAUCUUGUAUAGGAAGGAGUAUGAGGAUUCAACUAAUUGUCCUACUUGUGGUAUCUCAAGGUGGAAGGAAGGCAAAGAUGCAAUCUUGAAAGAGGGUGUGCCAGCGAAGGUGGUGUGGUAUUUUCCCCCAAUUCCAAGGUUUAAAAGGAUGUUUCAAUCACAUGAGACAGCUAAGAGUUUGACUUGGUGGCAUGUUGCUAGAAAAUCAAUUGACGGUCAGAUGUCUCAUCCGGCGGAUUCCCCGUCUUGGAAACUUCUUGAUGAUAAAUGGCCUGAGUUUGGUAAUGAGCCGAGAAACUUGAGAUUGGCUCUUUCAUCUGAUGGAUUCAAUCCCCACAGUUCUCUAAGUAGCAGAUAUAGUUGUUGGCCGGUUAUCUUAGUUACAUAUAAUCUCCCUCCAUGGCUGUGCAUGAAACGAAAGUUCAUGAUGUUAACCUUAUUGAUUUCCGGUCCUAAACAACCCGGAAAUGAUAUAGACGUCUACUUGGAGCCUUUGAUUGAUGAUUUAAAAUCCUUGUGGGUUGGGAUUAGAGGAGUGUAUGAUGCACAUAAUGGAGAAUACUUUACACUCAGAGCUGCAUUAAUGUGGACAAUUAAUGAUUUCCCCGCCUAUGGAAACUUAUCUGGUUGUGUUGUUAAAGGAUAUAAAGCUUGUCCAAUAUGCGGCGAUGAUACACCUAGUCACAGGUUGAAAAAUGGCCACAAAAUUUGUUACAUUGGGCAUAGAAAAUGGUUACCAAUCAAUCAUCCAUAUAGGAGGCAACGUGCAGCUUUUAAUGGGAAACCUGAAUAUGGCAUACCUCCAGAGCCAUUAACCGGAGAAGAAGUGCUGCAUAUGGUUGAAAAUGGUGACAGAGUUUGUUGGAAGAAGAAAUCAAUAUUCUUUGAUCUCGAGUAUUGGAAAUACCUUCCUGUGAGGCAUGCCCUAGAUGUUAUGCACAUUGAGAAGAAUGUUUGCGAUAGUAUCAUUGGUACAUUGCUGGAGAUCCCUGGAAAAAAUAAAGAUGGGAUUGCUGCUCGAUUAGAUUUAUUGAACAUGGGGGUCAAAACUGAUUUGCAACCCGAGUAUGGAGAAAGACGUACUCGUUUGCCUCCUGGGCCUUGGAAUUUGUCAAGAGCAGAGAAGAGAGAGGUUUGCAAUUCUUUCUAUGGUAUGAAGGUCCCUGAAGGUUAUUCUUCCAAUAUUAAAAAUCUUGUAUCUGUACAAGAUUCAAGACUUCUUGGCCUUAAAUCACAUGAUUGUCAUACCUUAAUGCAACAAUUGCUCCCUGUGGCAAUUCGUUCUGUUUUGGAGAAGCCUGCAAGGUAUGCAAUAACUCGUUUGUGCUUCUUCUUCAAUGCUAUAUGUGCAAAGACUGUUGAUGUUUCCAAGCUAGAUAAGUUGGAAGAAGAUGUAGUAGUUACUCUGUGUUUGCUUGAGAAGUACUUUCCCCCUUCAUUCUUUGAUAUCAUGGUUCAUCUAGUAGUACAUCUUGUCAGAGAAGUUCGUCUAUGUGGGCCAGUAUAUUUUAGGUGGAUGUAUCCGUUUGAAAGAUAUAUGAAAGUGCUGAAGGGGUAUGUUCAGAAUCGUACUCGUCCCGAAGGUUGCAUUGCUGAGCGGUAUAUAGCUGAAGAAGCGGUAGAGUUUUGUACUCAGCAUUUAUCUGAUGUUAGUACAGUUGGAGUGCCUUCAAGCCAAAAGAUGGGAGUUUCAAAGCCAUUAUCAGGUUGCACAGUGAGCGUAGUUGAUCAGGACCUGUUGAAUCAAGCACAUCUAUAUGUCUUGGAGAAUACGGAGGAAGUCCUACCUUAUAUCGAGUACGUAUGAGUUUUAUUCUUUAAGUUUCCAUUUAAAAUUAUUUCUUAUGUUUAUCUUAUAUAUUUGGGACCGUAAUGCUUGAAUUUUUCGUGUCAUGUAGGCAACAUAUGAUCCACAUCAAGACUGCUUAUCCAAAAUUUAGAAAGAGAACAAAGUGGCUGCAGGAUAAGCACAAUAGCACUUUCAUUCAAUGGCUACGCUUCAAGGUAUAUGUUGUUGAAUAACGUAUUUCUCUUUUAAUUUUCUUCUUAUUUAUAUGUUAGGAUGAAUUAAGAUAUGAUUAAUUUGCAGGUUCAAAGUGAAGUUGAGGAAGACAAUCAUGGCGUAUCAGAAAAUUUAAGGUGGCUAGCAGCUGGUCCAAACAUGUCAGUGCCAUUAUAUAGGAGCUAUCUUAUUAAAGGUAUUAAAUUCAAUAUCAAGGCACAAGAUGAUGUGCGGACAACUCAAAAUAGUGGAGUUUAUUUACUUGCACAUACCAUGCAAGUUGCUAGUGCCAAGGAUAAAAACCCAAUUCUCUCAAAUAUGGGUUUCUAUGGUGUCAUUCAAGAAAUUUGGGACCUUGACUACCAAAAGUUUACAAUCCCAGUCUUUAGGUGUGAUUGGAUAGAUAGUUCUGGUCUUGUAGUCGACGAACUUGGAUUUACCCUUGUAGAUUUGAGUAAAAUUGGACAUAGGAAUGACCAAUUUGUUUUGGCUUCUCAAGUCAAACAAAUAUUUUUUGUUGACGACCCGAUGCAUCGUGGUUGGUCGGUAGUGUUAUCAAUGCCUAGUAGAGAAUAUAAUGAUGUUAUUGGUGAUGAAGUAUUAGGUGAUGUGAUAAUUGAGUGUGAGCCAUUUACUAGAGGGAUGCCAAAUGUUGACACAUUUGAUGAACUGGUAGGUGAGUUAGGCGGUCAAAAUGUNNNNNNNNNNNNNNNNNNNNNNNNNNNNNNNNNNNNNNNNNNNNNNNNNNNNNNNNNNNNNNNNNNNNNNNNNNNNNNNNNNNNNNNNNNNNNNNNNNNNNNNNNNNNNNNNNNNNNNNNNNNNNNNNNNNNNNNNNNNNNNNNNNNNNNNNNNNNNNNNNNNNNNNNNNNNNNNNNNNNNNNNNNNNNNNNNNUAUUGUGAAGCAAUUAUUCAGGAUAUCACGUCGGUGAAGGAUAAAGAACCGCCAUGUAAUUCAAAAUAACACGACUCCAAUCCCAUAAUACCGACGUCUAAAAAACGAGAUAUGUAAUCUGAACGUUAAAAAAUACGACGUCAUCAUACAUUUUCCACGUCGCAAGUUCUUUUAUAAACGAAGAGGAACGAAAUUAAUUCCGACGGAAAUUCAUUAUAACCGCCGUCUAAUAACAAUUAAACGACGUUAUUUGUAAUACGGCUCCCAUCAUAAUCUACGCCGUCUAUAUGUUCUGUAAUACGGCUCUCAUUUAUUUGGAACCGACGUUGUUUAGACGUUCAACGUCGUCUAUAUUAUUAAGUGCGUCGUGAGUAAUGAAUACAUAUAAAUACAACGUCGACUAUAUAAAUGUAUACGUCGUAAAUAAUGACACUGACAACUAUUUCCACGUCAUCUUUUUUAGAUAAAAUCGAAGUGGAAAAUUUAUUUCACGACGGUUUUUUGUAAAUAAGAGACGUUGUAGAACUUUAGCAGACUAAACACGUCUGUUUUUAUUGUUUUCCGACGUUGUUGUAUUUAACAACGUCUAAUAUUUAUGGUCGUUGUUUGUUUCUGAAAAUAGGACGUAUAAAUUUUUUAAUACGACUCUCAUAUAUUUGUAACUGACGUUGUUUAGUUUUUCAACGUCUACUAUAGAAACACAUACGUCGUAAAUAAUGACACUGACAACUAUUUCCACGUCAUCUUUUAUCAAAAAAUCGAAGUGGAAAAUUAAUUGUACGACGGUUGUGUUUAUAUGUGCGACGUAGUAGGUAUCAAUAACGUCGUCUUCUAAUGUAUUUAAAGACGUCAUAUUUUUUAUUGUCGUGAAAAUUAUAUUUAACGUCGGCGUAUUUUUAUUGUCGUCGUUGUAUGUCUAUCUUGCGGCCUUGUUCUCUUAAUAUGUGUCAUAUUUUCCCUUUUUAACGACGGUCUUUUUAGAGAAUUGGUCGUCUAUUAUCAUCAUCGAUUGCUUUUUUUAGAUCUUUUGCAGUACAAAGACGUCGUUUUGUAUUUUUUGAUGACGUUGUAUUGUUUAACAACGACGGUUAUUUAGCGUCGUGGUUUAUGAGGGAAAAGAUGACGGUGGAUUCCACGACCAUUGAAAAACCAAAUACACGACGGUGAUUUACCGUCGUCUUUUUGCUUUUUUGUAGUAGUGUGUAUACUGGAGAAGUUUUGUGCGCUCUCAUUAGGAUUGCACUAUACAACCAUACGGACAAUUGAGGCACAUAGUGUCAUGGACCAAGAGUUCAUUGACUCAAAUGAUUUUAAGCUUUGGUAUGACUGGGUGGGUCAUCCUGGAUCCACCAUGAUGCGUAGGAUCAUCACCAACUCUAAAGGACAUCCCUUAUUGACAAAACACAUUAUGGCAUCAAGUGACAGCUUUUGCCAAGCUUGUUCACAAGGGAAGUUGGUGAUCAGACCAUCACGACCAAAGGUUGAUGUUGAGUCCCCAUCAUUUUUGCAAAGAAUCCAAGAGGACAUUUAUGGGCCUAUUCAUCCUCCCUGUGGACUAUUUCGGUACUUUAUGGUCUUAGUGGAUGCAUCUACCCGAUGGUCGCAUAUUUGCCUUUUGUCCACUCGGAAUAUGGCAUUUGCUAGGCUCUUGACUAAGAUAAUUAAAUUACGAGUCCAAUUCCCAGAUUAUCCCAUUAAGUCAAUCAGACUCGAUAAUGCUGGUUAAUUUACAUCUCAGACUUUUGAUGACUACUGCAUGUCAUAGUCAUUGACAUUGAACAUCCUGUUCCCCAUGUUCAUACUCAAAAUGGUUGGCAGAAGCUUUAAUUAAGCGUCUUCAAUUGAUAGCAUGCACUUUGUUAAUGAAAAUAAAGUUGCCAGUUUCUGCUUGGGGAUAUGACAUUUUACAUGCAGCAUCACUGGCGCAGUUAAGGCCCGUAACCAACAAUCAAUAUUCUCCAAUACAACUCGUGUUGGGUAAUCAACCAAACAUUUCCCAUUUAAGAGUUUUUGGGUGUGCGGUAUAUGUGCCAAUUGCACCACCGCAACGUACUAAGAUGGGCCCUCAACGCAGAUUGAGAAUUUAUGUUGGUUUUGAUUCCCCAUCUAUCAUCAGAUAUUUGGAGCCCCUGACGGGUGAUAUCUUUACCGCACGAUUUGCAGAUUGUCAUUUUGAUGAGACAAUCUUCCUACCAUUAGGGAGAGAAAAAUCUGUUCCUAAAGAACAACAAGGCAAACUCGUUCAUGAAGAACGACAUGAAUUAUCGUGGGACGUACCCGCUUUGUCUCAUCUCGAUCCUCGUAUCGCUCAAUGCGAAAACGAAGUAAGAAGGAUCGUUCACCUCCAAAGUAUUGCAAAUCAGAUGCCAGAUGCAUUUAAUGAUGCAGCAAAGGUGACGAAAUCACAUAUCCAAAUUUGUUACAACUUUCUUAUCACCUUAUUAAAAAAUUACAUAAGAAAAAAUAUUAGUUUUUUUUUUUCCUUUUUUGAAAGACUCCAACAAAUAAGACUUACCUAAUUAAUGGUUUAGAAGAAAAAAAAUCAAUAAUCAAACUUACCGAAUUAAUGGUUUGAAAAUGCAAUCAAUGAACUUCCUUUUAAAACAGACUUCCUUAGCAAGACGUCUUUUGUCUGUAUAAAAAAAAAAAAAAAGGAUAUAUCUUUUGUGGAUAUUUUUAAGGUCAUUAUUGUGUUUUUUUUUUAAAAAAAAAAGUUUUUCCUCUAAAAAAAUAGACAUUUUCUUUUUUUUUUAAACAGAAUUUUUUAUUUUUUAUAAAUAUUUUUUACAUAUGGUAAGAGAGUUGUAAAAAAAAUUUGAUAAAUUGAAGGACAAUACAUUUAAUAAGGGUAAACUUGGAAAACAAAAUGUGGUUUGUUUGAUGUAUUAGUGUCAUUAUUUUAAGUGUAUGAGAAAUGACACAUGUCAUGAGGAAAAGAAAGAAGGUCCAAAAGAGAAGGUUGGAGAGAAGGUUACUAGCAUUCCGUAUCAUUUAAUGAAACAAACUCUAACAGUUAGUUCUUUCUCAUGUGAAAUUUUUUACAUUUCUCACUUCUUCACAUGCACACUGCCUUUUCUCAACUGGUCUGUCAAUUUUCUAUUGUAUGAACUUAUUGAUGUGUAUGAGUUCCUAUCGUGUAUUGAGGGAACAAACAAAAAAGAAGACAGAUUAGUCAAUGAAAUAAUGUAUGGAAUUUGCAUUAUUUCUUUAUGUAAUUUUCAUAUUAAAUGACGAAGAAAAUUCUAGAGGAAGACAGAUUAGUCAAUGAAAUCAUGUAUGGAAUUUUCGUUCUUUCUUUAUGUGAUUUUCAUAUUAAACGACGAAGAAAAUUCUAGAUGAAGACAGAUUAGUCAAUGAAAUAAAGUAUGGAAUUUUCCGCUAUUUCUUUAUAUAAUUUUCAUAUUAAAUGACGAAGAAAAUUCUAGAGGAAGACAGAUUAGUCAAUGAAAUAAUGAUGGAAUUUUUGCUAUAGGAAGGCAGAUUAGUCAAUGAAAUAAUGUAUGAAAUUUCCACUAUUUCUUUAUGUAAUUUUCAUAUUAAAUGACGAAAAAAAUUCUAAAGGUAGACUUAUCAGAAAAGGAUAUACAUGUGCUCAUAAAUGAAAAAGUAAAAUACAUGUCCUCCUCCUUUGUUCUGAGGAGUGGGACAAAAGUGGGUGUUUAUAAGACUUUGAGGAAGGCUUUUUUUUUUUUUCAAAAAAAAAAAAGUUUUUCCUCUAAAAAAAUAGACAAUUUCUUUUGAAAAAAACAGAAUUUUUUAAUUUUUUAAAUAUUUUUUACAUAUGGUAAGAGAGUUGUAAAAAAAUUUGAUAAAUUGAAGGACAAUACAUUUAAUAUGGGUAAUUUUGAAAAACAAAAUGUGGUUUGUUUGAUGUAUUAGUGUUAUUAGUUUAAGUAUAUGAGAAGUGACACAUAUCAUGAGGAAAAGGAAGAAGGUCCAAAAGAGAAGGUUGGAGAGAAGGUUAGUAGCAUUCCGCAUCAUUCAAUGAAACAAACUCUAACAGUUAGUUCUUUCUCAUGUGAAAUUUUUUACAUUUCUCACUUCUUCACAUGCAUACUGCCUUUGCUCAACUGGUCUGUCAAUUUUCUAUUAUGUAUGAACUUAUUGAUGUGUAUGAGUUCCUAUCGUGUAUUGGGGGAACAAACAAAAAAGAAGACAGAUUAGUCAAUGAAAUAAUGUAUGGAAUUUCCAUUAUUUCUUUAUGUAAUUUUCAUAUUAAAUGACGAAGAAAAUUCUAGAGGAAGACAGAUUAGUCAAUGAAAUCAUGUAUGAAAUUUCCGUUCUUUCUUUAUGUGAUUUUCAUAUUAAAUGACAAAGAAAAUUCUAGAUGAAGACAGAUUAGUCAAUGAAAUAAAGUAUGGAAUUUCCGCUAUUUCUUUAUAUAAUUUUCAUAUUAAAUGACGAAGACAAAAUUAUAGAGACAGACAGAUUAGUCAAUGAAAUAAUGUAUGAAAUUUUUGCUCUAGGAAGACAGAUUAAUCAAUGAAAUAAUGUAUGAAAUUUCCUCUAUUUCUUUAUGUAAUUUUCAUAUUAAAUGACGAAAAAAAUUCUAAAGGUCGACUUAUUAGAAAAGGAUAUACAUGUGCUCAUAAAUGAAAAAGUAAAAUACACGUCCUCCUCCUUUGUUAUGAAGAGUGGGACAAAAGUGGGUGUUUAUAAGACUUUGAGGAAGGCUUUUCCCAAUCAAUCAAUGAAGAUUAGAGGAAGAGUUUUACCAAUCAAUCAAUGAAGGCUAGAGGAAGAGUUAAAUAGCAACAAAUGGCCCCCUUUUUGGUUGGGGGAACGUGUGUGUGGGUGUUAAAAUUCAUUGGAGAAAGACAAGAGGACUAUACCACAUCAUGUGUGGUAGAUAAUGUGUCAAUUUGGAAAUAGCUUUAGUAGCAAGUGGACUAUACUAGCCACCUACAGCUUUAAGCCUGAUCAUUCAGAUAAUGCUUGUAUCCUUUGUUUUACCGCGGCUACUAACAUAAAGAAAGCCGAUACUUUCGUUGCCUCUUCUACCUCCACGCGGCAUUGCUCUGUCGGGCUUUCUCCUAUUGCGGAUAAUUCCCCAUUAUUGCCUUCGGUAGGAAUAUGGGCUGUGUCUCAAUUAGUGUGGUUGAUCUUCCGAAUUGCCUUAGUUAGCUUUGCCUUACCAACUACCUAAUUAGACACAAGGCCCCUCCUCGGAGAAAAGUUACUAGCAGAACUAUAUAAGACUUUUAACAGUUGUCACAUAUGAUUAUGUGUGUUAAACCUCUUUCAACCUUAACCCUAGAAUUACACAGAGUAACAAGUAUUAUUUAUUGAAUUAUCGAAACAGUACAAUAUUCUCAACAACUCAUUCUUGAUACAAUAAUUCCCUAAUAGAGUUGUAAGCUCUAAUUAACCAAUUAUGUUAUAAACUAAUUUCUUAACUAAUCAAUUAAUAAACUGACUAUGCCGGCUCAUCACUAAUCCAGCUCAGCAAUGAUGAAGGUUCCUAAUAAUGUGAUCAGUCGAUGUGACGUAGUGUUAUUGAUUAAAAUAUAGCCAUCCCUACCACCUCAUGUAAAUCCCACAAGACUCCUAUUCACGGAGGGGAAGAAAGUAGGGGGAAUGCUAGCAACCUUUUCUCUAACCUUCUCUUUUGGACCUUCUGUUAGUAUGAAAAUAGUGUUGUCAUUUCCUAGACUCUAGCAUAGGUUGAAAAUUAGUGUGUGAAGAAUUGUUACUGGACGUUUUGGCACAACUCAUUCAACCCCAUACAUCCGAGGCAUGACUUGACCGAUAUGAGAAACUUGAUUUCAGGUAAAUCAUGGCAUAAUCAUGCAUUCAUUAUAGGAUUCCUAGUUUGAGUUUUCUUUUUCAAUCAAGUAUUUUUAUGUUAAUCUUAUUUUUAAUAGGAUUAGACUUUAUCUCUUAAGAUUACUUUUCUAGUUGAACUCUAUCUUGAUUUAAGUUAAAAUAUUAUCUUUUCCUAAGUGACAUGCACAAUGCUUAUUUUCCAAUUACCUUGCUUUAGGAGUCAAUUGGUUCUUCAUAAAAGUGGACGGUUGGUAACAUCAUUAAGAGUCCUUAAUGAAUCAGACUUUGUAUUUUUAUUGAAUCAGAAUUUAUAUUGUUAAUCGGAUAACUGUUUGGCCCUUAUGUGGCGUCUCAUUUAGGAGAUCAUAUUGCACCAGGUUUAAAAGAGUCUUAGCUGAAUUGGUCUUAGAGUUAUAAUUGUUUUGGAAGUGUAGUCUCGCAAGUUUCUCUCCUGUGAGAGAAACUUGCUUUGAAUAAAAGGAUGUCUGUUUCUUUUCAUUGUAGCUUUUGAACGUAUAAAAUUGUUGGGGUAUAUUGAAUCUAUGUUGGGAAAAGCUGCUGUACUUAGUUUACUCGGUAAGUCAUCAAGUGCUUAUGUUGCUUGGUGAUUGAUCAAAUUCAUUCAUCAUUCAUAUUGCAUUCAUUUGCAUUGUUCGGUGACUCAUACGGUUGAGGGCACCAAGACCGUGGUGACGGUUUUUUCUCCGGUGAGCUUGAAACAAUGAUGACCAGUAUUGCGUUUAACAUAAGGAGUGUCGAAGAUCAUCCCUUGACAGAAGUUGAAUUACGAAGAAGUUGGUAAACGUCAUCUAGAAUGUGUCUAGAAUAAGUGUGUGAGUACUUCUUGUAAUCAUCGUUCUAUAGUGGAUUUGUAUUGGACUGAGGAGUCCCAUGGAUUUUUUCCAGAGGAGGGGUUUUACCACGUAAAAUAAUUCUCUGUGUGUUUCUUUAUUUUAUGUUCAGCAUGUUUCAGGAUUGAUAAGCCAUAUCAAUCCUGCUACAUAAGUUUAUUUUUACUUAUUUGAUUAUAAUAUUAAAUUGGCCUAUUCUCCCCCCUUUAGGCAUUUUUAGUCAUCCUACAGGUAUUUUCACCUUCUUCCUUUUCUUUAUGACAUGUGGAUUUUUUUAAGGUCAUUAUUGUGUUUUUUUUUAUAACCAAAAAAAAAAAACGUUUUCCUCUGUAAAAAAAAAAAAAAAAGACAUUUUCUUCAAAAAUAUAUAUAUAUAUAAAUUUUAAAAUUUAAAUUUUUUUACAUAUGGUAAGAGAGUUGUAAGAAAAAAUUGGAUAAAUUGAAGGACAAUACAUUUAAUAAGGGUAAACUUGAAAAACAAAAGGUGGUUUGUUUGAUGUAUUAAUGUCAUUAUUUUAAGUUGUAUGAGAAGUGACACAUAUCAUGAGAAAAAAGAAGAAAAUCCAAAAGAGAAGAUUGGAGAGAAGGUUACUAGCAUUCCCUAUAUAUAUGUACGUUUUUUGGUGAGAAAAAUCCCUUCGAGUAGACAAGAAAUUGUACAGGAAAUUGUACAUUUUUUUGUCUUUUCGCAUUUUUCUUUUCAUGUUAAAGUAGUUUAGGACCGUCCUCUUUCAAAGCAGACAUGUGCAGUUGCAAAAGACCAUCGUGCAUGUUUAUGGGAAAAAACAAAACCUCUAGCCCACUUGGCUAUAAAUUAUUGUAUGUAUGCCAUUUACCUUCUUCUUCUUCCUUUUUUUUUUUUUUUUCCUGCAUGUCAUUUACUAUUUUACGUGAUAUGUGCAUCUGUGAGAAUGAUAGCUCCCAAACGUUCGGCACCAUGAGUGAUUAACUAUUUUGAUUAUAGAAUUUAAAGUUAAAUGAUUUUAAUUAUGUGGAAUUUUUUAGACCAGAACCUCGAUUUAUUCAAAUUAUAGAAGUUCAAUUUAACAACUUUUGUGCAAUUAGAACCAGAGAGAGAAUGGAUUUCUUGAGUUGUUGUAUCGUCCUGCUAAACCUUUUCUUUGUGUUGUUGUUCUCAAUUAUUCAAGCUCUGCAAAGCAAAGCCAAUCCCGAAAGGCAUCUUCUCCCACCUGGACCAAAGCCAUUUCCCUUCAUUGGCAAUCUUUUAGAGCUUGGCAACAAACCCCAUCUCUCUCUCACCAAGCUUUCUCAAAUCUAUGGCCCCAUUAUAACUUUGCAAUUCGGCCAAUAUUCAUAUUGGGGAUUCCCCAUCCCCACCUUUAAUGGGGAAUGGGUUCCCCGUCCAACCCCACCUUUUGGGAUUGGCCUUGCUUUGCAGAGCUUGAAUAAUUGAGAACAACAACACAAAGAAAGAUGGCACCAGGUAUGUCAGAGGUCGUAUACUCAAGUAAGAUGGCAACAGGUAUGUCUUUACGUAUUUCAAAUUGUGUGAAGAUUUUGAACAUGUAUAUUAAAGAAAUCUCACAGUUGGUAUCAGAGCCAGGUUGUUCGCACACACUAAAAUCGUUUUUCAAGCAUGCCAAUUACGAUUUCUUAUAUGUUUAUGCCAUGAUGAGUUUUUGGUGAUGUUCAAAAUUUGAAGAUGGAUUAAACAUGUUUUCUAAAUAUCGAGAAUAUUAAAGAAUCUGGAAAAGCAUGUUUUAAUUUGAUUUUCAUAUCUUCAAAACUUUAAACACGUUUUUGACCUACCUGAUGACCUGAAAACCCCAAAAAUGCCCAUAUGUAAUAGCAUAGUUGUGAGUUGUGUUAAUUAUGUCAUUCCCUAUUUAGAAAGGUAUUUUGCGUCAAAAACGAACACCAAAAACGUCUAAAACACUGUUCACUGCAGAAAUUACUAUUCACUGCAAUUUAGGGUUUUCUCUCUUGAACUGUAUUUGUUUCGUUAUUUUCUGAGCUAGAUAGGUGCUUAUUUUUGUUCUGAGAAUCAACAAAUUUUUCUUAACAAAACCAAACCUAAAUACUCAAAUCCUAAAGAAAUAACAAAAAUUGCAUCAUACCUAAAUUACUUGAUAAGUUUCUUCAACAAAUAGAAUCUGUCAUGUAAUUUAUUUAUGAUGGCACAAGAUAACACGUAAUUUGUGUAAGGUAUAAGUAAUCUCUUGCCACAAAGGUGUGAUACUUAAUUAAGGAAGCUUGCAUAUAUUAUUUGUUAGUUUAAUGAAUAAAGUGAAAUGGAAAAACUAUUUUCUCUUAACAAAUUGAGAAUUGGUGUCUUGGAAAGUAAUUAUGUUUUUUUUUUUUUGGUUGCAAAUCCUUACAGCUUUGAACGCUCUCUCAAUCAAUUUCUCACAAAUUGAAAGAUUCACUGGAACAAACUUCAAAACAUGGACGUAUGAUUUUGAAGUUAUUCUCGGAAUGAAUGAGAUCGUUUAUGAUCUCACUCAUGAUUAUAUUUAAUUCAAGCUAGCCAUUUCGCUUAUGUGUCUUGUAGUACAACUCCUAGAGCUUAGGAAAAAGGAAAAGCCUCUGGUGGUUAAUAGGAGCCACUCGUGCCAACUAAUCACAAAUGAAAUUCUAGUAAAGAAUACAAUGGAGCUAAUUAAGAAGCGGAACGAAGAUGAGCUGGAGCAAAAAAGGGUUAAGAUGCAGUGACGUCGUCGAUCUUAUGGAGGACCCAUAAGGAUAUACAUGGCUACAAAGGACGGUCUCAGAAGUCUCAGGAUCACUGUAAAGCUCGGUGUAUGCGCUUAUGGGAGAGGACGAAACAUCAAUAAGCUAAUUCGAUACAAAAAUCUCCUAGUGUAGUUUGUGAAACAUACGCCCCAACUUGAAUCACUUGUUGAGAUUUUUGAUACCUCCACUAAUAGGGAGAUAGUGGUACUUAACCCGUUCCUUGCUAGGGAGAACAACACUUUGGCAUCAUGUUGUGACAAGGAGGAUUAGAUAGCUACAUGUUGUUUUCAUUAAAUAUUAUUGGAAUAUUUAAUUUUAAGUUGGAUUUAGGAUUUAUUUUAAAGUUGGAUGAUGUAGUUUCAUUACCGUAAAUAAAGAGAAAUUUAAUUUCUAAUUCAAGAUUAUUAAGACUUGGUUUUAUUUUGGAUUCAAUAAAGAUGUUUUUGUAUCUCAGAAUUCAAAGACAAUAAAGAUGGAUUAUACUGUCUCAAUUACAAUAAAUCUUUUUGAUAUCAACAAACGGGUGUUCACCAUUAAACAGAAUGGUGCAGUCAUCCACAAAUACUACAGCCAACUGCAGCACAUCUUUCAAGAAAUUGAAUCGCAUGCACUGCGACGCCGAUGUGACUGAUUGCCAGAAAGAACUAGAUUGUCUUCGUGUUCACCUUUUUCUUGUCGGGCUCAACCCUGAGUUUGAUCAAGUUCGGGGGGAAAACCUAUGCAAAGAUCCUAAAUGAGACCAUGAUCAAAGCUUUGCAUAUGUACGUCGCGAAGCUCAACAACGACUGACCAUGGCCAGUGCUCCGGAAACCGUUGUGAUGGUCACUCAACGUCAACAAGGCCCUUAGAUCUCUACUGGUGGCUCUUCUCAUACUAAGGUCACAGACACUCAUCUGGAGCAUAAAUGCACUCACUGUGGUGGAAGUAAACAUACCCGUGCUGGUUGUUACGAAUUGAUUGGGUGCCCAGAUUGGUGGGACCACUCCAAAGCUCCCCCCAAGAAUAGGAGCAAAUCACCCAACACAUCUUCUGACUCAGAUCUUGUAAGUCCUGCUGUUUCAACUACAUCGGCUCUCGCCUCUGCAUCUGUAGCCAUAACAGGUAACCAAGGUUAUGUUUUACAUAGUUCUUCAAAGAAACAUACAUGAAUUAUUGACACCGGAGCCACUGAUCAUAUGACCUUUGAUCCUGGACAAAUUGCCUCUCAUACACCGUCUCCUCAAUCAGUGGUGUCUAAUGCCAAUGGUACCCUAUCCCCUAUAAUUAGGGAGGGUUCACUCUCUCUCUUUCUAAUUCUUUCAAUUUGGAUUCUGUGUUGAUUAUUCCAUCCUUACAUCAUAAUCUCUUGUUUGUUGCCCAAAUUACUAAGGCUUUGAAUUGCACUGUAACCUUUUGGCCUACUCAUUGUGGUUUUCAGGACAUUCUCAGUAACAAGACAAUUGGUUGUGGUACUAGGAGGGGCAAACUUUACUACUUGGACUUAGCAUCUGACAAUGAAACACACUACCGAAGUAUGGUUAUGGCAUCGGCGUCUUGGAUAUGCUUCGUUUGGAUAUUUACAGAAGCUAUUUCCUCCCUUAUUUUCCAAUUUAGAUAUUUUCAAUUUUAAGUGUGACAUUUGUGAAUUGGCCAAGAGCCAUCGUGUUCCUUUUCCCUUAAGUUCAAAUAAAAGUUUAGUUCCAUUUUCUCUUGUUCAUUCUGAUGUUUGGGGCCUUGCUAAAAUUACCACUCCAGGGGGAGCUCGAUGGUUUGUCAUGUUUAUAGAUGAUUGCACCCACAUGACCUGGGUUUCCCUUCUAUAAAAAAAAGAGGAAGUCAGUUCCAAGUUUCAAUAGUUCUAUCAAAUGGUGGAGACUCAGUUUCAUGCUAGAAUUCAGAUUCUUCGUUCUGACAAUGACAGAGAAUUUCUUGACCAUGAUCUUAACAAGUUCUAACAAGAUCAUGGCAUCAUACAUCAACGCUCAUGCCCCUACACUCCCCAACAAAAUGGAGUCCCUGAAAGAAAGAACAUACAUUUAUUGGAAGUAGUUCGUGCCUCUCUCUUUGGUGCCAAUAUGCCUUGAUCUUUUUGGAGAGAAGCCGUCGUCUCUACAGCAUACCUCAUCAAUCGGAUACCUUCCAGUAUCCUAAAUUUCCAAACACCACUUCAAACGCUUCACCAUCAUAUCCAAAUACCUCCUACCCCAAACCUAGAACCCUGUAUUUUUGGCUGUGUUAUAUUUGUCCAAUUACAUGAUCACCAACGAAGCAAAUUAGAUCCCCAAGCCGAGAAGUGUGUUUUCAUUGGCUAUGCACCUCAUCAGAAAGGAUACCGAUGUUAUCAUCCUCCUAGUCAGAAGGUCUACAAUUCCAUGGAUGUUGUGUUCCAGGAACAUGACUUAUAUUUUUCAGCAGUACAUAAGGAGAAUCAAGAAUCCACCACUCCUCAAAUUGUCGAUUUUUUCCCCAAGAUGUCACUCUGCUUCAAAACGACCGGUCGCCAAUGGAAAGCGACCGGUCGCCCCCCCUUAGGUCUUCAAACAUGGAGAACUUGCUUCCAAAUGACUGGUCGCCAGAAGACAACAAAUGGUCGCUAGAGGAAAAUUAUCAGUUGUCUCCACGCUAUCAAAAUCAGGAGGAGGAAAUUGAACCGUUUAUGAGAUUUUGCCCGCUUUAGUUCCAGUACCACACCAAUCACCUGCUAAGGAAGUCAUUCAGGUAACAUCUUUCCCUGAAACUGAUAACACUAAUGAAAUAUCCCAUGAUGAUUGAUUUCAGAAGGCAUAGAGGCUACAUGUCAGCUUCCAGAAAGGAAGAAUCGUGGCAAACCUCGAGUACAAUAUGAAGCAAAUCUUAAAGCCAAGGGAAAAUACCCCAUCAAUAAUUAUAUAUCUCUCAGUAGAUUAUCAGAGUCACAUGUGCACUAUGUGAAGUUGUUGGCUAACAUAUCUGUCCCCAACAGUGUGACUGAAGCAAUAGAAGACCCAAAAUGGAAAGAAGUCAUGAAUGAAGAAAUGCGAGCUCUGCAAAAGAAUGUCACAUGGGAACUCGUGCCCUUACCUCAUGGAAAGAAGACAGUAGGAUGCAGGUUUUUUUAUAUUGUGACACUCAAAGCAGAUAGAUCCAUUGAAAGAUAUAAAGCUAGAUUGGUGGCGAAGGGGUGCACACAGAGAUAUGUGAUAGACUACCAGGAGACCUUUGCCCCAGUAGCCAAGAUUAACACUAUUAGAGUCAUAUUUUCUCUAGCAGCAAAGCUCGAAUGGCCACUACAUCAGUUUGAUGUCGAAAAUGCAUUCUUACAUGGAGACUUGGAAGAAGAAGUAUAUAUGGACUUACCCCCAGGAUGUAAUUCAGCUCUUGACAAGAAGAAUCAAGUUUACGAGCUCAAAAAGUCAUUACAUGGGUUAAAGCAAUCUCCUAGGGCAUGGUUUGGCAGAUUUAUUAAAUCUAUGAAGAAUUUUGGAUAUAAACCGAAUAAUUCAUCACACCCUGUCCUUGAAGCGUGAUGAAGGAAAACUUAUUGCAUUGAUUGUUUAUGUAGAUGACAUAGUCGUACUGGAAACGACGCAUGAGAGCAACUGAAGUUGCAAAAGUAUUUGUCUUAGGAAUUUGAGAUGAAGAAUUUAGAUGAUCUGAAGUACUUUCUCGGAAUCGAAGUAGCAAGGUCAAAAACUGGUAUAUUUCUGUCUCAAAGGAAGUAUGUAAUGGAUCGACUCACUGACACAUGAAUGCUUGGAUGUAAGCCUGCUGACACACCCAUUGAUAUGAAUCACAAGUUGUGUGAAGAUAUGAACCAAGAACCAACCAAUAUGGAACAGUACCAACGCCUUGUUAGAAGGUUGAUAUACCUGGCAUACACAAGACUAGAUAUUGCAUAUGCUGUGAGUGUGGUUAGUCAGUUUAUGCAUUCACCCAGUGUUUCUCAUAGAAAUGCAGUUGAUCGGAUCUUAAGAUACUUAAAGUUAGCCCCUAGGAAAGGAUUAAUGUUCUAAAAAAAUGGAGAUCUUGAAGUUGUUGGAUAUACAGAUGCUGAUUGGGCUGGUUCCAGUACAGAUAGACGCUUUACUUCUGGUUACUUUACAUUUGUUAGAGGUAACCUAGUCACUUGGCAGAGUAAAAAAAUAAAAUGUGGUUUCUCAGUCUAGUGCAGAAGCAGAGUAUUGAGGAAUGACUCAAGGAGUCUGUGAAUUAUUGUGGAUCAGAAGACUCUUGACAGAAUUGAGCUUCAAGCUAGAAAAGCCAAUGGAGUUGCAUUGUGACAACAAGUCAGCUAUCGAUAUUGCCCAUAAUCCAAUUCAACAUGAUCGAACCAAAUAUGUUGAGGUGGAUAGACAUUUCAUCAAAGGAAAAAUUGAUAAUAAGAUCAUCUGCCUACCAUUCGUAAAAUCAGAAGAUCACCUGGCAGAUGUCUUAACAAAAGCUAUUUGUGAAAGAGUAUUUCAUGACUCACUUACCAAGUUGGGCAUUGGUGACAUAUAUACACCAACUUGAAGAGGAGUGUUGAAGUGAGUCUCCUAAUUAAUCAAGGAGAUGUAUUUCCUUGAUUAAUUAAGGGAUUUACUUUCUUGUUUUAUAUAGUUGACAAAUCAUUGUAUAAUUAGGAGAUACUAUCCUAAUUGAUUACUGUAUCUAUAUCCUUGUAAAGCACUUAUGUAAAUUCCUAUAUAUAUCUUCUUAUGGAGAAGAAUAAAACUUAACCUAAAGUAUUCAAACCAUAUUCAUAUUUUAGCAAGCUGUAGCCGCACCUUUCUUUUACCGCCCGUUAUUUUUGUGUCUCCGUUGCACCGUCUUCAUUGCAGACCGUCCUCUCCAUUGAGCUCUCUCGUGGCAAGCCACGGCAGCUCCAUUUAUCUCCCUGGGUAGUGAUGGCCAAAUUUCUGUUUCCUCACCGAGCCUCGUCACUACUCACCGAGCAUUCUCCUCACCAGCCUUUAUCUCUCUCAUGCCGUGUAACUCAAGUGGUUUUGAACUAGGGAUGGCAAUGGGUCGAAUCGGGGGUGGGUAUGCCUUUUCCAUCCCCAUCCCGUUUUUUUUCCAAUUCCCACCUUCAUUACUACAAUAUUCAUAUUGGGAAUUUCCCAUCCCAACCUUCAACUGGGAAUGGGUUCCCCUACUUGCCCCAUUACGUACGGAAGAAAAAUCAAUAUAAAACUACUUUUUUUGAAAGAAAAUAAACAGGACUAGAGCAAGACAAUGAGUACAUAUAAUAUAUUAUCUACGUACAAUGUUUACAUAUUGACUAGGAAGUUAACUAAAUAUAUAAGUAGUGUAGCGUAAGAUUUGUAUAAAUUUUAUAAAUAUAUAAUAUAAAACUUAGUCGGCACAAUCACUUUAAUAACAUAUUUAAAUAUACUAUAUUCUAAAUAGGGAGGGUUCGGGUCGGGGAUUAAAAUACCGUCCCUCCCCCUCCCCUAACACCAUAUCCAAAAAAUUGACAGUACCUGCCCUCAUACCCGUUUGUUAUCCUUCUUACCCGACCAUUAGGGUCGAAUCCAUGUGAAGACCCUUACCCGUGGGAAAAAUUGCCAUCCAUAUUUUGAACAGUUAUCUUCCUUGCACUCGAGAUUCUGUGUUUGAAUCUCACCCACCCAAUAUCGAUCGCUUUUAUUUUUAAAAAAAAAUAGAGACUAUCUCGUGUAUAUAUAAUAUAUCUCAAUCAUUCAUCAAGUUUGAAUCUCAAUAACAAUUGGUUGUUGUAAGAACGUCCAACAGAAUUAACUAUGAAGAUUUAUUGGGGUGCAUAGAGUAAUUGGACUGUCUUGGCUUUAUGGGGCUCCUAUCUAUUAUAGGGGGGAUUCUUAUCCUGGUGUAUGAUUUUUGUUUGUAAAAUCACCCCAGUUGCCCUUCAAUAUGAUGGUAGAUUGACCUUGCGAAGGCUAUAUCUAAAGGAAAAGCACAGAGCCAUGCCACUAGAAUACAGAUUUUUGUUUUGUAAAUUUUUUAUUAAGUUAUUCGGUGUUGAUUUUUCAAGUACUUAGCAUGAAAAAAAAUGAAAUAGAAUGAUUUUUUUCAUUAAAAAAACACUUUUGAAUGAAGCCAAUUUGGCCAUCUAAAAAGAUUCUGUUUUAGCGGAUAGCUAGUAACUUUCUUUCUGUCCAAACUAGACGCAUAACUAAGUCCAAACGAUAAGACUUGUCGGAUUGGGAGGCUCUCCCUCCCUCCUUCAACUUUUAUGUGUGUGUGUGCGUGCGAUUAGAACCAAAGAGAGAAUGGAUUUCUUUUGUUUUUGUAUGGUCCUGCUAAGCCUUUUCUCUGUGUUAUUGUUCUCAAUUACUCAAGCUCUGCAAAGCAAAGCCAAUCCCAAAAGGCAUCUUCUCCCACUUGGACCAAAGCCAUUUCCCUUCAUUGGCAAUCUUCUAGAACUUGGAAACAAACCCCAUCAAUCUCUCACCAAGCUUUCUCAAAUCUAUGACCCCAUUAUAACUCUGCAACUAGGCUAAGUAACAACGGUGAUUCUUUCUUCACCAAACACAGCCAAACAAGUCCUCCGAACCCACGACCAAUUCUUGUCCAACCGAACCAUCCCAGAUGCAUUUCAAGCCUAUGACUUUCGCCAGGACAGCCUGCCAUGCAUACCACCUUCGGCCAAAUGGAGAAGCCUUCGACAAAUAUGCAACUCUCAAUUGUUCGCCGCCAAAAUCCUCAAAGCCAACCAACCCAACCGCCGCAUAAAAGUGCAAGAGCUCAUAUCUCAGGUCAACGAAAGUACAGUCAAUAGUGAGGCGGUAGUUAUUGGAAGGGCCGCUUUCACUACGCUCAUUCUGCUGUCUCGUAUUGUUUUCUCAGUGGAUUUGGCUAACUCAAGUAGCGAGAUGGCCAGGGAGUUCAAGGAGACUGUGUGCGGUUUGAUGGAAGGGGUAGGGACCCCAAACGUGGGGGAAUUGUUUUCCUGUCUUUAGGAAAAUUGACCCCCAGGGCAUUAGGCAGAGCAUGAUCAAACAUUUCAAUUAGAUGGAACAACUCUUUGACUGCAUGAUUAGCCAAAGAUUGGCAUCAAGAAAAGCCCAUGAUUAUGUCAGAACCAAUGAUAUGCUGGAUACUCUUUUGAACAUCAGUGAAGCGAAUAGUGAGGACAUGGACAAGACCAAAAUUCGACAUAUGUUUCUGGUUAGUUAUUUUGUCUUUGCUCAUCAUUAUAGUUAAACUACUAUAUCAAUUAAUUUAAUUUACAGAGAGAAGGGAUUCAAACUUAAGUGCAAAGAGUUGGCGAACUGGCCUGGCCUGGCCUGACCGUCUACUCUCGUUAGGUGUUUUUUAUUUUGGUUUUUAAUCCCAUUUUGUUUUUCUGACUUGUUAUGUUAAAAAGGCUCUAUUUGCCGCGGGGACUGAUACAACUUCAGCCACAUUGGAAUGGGCCAUGGCUGAGCUGCAACGCGACCUUGAAAAGCUGUCAAAAACUCAACAAGAGCUGGAGCAAAUCAUUGGCAAAGGAAAACCAGUAGAAGAAGCAGACCAAAAUAAUGGUUUUUUGCUUGGCAUUGCAUGUCAAUUGGCAUGCUCGUGCUUGAAUUUUAUUAUUUUUUAAAUGGCUAUGAUUGAGUCAAAACGACGCUUGACGGGAUAACAUUUAGCAUGGGUUCAUAGAGCCAGUACAUUUUACGGGCUUGCUACGACCUUUUUACUUAGCGUGUUGCAUAUUUGCUUGGCGUGGCACGUAGAUUGCAACUCGCGUGAGAGUGUAUGAUGAACUUUCGCAUGCCCAAAUGGGGGUUUCUUUUUAGUAAGGUGUCGCACUGGGCCAGGAAUAUAUUUGGGCCCACUCUUAGAUUUUUUUGGGCCUCAACACACUCAAGAUUCUGUGUUUGAAUCUCACACACCCAAUAUCGAUCGCUUUUAUUAAAAUAAAAUAAAAUAAAAAAUAGAGACUAUGUCGUGUAUAUAUCUCAAUCAUUCAUUAAGUUUGAAUCUCAAUAACAAUUGGUUGUUGUAAGAACGUCCAGCAAAAUUAACUAUGAAGAUAGUUUUUUCUUUGAGGAAGGUUUAUUGGGGUGCAUAGAGUAAUUGGACUGCCUUGGCUUUAUGGGGCUCCUACCAUUGUUGACAAUGGGGCUACUAAUUAUAUUGGCCGUGUUUGUGUUUAAAUAGCUUGAGAAAAUUUGAAGUUUCUUGCCCACAAAGAGAAUUCUUACAAGAUUUGAUGACCUUAAACAUGGUGCAAGUUAAAAGAACAGUAGGGUUGGUAGGGUUGGUGGUCCUUUGAUUUCUACCCGGCAGCUGUCAAAUUUUUUUUUUUUUUUUUUCUGUUGUUUCAUCCUUGGUUAUAUUAGCCGCGGGCCUCGGCAGCUUCUUUCUUUUCUUUGUAAUUCCGUCUUAAUUUUGGUUAUGCAUGAUAAAAUUGACCUUAAAAUUUUUGUCGUGCAUGAUAAAAUUGACCUUAAAUGGCUUGACCUUUCAAUAAAAAAAACAGUUUAUUCGAUGCACGUUCUCAACACGUCUUUUUCCUUUGUCCAUAAGUAAGAAUUGAUGGGGCUCAUGAUAAGAAUUUAGAUGACUUCAUUUUCGUCAAUUCACACCAGGUGCCUUUCCCAAUCUGUCUUUGAUGAGAUUGGACAAAUAACUUUAAUGGACCAAUAUGAUUUUAUCUUGGUAUGACAAUAUUUAUAUGAUAUUUGGCACUGACCGUGUAUAGAAGGACAAAUUUGAUAAAAGCUUCCUUACCAAAAAUGGCUUGUAAUAGCUGCUUUGAAUUAUUUUGUGUGAUGCGGUUGCAUUAUUUGGUUAGUGCCUACCCAAAUUUUCUCAAAUGUCUUUACCUAAGCAAGUUGUUCUCAAAUGUCUUUACCUACGUUUGUCUCUUAGCUUUUAGGGGAUAUAUAUAAACAACUUAAAAGAGUUGGUCCUGAAAAUAUAUUUUCAUGCUUUCUCGAUAAGUCUCAACAAGAAUAUUUAUAUGAUAUUUGGCACCGACCGUGUAUAGAAGGACAAAUUUGAUAAAAGCUUCCUUACCAAAGAUGGCUUGUAAUAGCUGCUUUGAAUUAUUUUGUGUGAUGCGGUUGCCUUAUUUGGUUAGUGCCUACCCAAAUUGUAUUAUUUGAGUAAGGAAAAUUGGCAUAUAUAUCACCUGAAAUUUUAGGCAUGUGUAGAAUUACUAUUUUAAAUUUUAAUUUUAUUAACCACAUGAACUAUGUAAAGUGUUGAAAUUUACUACCUACGCCUAACUCCGUUAAAUUUUUUCGUCAAAUCAAGUCACAUAAUGCAAAUGUGAUUUUUAAGGGCAUUUAUGUCAAUCAAUAUACACAUAAAUUUAGAAAAUUUAAAAACUAACAGAAUUUAAUUUUAAAUGAAAAAAAAAAGUAGGAAAACUAACCUAAUAAUUUCACAAACUUCCCCACCUCCUUCCAACACCUAUUCUCCCCCACCAAAAUAAAGUGAACAUUUUCUCUGUGAAAUUGAGUUAUUCUUGGUCGAUGGUUGAGGCCAAUCUUCUUCUUUCUUCUUCUUUUUGUUUUUUCUGAAAAUUUUGGUGUUAGUUGCUUCACUAGGCUUAUAUCUCAUACGUCCUGCCUCUUAAAAUUGCUUGGCGCUUUCGAUAAAAAAACAGUUUAUUCGAUGCACGUUCUCAGCACGUCUUUUUCCUUUGUCCAUCAGUAAGGUUGCCGGUCUAGUUCUUUCGAUUGAUGGAGCUCAUGGUAAGAAUUUAGAUGACUUCAUUUUCGUCAAUUCACAUCAGUUGCCUUUCCCAAUCUGUCUUGAUGAGAUUGGACAAAUAACUUUAAUGGACCAAUGCGCGCAAGCCAUAUGAUUUUAUCUUGGUAUGACAAGAAUAUUUAUAUGAUUUUUGGCACCGACCAUGUAUAGAAGAACAAAUUUGAUAAAAGCUUCCUUACCAAAAAUGGCUGUUAGAGAUUGCUUGUAAUAGGUGUUUUGAAUUAUUUAGUGUUGAUUUUUCAAUUUAAAAAUUGUGUUUGGAAAUCUUGUUGGUUCAAUCACUUUUCUUUCUUUGUUUCUAAUCUUCUACAAAAAAAAUUUGGGGGAGAUGGUAAAUUAAUAUUUCAACAUUUUAAAUAGUUCAAGUGGGUUACUAGAAAAAAUUAAAAAUUCAUGAGGUAAUCCUGUACACACCUUAAAUUUCAAACGAUAUUUGUUCAAAUUUCCAUUUGGGGUAAAUAGAGAUGGCUUGUCAAAGCUUCCACCCGUGACAGCUAAGUCCAGACCCAAAUUGUUCUCAAAUGUCUUUACCCACGCAAGUUGCUCCGAAAUGUCUUUACCUAAGUUUGUCUCUUAGCUUUUAGGGGAUAUAUAUAAACAACUUAAAAGAGUUGGUCCUGAAAAUAUAUUUUCAUGCUUUCUCGAUAAGUUAGGCGAGAGAUGGAUUUCUUGAGUUGCAUGCUAAUAUGUCUUAUGGUUGGCUGGAUCUCAAUCCAUGCCCUCUAUUAUUCAUUUGCAAGAACAAGUCCCAAUAAGCUUCCGCCUGGACCAAAUCCACUUCCUUUCAUUGGAAAUCUUCUAGAGCUUGGAAACAAGCCCCACCUCUCCCUAACCAAGCUUUCACAACGCUAUGGGCCCAUUAUGACUUUACAUCUUGGCCAAAUCACGACCGUCGUGGUUUCUUCAUCCGCCAUAGCUAAACAAGUCCUCCAAACCCAUGACCAAUUGUUUUGCAACCGAACAGUAUUAGAUUCAGUCCAAGCCUGUAAACAUGGCGAGAACGGCAUGCCCUGGAUACCUGUUUCAGCUAAGUGGAGAAACCUUCGCAAAAUAUGCAACUCCCAAUUGUUCGCCACCAAAGUUCUCGACGCCAGCCAAGGCAACCGCCACCUAAAAGUGCAAGAGCUCAUAGCUGAUGUCCAUGAAAGCGUUGUAAAAGGUGAUGCAGUGGAGAUUGGAAGAGCUGCUUUCAAAACUACGCUCAAUUUGAUGUCGCGGACUGUCUUCUCUGUGGAUUUAGCGGACCAGAAUAGUGAGAGGGCUAGAGAGUUCAAGGAGCUGGUGCGGAGUAUUAUGGAAGAGAUUUCGAAACCAAACUUGGCUGACUAUUUUCCAGUGCUUAAAAAGAUUGACCCCGUGGGGAUACGGCGCCGUUUGACUCGUCACUUCCUGAAGAUGUUUGACCUCUUCGAUCGCUUGAUCAUCCAAAGAAUGGAAUCAAGAAAAGCACCUGACUAUAUCAUGACCAGUGAUAUGUUAGAUACCCUUAUAAACAGUAGUGAAGAGAAAAAUGAGGAUAUGGACAUGGUUGAAACUCAACAUUUGUUCCUGGUUAGUGGCUAUCUAUAUAUACUCUAGCUCUCUUGUUCUUUAAUCUUGAUAACUUUGUUUCAAUUGAUACUAAGUUACUAACUAGUGAAUAUAUGUAUAGAUUGCUUAGAUUUCAAAAUUAAUUAUGAAUACUAUACAUUUUCGCUUUUGUUUUUGUUUUGUUAAUUGCUAUUUGUACCAUCUAAACUGAUUAUUUCAUUUGCUACUGUCUCAAUCGGAGGUCAAGUUUACCACGAAAAUGGUAGAUCAGAUGUUGAAUUGAUAUGGUAUAAGUAAUUAUAUUCCUACUAAUUAAUCAAUUUGGUCAAUUAUUAUAGGAUCUAUUUGCUGCUGCCACAGAUACAACUUCAGCCACAUUAGAAUGGGCAAUGGCUGAGCUACUACGCAACCCCGAAAAACUGUCAAAAGCUCAAGAGGAGCUGAAGCACAUCAUUGGCAAAGGAAAACCAGUGGAGGAAUCAGACAUCACUCGGCUCCCUUACUUACAAGCCAUAAUCAAAGAGACCUUCCGCUUGCACCCAGCAGCUCCAUUGCUAAUUCCUCGCAAAGCCGGAGCAGAUGUAGAAAUAUGCGGGUACAUUGUACCAGAGGGUGCACAAGUUUUGGUCAAUGCAUGGGCCAUAGGCAGAGACCCCAGCAUCUGGGACAACCCAAACUCGUUUAUGCCGGAGAGGUUCUUGGGAUUGGACAUAGAUGUUACAGGGAGGAACUUUGAGCUUAUCCCAUUUGGUGGUGGACGGAGAAUUUGUCCUGGGUUACCAUUGGCAAUGAGAAUGCUGAACUUGAUGUUGGGGUCACUUCUUAACUGCUUUGAUAACUGGAAGCUUGAAGAUGGGGUUGCACCAGAGACCAUGAACAUGGAAGACAAGUUUGGCCUCACUUUAGAGAAGGCUCAGCCCCUAAUAGCUGUGCCCAUGACAUAGGAGAUCCUAGCUAGCUAUUGGUUUUUACGUACAUUAAUAAAAACCAUGCACUGUAUCCUCCUACUUAUCAAGUUUGAAACUCAAUAAUGAUCAAUUGUUGUGAAACUGUUACUGUCACCCAUUGGUUUAACUAUGAUUAAUUACUGCUACCCAUUGGUUUAAUAAACGCAAUUUUUUUUUUCUCCAAUUAUCUAUCUACUGUCUCCUACAGUAUUAAUAAUUUAUUAAUCCCACUAAAACUAAACUUUUGAAUUAACAACAGUGCUUUUAGUCGACAAAAAAAGACGUCUACGGCUUAAAACCAACAUGUAGUGGUGUAUAAUCAUCAAUCUCGCUCAUUUACGAAAAUCAUCAAUUUUGGCUUGAGCUCACGGCCCAAGUCUAUAUGAGCUUGGGCCGUACUCGUAUUGGGCCAUUAAAUAGGUCGAUAUGAGCAUACGCUAAAUUUGACUUAUGUAUUGUAUUUUUUUAUAAUUUUUUUUACAACUGAAUUUAAAUCUUUUUUUAUAAUUAUGUAUAUACUAAAGAUUUAGGAUUUGUUAAAAAAAAAAGGUCAAUAACUUUAUUUAAAGUACAUUUAAAUAGAAAAUUGCUAUAUUAUUGUUUGGGUUUUAAAAAUUGAAACUUGAAAAAUAAAAUUAUUAUUUUAUAUAUAAAGAAAACAUUAAUUUUUAAUAUAUACUAGCCUCUCCACACGCGCUUCCGCGCUUGCUAGAGGCUUUUUUUAAAAAAAAUUUAAAUUUAUUUUAGAAUUAAAAAAGAUAAUGGGUAGUUGUAUUCCAUAAAAAUAGAAUCCAUUAUCUUAUUUUUCUUUUAUUUUUCUUUUUUUUAAAUAUGAAAAAUUGUGAAUUUACUAUAUUAUCCUCAUUUAAUUAAUAAUUUCAAUUCUUAAUGUUUGCAUUAACCAAGUACAUUUUAUGGUAUUUUGAAUGUUUUACCAUUAUUAGCCUUUUGCUUUAUAUAUAUAUAUAUAUAUAUAGAUUAUUAGAGAAUAGAAAUAGUCUUGAAUUUAAGAUAUAUUUAAUAAUAUUAUAUAUUAUUUUUCUCUAAAAACAAGUAUAAUUUAAUAAAUGGGCUUUAAACAAGCAGGCCUAUUGGAUUUCGAGCUGGUACAGUCUGCGACAGGUUAGGAGCCCGCCCGGCCCAUUAGACCUAAUUACUUAGUCCCGACACGACCCAAAGAUAUGAACCAUGAUGUAUCAUGUCUAUCUUAAGCAGACUAUGUUCGUGCUAUGUCGGGUCGGCCCAGUUCAUAUGACACCUCUAUGAGAGAGUUUCGUGACACAAAUUGUUGACUUUCUAUAGCUACAAUUAAGAGCUGAACAUCAUGUCGAAUCAUAAUAUUUUAUUACUUUGUUUGAUUUGACUGACAUAUAUUAAUUCUCGUAUUUGUAUUUGUAUCUGUAUAAGAAGUGUAUAGCUUGUGUAUUAUAUUACUCAAAAGAAUAACAAUUUCUAAUUACUUUUCAUUUUCUAAAAAAUCAUUAAAAUAUUAUAUUAGCCAAUUUUACACCAUAUUGUUCCAACUCAACAGUAUUUCCAUUCCUGAAUCCAAAUCCAAGCUUUGUGUAAAUACAUAAGGCAAGGCCUUGCAAAUGUAAUUAUAAGUCCUUAACAGCAAGCAAGUAUUGAGCAAUUCCAUCCUUCCUUCUCACAAGCGAAUCCUUAAUAGAUCCUGAAAGAGAAUUUUUUUCGCCAGUUACUGAUCAGUAUUUUCAGUUAGGUAUAUGAUGAAGGCUAGGAAAAUCAAGAACAAAAAUAACUUAACCUUUGAAUCCAACAAUAGCAACAUUCUCUACAUCCAUAUUAUUUAUCUCUCACCUCAUAUCAUGUCUUCCUGCAUCAGACAAUAGCAAAGAAUAUAUCAAGACAAAACAUUGAAUUUAAAACUAAAUAUUAUUCUUCAUUUUCUCAGUCAUAUCAAACAAAAAAUAAAUCAUUUCCGAAACAAAAAAAUAGAUCUGAGAUACAUGUGAGUAAGAAAGUCUUAGAGAUUCAGAUCUAAGUUCAAUUGUGAGCCGAUAAAAGCCUCAGAAAAUCCAUGCAGGCCAUUCCAAAUCCAAAACCUAACAAUAAGAAGAAAGAAAAGACAUAAUGGUGACAAGCAAGCAAAACCAUUGACCAGCCACCCAUGACAAGACUCGACCCAAAUUCCGUUUUGGAAUCCGAGCCGGACCCUGUGCGUGUCCGACACCUGACGGAUGCCGGGCUCGAAUAGCCUAAUUGCCCUUCCCUACAAAGCACGAUAAAAUAACAAGGUUGACUUCUACCGAAAAUUCGGCAGAAUCUCCCUUGUAACUGGAUCAAUACCAAAACAUUUACACUUGCCAAACAAACAUAAAUACACAACCAACUGCCAAUAUAUGUAUACAUACAUUUCAACAGUUAAAUUCUAAUUCUAGGGCAAAUUAUAAGAGCGACUACUAAGAAUUUACAAAGGAGUCAAUCCUUUUACAAAAAAUAAAGUCCUACAUCAGAAAGGAAAGCGCGGAAGGUGGAAAAGGGCCCGGUGGUGGAUCACUGUGCACGCCUACUGCUUGGGGGCGCAAAACAUUAAAAAGGGUGAGUGGACUCAAAAAAACAAAGUUUGGAAAAAUACAUAUGAACAUACUAACCCCACUGUAAAAACACUUAUACAAACUAAAUUAUUCUCUUUAUUAUAUUCGUACUGAAAUCAAUGCACUUAUAUAAUUAUACAUAUAUAUACCAAUCAUACUCAUGGUCAACAUUAAUUUCUUAAAAGCAUUGAAAACAGUUUAAAACUACCACCUAAGUGUACCCCUUAUUUCCGUCAAUUCCUAAUAUCCGUCAAUUCCUCGCAUCACCAUGGAUGACACGUACUCAUAGGUCUCAGUGAUACAAGGUCAGUCUGAGCUGCAACUCGCAGGAUUCAGAGGACCGUAGUCAGCCUGAUUCGCAUUACUCGCUCCACACGAGUUCGGGUACCAUAGAACUCAUGGGGCAACUGUCAAGGAUGCUGACUAAACCGAAGGCAACCAAUAAAAUCCGAAGGCAACAUUUGAUCUGAAGGCAACUUAUUUACCAAAGGCAACAUCUGUAUAUCUGGCUACCUAAGGUGGUUUAGGAAAAUAUAAAGUUUCUGAAGAAAAUCUGCUAAAUAAGUGAAUUUCUGUAAACUCUAAAACUCUGCUGCCAUUUAUCUGAUAAUUAACUAGAAUUUCUUUUCCUAUAUCCUUUAAAGGAUAUUCCACUCGACAUCAUGCAAAACAAAAUAUUAAAAGCAUAUAACGGCUUAUAAAACACUAAUAUUUGAAUAAAACUUAUUCAAGAUCAAAUACUGUAACUGAACUGCUUAAAGUCAUUUAUAAAAACAAAGAGUCCACUCACUGAUGGUCCGUGCUCACUGGACCCCUUGAAGGUCCCUCAUACGGGUCAACUAGUGCCCGGGUGUCUGAUUCAAUGACCAUAAUAUUCUAUUAAUACAAUACUCAAUAUAGUAUUCAUUUAAAAACCCUGACCCCUGGCUCCAAGAAGUACGUGCGUCAGAUUAAAGUUGUUCCUAUGCCCAUAAAAGCUUUCCUUCCAAUUGGAAUAGUUUAGCAGUAUCUUGGGACUCAAAAAGUGCUAAAGUCCCAAAAAGUCAACCCGGGACCCCGCGGGUCCACGACCUCACAAUUAUGAUCCGGAAGCCUCUAGAAGUUCCAAUAUACCUAGGACACAUGUUCCGAGGGUUUGAUCUCAAUCGGACGGUCGGAUUGAUCACGAUCGUACAAUCGCACGAUUUCUAAACCCUAGCCCUAGGGUUCGCGAUUUCAGAGUAUCCGAAACUCUGAUUCACAAUCUGUCGUAUCCUAAACAAUCCUGCAAUUGUCUAGAUGAACAUAUCUGAAAAUGAUUACAAUCCAACGGCUCAACAGUAUUGAACCCGAAAAUCGCACAAUAUGCAAAAAUCUGUUCGAGGCUCAAACGGUAACCAAAUUGAGAUCCGUGAAUUCCUACGCGCUCGUGACAACACGAGGAUCAUUCUAGGAUUGAAAGUGUGCUCCAUAAACUGCCCACGCGCCGCCACACGCUCCGGCAGGGCGUGGGUGGCUUGAUAAUUUCUGGCGGUUGAAAAAUCUCCAAACCGCUGGCCCAAACUCCUGUCCUAAGUAAAACACCAUAUUUGAAACCACUUUUGUUCUUGGACUUACCCCAAAAACUGGCCGAAAGUGGCCGGAAUUUCAAACUCAAAACCGGUGAAACUUUGGAUCGUGAUUUGAUCUAUCUAGGCUAAAAAUCGUUCCAAUCCUACCCAACCAGCAGCUAAGUCAUGAAAAAGAGGUAAAGAUUCAUACCUUACUCGACUGAUUUGGUGGCCAGAGGAGAGAGCUCGAAAGCUUGGAAGUUUUCUCAAAAUCGGCUGGGUUUUGGACGUUUUCCGGCGAAAAUCGUGACAGUCAAGUGGCAGGGAAGGUCGGGCUUGGUGGCGGAGCUGACGUCAGUGUGAUUGGGUCUGGUCCAGCGGGUCGGGGCGAGGUGUAGCGGUGGCUGGGUGGUUAUGGAGGUUCAGCUGGGGAAAGGCGCACGGGAAGGAGGCUGCGGGGAGAGAGAAGAGAGACUAAGGGAAAAGGGAGAGAAGUGAGGUUUUUAAAAUCUGAAUUUUCAAAUUACCAUUUUGCCCCUCUACGUAUUUUGACCGUAUCUUCUUCGUUAAAGCUCCGAUUCGAGCCCACUUCUUGUCUACGAACUAGUUUCGUCAUACUCUACGCAACGGUUUGUGUGAAAUUGUCAAAUUCCUUCUCGGUCAAAAAGUCAACUUUUCUUUACUAAAUUAUUCCAAAGGCAAAAUUGUCUUUUCCUCUUGAUAAAUUAAUAAGUAAAUAUUAAUUAAGGUUUGGGUUAUUACAACCCAACUAUCACCAAAAUCAAUUUAGUGACUCAAAAAACUUGACUGUUGCCUUCUUUUUUUUUUGGUUGUUGUUGCUGUUGUUGUUGUAGUGAAAAUAAGAAAAAAAACAUUAUCAUUGUCUAGGUUCACCCUUUGACACAGCUCUCAGAGGGUGGGCCAUGUGUAAACUGAGGCCAAACUUGCCUUCCACACUCAUGGUCUUUGCUCUGGUACAACCUCAUCUUGAAGCUUCCAAUCAAAAGAGUCUAUAAGUGAACCCAACAUCAAGUGUAUCAUUCGCAUUGCAAAUGGCAAGCCAAGACAAAUUCUCCUCUAAUGUAGAACAAAUGGCUGAACGGAUUGAAGAAGAAUUGGUGCAAAGAAUGGAAAAAAGACGCAGCAGGAAUUUACAAAUUUGGCGUCCGAGCUCCAAUUGGGUCACAUAAUACCUUCUCGAAAAGGGAACGACUUCCAAUAGAGUGCAAACUUGGAACCAGCCCCAGAAGGAGAACCCGUAUGCUAAGACCAUGACAGAUAUUUGUUAUCGAUGCCAAAAACCAAGGCAUCGUUCCAACGUUUGUCUUGAGCAGAGGCAAGCUAAUUUUAUAAAAGAUGUUGGUGAUGAUGAAGAAAAUGAUGAAGUUGUAGACGAUGAUUAUGCAGGGACUGAGUUUGCAAUUGAGGAGGGAAUAGAAAGGCUUACUUUGGUUUAACAGCGAGUUCUUUUGGCAGCAAAAGAGGAAGGGCAGCGACAUAGCAUUUUCCGUUCUCUUUGUUCAAUCAAAAAGAAAAUCUGUGAUGUGAUCGUAGCACUAGUAAAAAAAACCCUUUGCGCGACCAAAUUUUGCGCGACGAAAAACUAUUCGUCGCUCAAAGUCACUUUGCGCGACGAAACUCAAAACUUCGUCGCUCAAAGUCUUACGCGACCAAAUUUUGCGCGAUGAAAAAUAAUUCGUCGCACAAAGUCACUUCGCGCGACAAACUUUUGCGCGACGACAAUACAUCGUCGCUCAAAGUCUUGCGCGACCAAAUUUUGAGCGACGAAAAAACAUUCGUCGCGCAAAGUAACUUUGCGCGACAAACUUUUGCACGACAACAAUACAUCGUCACUCAAAGUGACUUUGCGCGACGAAACAAUAAACUUCGUCGCGCAAAGUCCUUAUAAAAAUAAAAAAUAUAUAUUUUUAAAUCUUUGCGUGACGUAAUCCAAACAUUUCGUCGCCUAAACCAAUUUAUUUUUGUUUUUUAUUUUGUAUGCAUAACACUUAAGAAAUUAAACAGUAUAUAUAUUUAUUAAGUAGCUUUAAAUUUAUUAUUUUAGAUCGAAUCGGAUUUUUGUUAGAAAAAUAUAUUAUUGUUGUUCAGAUUGAGUUUUUGUUAGAAAAUAUAUAUUUUAAAUUGACAAUCGAAUUAGUUCAUUGUAUUCAUAUAAGGUCAAGGAGUGUAGCUGUAAAAAAUCAUCAAAAUCGGAGUUAAAAUAACCGUUAAAUCGUGAUUUUUUAUUAUAACCAUCGAAAAGUUUUGUCCCAUUACUUGAUCUCUGAAUGUUUAUUUUUUUCGAUUUUUGGCGUAUAUGAUCUCGAAGUAUAAACAAACAAGUUUGACAGUUGGAUCGUUGAAACUAGUUUUGGUGAAUGUAUAUGCCAUCAAAACAAUAUAUUCACUAACAAUUAAGAGUUUAUUUAUACGUUCGUUAAAUAUAACAUAAGAUUUUGUGGUAUCCACUAGUGUAAAUAUUUUAUAUUGAAGAUCAAAUUAGUUAUUGUAUUCAUAUAGGGUCAAGGAGUGUAGCUGUAAAAAAAUCAUCAAAAUCGGAGUUAAAAUAACCAUUAAAUCAUGAUUUUUCAUUUAUAACCGUAAAAAAGUUUUGUCCCGUUACUUGAUCUCUGAAUGUUUAUUUUUUCCGAUUUUUGGCGUAUAUGAUCUCGAAGUAUAAACAAACAAAUUUGACGGUUGGAUCGUUGAAACUAGUUUCGUAGAAUGUGUAUGCCAUCAAAAUAAUAUAUUCACUAACAAUUAAGAGUUUUUUUUUAUACUUUCGUUAAAUAUAACAUAAGAUUUUGUGGUAUCCACUAGUGUAAAUAUUUUAAAUUGAAGAUCAAAUUUUGUCAUUGUAUUCAUAUAUGGUCAAUGAAUGUAGCUGUAAAAAAAAUCAUCAAAAUCGGAGUUAAAAUAACCGUUAAAUCGUAAUUUUUCAUUUAUAACCAUCGAAAAGUUUUGUCCCGUUACUAGAUCUCUGAAUGUUUGUUUUUUGCGAUUUUUGGAGUAUACGAUCUUGAAGUAUAUACAAACAUGUCUGAUGGUUGGAUCGUUGAAUGGUGUGUGUAUAUAUAUUUAUUUAUUAAGUAGCUUUAAAUUUAUUUAUUUUGUACGUAUAACACUUAAGAAAUUGAAUAGUAUAUAUAUUUAUUAAGCAGCUUUAACCUUAUUUAUAUUUUAAAUUGUAAAAUAAAAUUAUUUUAUUUUUAUUAUUCAUAACAAUUAUUUUUAUAAAUAUUGUGCUACGAACCAAUUUUUCGUCUCUCAAAACUUUGCGCGACCAACAGUUUGUCGCGCAAAACUCUAAAAAUUUGGACGGGUACCAAAAAUGGGACGCGGGAUUUAAAAAAAAAAAAAAAUUUAGACUUUGCGCGACCAAUAUUUUCUGUCGCUAAAAACUUUGCGCGACCAAUAUAUAUUUUUUGUCUCGCAAAAAUUUGGGCGGGUACCAAAAAUCGAACGCGGGAAUUUUUUUAGACUUUGCGCGACCAAUAUGUAUUUUUCGUCGCGCAAAAAUUUAAAAAUUUAGGGUACCAAAAAUGGGACGCGGGAUUUUUUUAAAAAAAAAAAAUUUAGACUUUGCGCGACCAAUAUUUUUUGUCGCUCAAAACUUUGCGCGACCAAUAUAUUUUUUUCGUCUCGCAAAAAUUUGGGCGGGUACCAAAAAUCGGACGCGGGAAUUUUUUUAGACUUUGCGCGACCAAUAUGUAUUUUUCGUCGCGCAAAAAUAUAAAAAUUUUGGGGGGUACCAAAAAUGGGACGCGGGGAUUUUUAUUUUUUUAAAAUAAUUUUUUUUAGACUUUGCGCGACCAAUAUUCAUAUAUUCGUCGCGCAAAAGUUUGCGCUACCAAUAUUCAUUUUUCGUCGCGCAAAGUGAUACGGUUUUUAAAACCGAAAUAACUCCACCAUUUUCUCAAUGUCUUUCUCUACUCUUACCUCUCCUUUCUCUUUCCCUCUCCCCAAAUCCCACCAUUUCUCUCACUCACUCCUCUCACUUAAUCUCUCAUCUCUCUCUUCACUAUCUCUCACUCUCUCUCACCCACUCUCUCAUCUCUCUCACUCACUCUCUCAUCUCUCUAUCACUAUCUUCUCUAAUUCUCUCACACUCACUUCUCCCUCUCAUUCUCACUCACUCUCAAUCUUGCCAAAAGGUAUAUUCUCUCCAAAUUUUAAAUUUUUUUCAUUAAUAUGUGUUUUUGGAGUUAAUUUUGAGUUUGUGUGGGUUUUGGGGUUGAGUAAAGGGGAGGGAUUGGAGUUUGGGUUGGAUUUGUGGUAUAACAAUUUUAGGGGAGAUUAUGCCUUUUUUUUGUUUUUUUUUUUUGGUUAUUUGACCAUAUUUGUUUUUUUUUUGUAGGGAAUCAUCGAGACUUUGACGGCUAAAGUUGAGGAUUAGGAAGCUAUCAAAACAUAUCCUCCGCCACUACCACCACAAUACGCUUGUAUUAGGAUUUUAUUAUUGUACUUUGUUAAUUUAUGUGUAUAUUUUGAAUAUUAUAUAUAUAUAUUUAUUGGAUAAUUUGAUCACUAUUUUUCAUAUGUAAUUUUAUUUUGAAUAUGUCAAUUUAAAUUAAAGUAAUUAAAAAAAUCAUACAAUUAAAUUAAAUUUAAAAAGUAAAAACUUGAAAAAAUUAAUAUCAAUUUAAAUUAAAGUAAUUUUAAAAAGAAAUCAUACAAUUAAAUUAAAUUUAAAAAAUAAAAUUUUGAAUAAAUUAAUAUAAAUUAAUUAAUAUUAAAGAAAUAAUAAAACAAAAAGUCAAAAACCUUGCGUGACAAAAUAUUUCGUAGCGCAAACUAUUAAAUUAGUUUAUUUUAAAUUAAAAAAAUUUAAAACAAAAAAUAUUUCGUCGCGCAAAUAUUUGCGCGACGUUAGUAUUCGUCGCGCAAAACUCAAAAAAUUUGGGCGGGUACCAAAAAUUGUACGCGGGAAUUUGUUUUUUUUUUAAAUUUUUUUGAAGACUUUGCGCGACCAAUGGUUUUCGUCGCGCAAACCUUUGCGCGACCAAUGUAUUUCGUCGAGCACAACUUUGCGCUACCAAUAUUUUUCGUCGCGCAAAGUCACUUUGCGCGACCAAUAUUUUUUCGUCGCGCAAAGUCACUUUGCGCGACCAAUGAAAAAACUUCGUCGCGCAAAGUCUUUCUUUACGAUCUUUGCACGACGGAUUCUGCGCGACGAAAUUUCUGUCGCGCUGAAAUUUGUGCGACUACAAUGUAUUUUGCGCGACGAAAUUCUCUUCGUCGCGCAAAGUGUAAAAUGUAGUAGUGUAGACAAUGGGAGUUGCAAGAAUUUUGUGUCAAAAAAAUUGGUGGAGCGUUUGCAGCUUCCAACACAGCCAUAUAUCAGCCCUUAUUCACUGAGUUAGGUUAUAAAAGGAUCUUCAGUUCGUGUUACUGAGACUUAUCGUGCGCCACUCUCCAUUGGUAAGCAUUACAGAGAUGAAGUCGUAUGUGAUGUUAUUGAUGUGGAUGCUUGUCAUAUCUUGUUAAAGCGACCUUGGCAAUAUGAUGUGGCUGCAACCUUUAAGGGUCGAGAUAAUGUGAUUUUGUUUUCCUGGAACAACCACAAGAUUGCAAUGGCUACUACAGUGUCCUCAAACAAAUCAAUUGAGCCCAAAACUAAGAGUUUUGGUUUUCUAACUCUGAUCAGCAGCGAGUAAGAGUUAAAUGAGGCAAAAAAGAAGCAUAUUAUUUUUGUCCCAUGGUGUUGAAAGGGCUAUUGAAGGCCAGCAAAGAAGAAAAUGUAAUUCCUAUUGAAGUGCAACAGAUUUUGACAAAAUUUCAGGAACUGAUUUAUGACAAGCUGUCAAACGAGCCAUCGCAUUUGAGAGAUAUACAACACCACAUUGAUUUGGUACCGAGGGCUAGUCUACCGAAUCUGCCACAUUGUCGCAUAAGCCGUAAGGAGAAUUUAAUUCUAAGAGAGCGAAUUGAAGAUUUGUUACAAAAGGGUUUUAUCAGGGAGAGCUUGAGUCCCUGUGCGGUUCCAAUCCUUCUUGUUCCAAAGAAAGAUCAGUCUUGGCGUAUGUGUGUUGAUAGUUAACCAAUCAACAAGAUUACAAUAAAAUACAUAUUUCCCAUCCCAUGGUUGGAAGAUAUGUUGGAUGUGCUUGAAGGCUCUAAGAUGUUUUUCCAAAAUAGAUUUGCGCAGCGGAUACCACCAGAUUCGCAUCAGGCUAGACGAUGAGUGGAAAAUAGCGUUUAAGAGCAAGGAAGGGUUAUACGAAUGGCUGGUGAUGCCGUUCAAAUUGUCAUGGUUUAUUUUGAAAGAAAAUAAGCUAUAUGUGAAUCUGAAAAAAUGUACUUUUUGCACAAAUAAGCUACUGUUUUUGGGUUUUGUGGUUGAUGAGAAUGGUAUCCAGGGGGAUGACGAGAAGAUCAAGCAAUUCUUGACUGGCCAACUCCAAAAACAAUCUUUGAAGUUCGAAGUUUCCAUGGUUUAUCCACUUUUUUUACAGGAGGUUUGUGAGGCAUUUCAGUUCCAUUGUCGUGCCUGUUACUAAAUGUUUGAAGAAGGGUAGGUUCAAUUGGGGAGAAGAGCAAGAAAAAAGUUUUGCUCUUGUAAAAGAAAAACUUUGCACCGCCUCGAUUCUAGCUCUUCCAAAUUUUGAGAAGGUGUUCGAAGUUAAAUGUGAUGCCAGUGGCGUGGGAGUGGUAGCCGUGCUCUCUCAAGAUAAGAGACCAAUUGCUUUCUUUUCUGAAAAGUUGAGCGACGCUCGUCAAAAGUGGAGUACUUAUGACAAAGAAUUUUAUGCAGUUGUUUGGGCUUUGAAACAAUGGAAGCACUAUCUUAUUCAUAAGGAAUUUAUUUUGUUUAUAGAUCCUCAAGCUUUGAAGUAUAUUAACAGCCAGAAACAUAUUGAUAAAAUGCAUGCCAAAUGGGUGACUUUUUUUGCAGAAAUUUUCAUUUGUUAUCAAGCAUACUUUUGGCACCUCAAAUCGUGUGGCUGACGCACUGAGUAGAAGGGCUUCUCUGUUAGUUACUCUUACUCAAGAAAUUGUGGGGUUCAAGUGUCUAAAGGAUUUAUAUGAAGAUGAUGAUGAUUUCAAGGAAAUAUGGGCUAAAUGUGCUAAUCAUGAGCCAAUGGCAGAUUUCUUUCUUAAUGAAGGGUAUUUGUUCAAGGCCAACUUGUUAUGCAUUCCUGUUUCCCCCUUAAGGGAGAAACUCAGUCGGGAUUUACACGGAGGAGGGUUGAGUGGCUACUUAGGCCGCUAUACAACAAUAGUAGGAUUGGAGGAGAGAUUUUAUUGGCCACAGUUGAAGCGUUAUGUUGGAACAAUUGUGCGCAAAUGUUAUAUUUGUCAAGUUUUGAAGGGACAGGUACAAAACACUGUAUUAUACAUGCCUUUACCAGUUCCUAAUGAUAUAUGGCAGGAUCUUGCUAUGGAUUUUGUCCUUCGUUUUGCCUCGAACUCAGAGAGGUGUGGAUUCAGUUUUUAUGGUGGUUGAUCGAUUCUUAAAAAUGGCACAUUUCAUAGUCUGCAAGAAGACUGCUGAUGCAUCUAAUAUAGCCAAACUGUUUUUCAAGGAGGUUGUUCGUUUGCAUGGAGUACCUACAUCUAUAACUUCUGACCGUGAUACAAAAUUUUUGAGCCAUUUUUGGAUCACUUUGUGGGGAAUGUUUGGGACUACUUUGAACAGUAGUAGCACAACCCAUCCUCAAACUAAUGGCCAGACUGAGGUAACCAAUCGAACAUUGGGAAAUAUGGUGCGAAGCAUUUGCAAAGAGAAGCCGAAACAACGGGAUUAUGCGCUGUCACAGGUGGAGUUUGCAUAUAACAAUGCAAUUCAUAGUGCAACCGAGAAGUCACCGUUUUCCAUUGUUUAUACUAUUGUGCCUAAUCAUGUUGUAGAUUUGGUGAAGUUGCCUAGAGGCCAAAAAACCAGUGUUGCAGAGGGAAAUUUGGCUAAAGAAGUGGUGGCUGUUCGUGAUGAAGUGAAGCAAAAACUCGAGCAAACUAAUGCUAAGUACAAAGCCGCUGCAGACAAGCAUAGGCGAGUUAGGGUGUUCCAAGAAGGUGAUUUUGUUAUGGUGUUUCUGAGGAUGGAGAGGUUCCGUGCUGGUACAUAUAGCAAGCUGAAGCCUAAGAAAUAUGGUCCUUACAAGGUGCUGAAAAGAAUCAAUGACAAUGCCCAUGUUAUUGAAUUACCAAAUUCCGUGGGAAUUUCUAAUACUUUUAAUGUUGCUGAUUUGUAUGAGUUUCAUGAAGAUAGAACCCUUUAUCCUAAACAUAACUCGGGGUCGAGUUCUUUAAAGGUGGAGGGGACUGAUGUAGAACAAAUGGCUGAAUGGAUUGAAGAAGAAUUGGAGCGAAGAAGGGAAAAAGGACGCAGGAGGAAUUUACAGAUUUGUCGUCUGAGCUCCAAUUGGGUUGCAUAAUACCUUCUUAGAAAGAGAACGACGCCACGAGUCCAACUCACCACUUUGUUGUGACAUAUGGUAGAUGUUGGGCUUCUGAGGAUGUUUGGCCUUCUAAAAGUGCAUUUAAAGAUUGCAUUCAAUUUAUAGACUUUCCGUUCAUUUUCUGUUACGUUUUCAAUAACUCCCUAGGACAGUCCAAUGGGUGAGAACAUGGUAUUUAGUCAGCCGUCAUGCUUGGUUGAACUUAUCUUGAAUUUUAUCAAAUAAUUCAAAGAGAAUUUCUCUCUACCUUCCUGGUUGAUUUCAUAUUAUUAUUCUUUAGGAUUUUCGCUUGAAAACCUAUUUACUUGUGUUGCGUCAUCCUCCCACCACCAAACGGAAUAAGCUCAAUGCUUUUGCCUAUAACAUCAAUAUCCAUUCCCAAGAACCUCUCCGGCAUAAAUGAGGUAGGGUUGUCCCAAAUGGGGUCUUUGCCAAUGGCCCAUGCAUUCACCAACACCUGCGCACCCUUUGGUACAAUGUAGGCACAAAUUGCUACGUCUGCUUCGGCUCUGCGAGGGACAAAUAGAGCUGGUGGGUGUAGCUGGAAGGUUUCUUUGAUUAUUGCUUGUAAAUAAGGAAGUCGAGCAAUGUCCGAUUCCUCUUAUGGUUUUCCUUUGCCAAUGACUUGCUCUAACUCCUCUUGAGCUUUUGACAGUUUUUUCAAGGUUACGUACUAGCUCAGCCACUGCCCAUUCCAAUGUGGCUAAAGUUGUAUCUUUGCCCGCCACAAGUAGAUCCUAAAUAAAGAAGUGCACAAGGCAUUUACCCCACAUGAGUAUUACUAUUAUGGGCUUCAGCAACACUUACAUUUUUUAAAGCCUUGUGAGGCUAUAUGGGCCCGCCACUUUUCCGAAAAAGGAUACCAAGGUCAGCAUCUACAAAUUCUAUUAAAAAAAACACAAACACACACACAUUUAUAUUUCUCUCCUUCGGCACCUUGCCAAGUUUUAUGCCCUUUGGGAAUUUUCUUUCGACACACAAGUUUCAUGCAAAGUUCCUUCGGUAAUUUCCUUGCUGCACCCAAGUUUCAUGCAAGUGCCUUUGGCACCUUACCAACUUUCAUGCCUUUCGGCAAUUUCUUUGUGACAAGCAAAUUUCAUGCAAGCUUUGUGCCUUCGACAGCUUGUCUUGCGACUUGCAAGCCUCUUUGCCUUCGGCACCCCCGUGCUCUUCAGAACCUUGCCUUGCAACAUGCAAGCCUUGUGCCACAAAGCAAUAGUGCGCGAGUCCCACAACAGCUUUCUUGCACAUGGGAUGUGUUAGCUUCAGUGGGAUCUACCGAAAUUUUUUUGGCCCAAGAAAUAGCUGGACUGCUAUUUGACCCCAAGUUUGGGUUUUCCCAAAUUUUGGCCUCUUCAUUUUAUUUGGUUGGGAGAGGAGUUGGGCUAAAAUUUGAGAUUUUUUGGUUUGUCCUCAUGGGUUGGAGAUGGCCUUACCCCUCUUGACCGUGGUUUGGUGACCCACUUUGUCCUUUGUCAUCAACUUUGUCCAAAAAUUUGUUAAUUAUGAUGACAUGGUAGGGGUAUUUUUGUAAUCUCAUACACAUGGAUCAUUAUCCACCAAUUAAGAGUGUGACGUGAUAAGUAGCCCAUCUCCACAUAGAUAAGAAUAUAAUUAAAUAUUAUAAUUAUUAAAUCUAAUUUUUUAAAAAGAAUUAGACCCCAGCCGCCUCAAUCCUCAACCUCCAUCCACACCCCCCCUCCUCUCCUACAAAUACCCUUGGAAGAAACUGUUAGAAGUGUGCCCUAAGAGCCAAUACAUUUGAUACAAUCUCCUUAGAAUUUCAUAUAUGAUAUAUAAAGGGCAAACUUAUUUUGUUAUCUUUUACAUCAUGUAAAGAAACAAAUGUCCAGGGUAUGCUAAAUAAGAGAUAAGGUAAUCUAAAGAAGAUUAAAUUCGGGAGACCUUUAAUCUCUAACUGUAGUAUUCCAAAAUGUUCCUAAUCAUAGGGUUAUCAAAUGGGCAUUGAUAAACCGUCAAGAUUAGCACAAAUUAUGUAUGCUCAAUUAGGAGGAUGGUUACUUUCAAACCCUUUGCGUAAUUGACACUACUACAAGUAUGUGGGUGCUCAUUACUGAACGUGAUUAACCUUAGUUUUCGUAUGGAGUAUUUAUCUAUAUGUCAAACGAGAACUCAUAGUUGCAAUAAUGCAAAUUAGUUCUUAGACCUGAGGCAUCAUAAUUGUCAUGUGAUGCGUUAUUGAUCUUUAAUAGCUCUCAAAGGCAUGUGUAAAAGAUUUGUCUUAAGUGUUGUUGGGAUCUCUUAAUUCAUCAUAGGGGUAUGUGAAUGUAUAAUAAGGAAUCUCUACCUUCGAUAAAGAAGGAGAAUGUUUCAAGAUGUGAUUCAGCAAAUCUUUGGCUAAAGUUUUUUUAGCUUGAUUUAGAAAGUUAUUCUUAAUUAUGUUCUUUUGAAUCACAUGAGGUUAUAAAUCAUAUUAGGGUUUAACAUAAUCAAUCUGUACCUUAAUAAUAUGAUUUGAAACAUUGUAUAAGAGAAGGACCGUAUUGCAUUGCAGUUCCAACUGAAUGGGUUCUUCAUCUAUUUUGGUUAGCUUGGGUAGCCUUAAUAUAUUGCCAGAUGUCACUCUUGGCUCAUGGAAGUCCUAGGAUUGAUUGUGAUCAAUCCAUAUAAAGGAAGAAUUAAAUGGGGGUUUUAAUUCCAGUUGAUUAGAAAGAGUUUUAAUGUUUUCCCACUCCCUCGCUAAUUAGAAUCUAUACUACUACAAAAAGGGCAAUAGACGACGGGAAUUGAUCGUCGUGUAGCAAGUUUUCUAACCGUCAUGAAAUUGACCGAUAUUUUUUUAAAAACAAAACCAAGACGGCAAAAAGGAGACGUUGUUCAUCGAGAAACAAUGUCAGAAUUAAUAAAAGCCGAAGUAAGUAAAGAAAAUGACCGCCAAAAUAACUAAUGGUGAACGUGUAAACGACUCAAUUUGGGAAACAACCGUCGUCUAAAUCAUAAAACAUGACGUUGUUUAGUAAAAUAUCGCUAGAAAAAAAAAAGCCACCAUGUCAUAAACAAUUAACUGAACGACGUUAAUUAAGACAUUCCACGACACAUUAUAAUAUAUUACGCCACUUUUAUUUCCAGAUAUGAUGUUGUAAAUAGUGUACACCGUCAGUCUUUACUCAGAAGUUGACGUAUUAAAAGAUAUACACGUCUAUUAGUAUAUCAGAGACGACGUUAGGAAAACAUACCACGACACAUCUGUUUCCACAUGGGACGUUUUUAUACAAUAUUUCACGACACAUGGUCACCAAGGAGACGUGAAAACUAUUAAUGACGUCAGUAAAUAUGGGAAUAAACAGGUUCUACGUCUCCUUUACUUUAAACUCUGACAGUGAAAUUAGAUUUACAACCUCGGUUAUUAUAAACACCGUGUUGUAUGUCGUAAUACAAACGUCGCAUAACCUUCGAAGACGACGUGGUUACGCUGUACUACGUCAUCUUUGUUUUUAAAGACGACAUUUGCAUGUAAUAUUUUACGACACAUAGUCACCAAGGAGACGUGAAAACAAUUAAUGACGACAGUAAAUAUGGGAAGAAAGAGGUUUUUACGCCUCCUUUAUUUUAAAUGCUGAUGGUGAAAAAGAACUUACAACGUCGGUUACUGUAAAAAGGUGUCGUAUGUAGUGAUAUAAACGUCGCUAAGCAUAUCAAAGGCGACAUGGUUACUUUGUUCUACAUCAUUGUUAUUUCUAAAGACGAUGUAAUUCAAAUAUUCACCAAGUCCUUAAAGACAUAAAUUGACGUGGUAUGUUGUUAAGACGUUUCUUAAUAAGAGUGUAUCGUCGUGUUUGUGAAGUAAAACGACGGUAUAUGUGUUAUGAGGUCGUGUUAUCCGCUUUUAAAUGUCGUCUUUUUGGGCCUUCUCGUCGUGAUAUCCUGUAACAACGGCUUGUCAUUACCGUUGUUGUUCUAUUAUUAGUGCAGUCUUUUGAGUUAUGUUUUAGACGGCGGUAAGUACAUCGUGGCUAUCUCAUUGGAUACAUACGACCUUUUUAAUAUCCAUUUUUUUAAACAGACGUCUUCUGCAGUUUUUUUCUUUGUUUUUUUUAUAGGUUUUAAGGUCUUCCAUUGCAUGACGUAUGAUAAAAAAACGACAUCUUAUAUUAUUAUGACGUCUGUUUUCGCAAUUUUGUUAACAGGACCGUCGUAUUUUGGUACUUGAACUAGAUGUUUUUGUACUAAAAGCUUUGAGCCCAAACCCUGUAUAAUGAAAGUGAAAACAAUGCAAUACAAUUUCUUACAAAAUUAAUGUCAUACACAGCCAUUUGGGGCGUAAGUAAUGUCAUAAAUUACAAGCAUCAUUCAAUCCAUAUAUCUUCAAACCCAUCUCGAAUAUUUUGACUCCCAGACUCACCGGCUAGUUCAUCAAAUAUUUUGAUUCACAUCACCUAAGACAUCAUCACCAAUAACAUCAUUAUAUUCUCUAUUAGGCAUUGAUAACACUACUGACCAACCAUAACAAAUUUGUCAUUCCCAUGUCCAAUUUUAUUCAGAUCUACAAGGGUAAAUCCAAGUUCGUCGACUACAAGGCCAGAAGUGUUAUCUAUCCAAUCACACCUAAAGACUGUGAUUGUAAACUUUUGGUAAUAAGGUCCCAAAUAUCUUGAAUGACACCAUAAAAAUCCAUAUUUGAGACAAUUGGGUUCUUAUCCUUGGCACUAGCAACUUGCAUAGUAUGUGCAAGUAAAUAAACUCCACUUUUUGAACUGCACGCACAUCAUCUUGUGCCUUGGUGUUAAAUUUAAUACCUUUGAUAAGAUAGCUCCUAUAUGAUGGCACUGCCAUGCUUGGACCAGCUGCUAGCCACCUUAAAUUUUCUGAUACACCAUUAUUGUCUUGCUUAUUAAGUUGACUUUGAACCUGCAAAUAAAUCAUAUCUUAAUUCAAUCUAAUAUAAAAAGAAGAAAAUUAAAAGUGCAGCCAUUGAAUGAAAGAGGUAUUGUGCUUAUCUUGCAGCCACUUUGUUCUCUUUCUAAAUUUUGGAUAAGUGGUCUUGAUGUGGAUCAUAUGUUCUCUACAUAACACGAAAAAUUCAAGCAUUACAAUCCCAAACAUAUAAGAUAAACAUAAGGAAUAUAAUUUAAAAUGACUACUUAAGAAUAAAACUCAUACUCGAUAUAUGGUAACACUUCCUCUGUAUUCUCCAAGACAUAUAGAUGUGCCUGAUUCAACAAGUCCCAAUCAACUAAACUCACUGUGCAACCUGAUAAGGGCUUUGAAAGUCCCAUCUUCUGGCUUGAUGGUGCUCCAACUGUAUUAACAUCAGAUAAAUGCUCGGUGCAAAACUCUACAGCAUCUUCAGCUAUAUACUGCUCAGCAAUGCAACCUUCAAGAUGAUUACGGUUCUGAACAUACCCCUUUAGCACUUUCAUAUAUCUUUCAAACGGAUAAAUCCAUCUAAAAUAAACUGGCCCACAUAGACGAACUUCUCUGACAAGAUGUACUACUAGAUGAACCAUGACAUCGAAGAAUGAAGGGGGAAAGUACUUCUCAAGCAAACAUGAAGUUACUACUACAUCUUCUUUCAACUUAUCUAGCUUGGAAACAUCUACCAUCUUUGCACAUAUAGCCUUGAAGAAGAAGCACAAUCGAGUUAUUGCAUACCUUGCAGGCUUCUCCAAGACAGAACAAAUUGCCACAGGGAGCAUUUGUUCCAUCAAGGUAUGACAAUCAUGUGAUUUAAGCCUAAGAAGUCUUGAAUCUUGUAAAGAUAUAGGAUUUUAAUAUUUGAAGAAUAACCUUCAGGGACCUUCAUACAAUAGAAAGAAUUGCAAACCUCUCUCUUCUCUGCUCUUUACAAAUUCCAAGGCCCUAGAGGCAAGGGAGUACGUCUUUCUCCAUACUCAGGUUGCAAAUCAGUCUUGAUCCCCAUGUUCAAUAAAUCCAAAUGAGCAGCAAUCUCAUCUUUAUUUUUUCCAGGGAUCUCCAACAACGUACCAAUGAUACUAUCGCAAACAUUUUUCUCGAUGUGCAUAACAUCAAGGGCAUGCCUCACAGAAAGGUAUUUCCAGUACUCUAGAUCAAAGAAUUUUGACUUCUUCUUCCAACAGACUCUAUCACCAUCAUUUGCACUUCCACCUCCCCCUUUUUUCGAGCCCCAUUUAUAAUUAAUACCUUCAACCAUUUGUAAUACUUCUUCUCCGAUUAAUGGCUUUGGAGGCGUGUCAUUUUCAGGUUUCCCAUUAAAAGCUGUACGUUGCCUACCAAUAUAUAUGCCUGAUGUAACAUAUUUUGUGCCCAUUUUUCAACCUGUGACUAGGUAUAUCAUCACCGCAUAUUGGACAAGCUUUAUAUCCUUUUACGACACAAUCUGAUAAGGAAAAAUCAUUAAUUGUCCACAGUAAUGCAGCUCUGAGUGUAAAGUAUUCUCCUAUAUGAACAUCAUACACUCCUUUAAUCCAUCAACUAUAUCUGGUACCUAGAGAAUUGUGGGGACUGAAUCCAUCAGAUGAGAGAGCCAAUCUCAAGUUUCUUGGCUCAUUACCAAACUCGGGCCAUUUAUCAUCAACCAGUUUUCAAGAGGGAGAAUCCGUCAGAUGAGACAUCAGACCUUCAAUUGCUUUUCUAUUAGCAUGCCAAGUCAAACUCUUAGCUAUCUAGUGUGAUUGAAACAUCCUUUUAAAUCUUGAAAUUGGUGGAAAAUACCACACUACCUUUGCCGGGACACCUUCUUUCAAGAUUGAAUCUUUGCCUUUCUUCCAUCUUGAGAUUCCACAAGUAGGACAAUGAGUUGAAUGUUCAUACUCCUUCCUAUACAAGAUGCAAUCAUUGGGGCAUGCGUGGAUUUUCUCAUAACUCAGCCCCAAUGCACACAAAGUCUUUUUUACGUCAUACAUAGAGGAAGGUAUUGUAUUUCCUUCUAAAAACAAAUCUCCUUGAAGUAUCAACAAUUCUGUAAAACAGACAUUACUCAUCCCAUAUUUUGCCUUCAAAUUAUAUAACUUCACUAAUGCCAACAACUUAGUGUACUUUCUACAACCAGGGUACAAGAGUUGAUCUCCAUUGCCAAUCACAUUGGCAAACUCAUAAGGAUCGGAUCCAAAAUCACCUAAAUCAUUAUCAUCCAUCUCUAUUUCUUCAUACACAAAAUUGUACCUACUAUGUUCAUCAUCUUCUUCCACAUUUCUACUAGCAUUAGUAGUUGCUUGCCAAGGUUCUCCGUGAAAUGUCCAAUUCUUAUAACUUUGGUCAACUCCAUUAAAGUAUAAGUGGUCCCUUAUAAUUCCAACCCCAAACAAUCGAACAUUUGCACAUUUAACACAUGGACAGUGAAUAUGUGUUGUGGUUAGAAGAUUUUCUAUUGAAAUUUUCAAAAAUGCUUCCACCCCUAACUCAUAUGCCUUCGAUCUUCUAUCCGCAUGCAUCCAUGACUUAUCCAUCUCCAACAAUAUACACUAUUAUUUAUAAUAAAGUGAAAAGACAAGCCAUGACCAUCACUAUAGCAUAUUAUAAUUACUUUGAUAGAAAGUAAUUUAACAUAAAGACAACGGCUUUUUUAAAACAUCCGACAUUUUAUACUUAUACAGACGACGGUUUUCUUCAAAAACCGACGUUUUAAGCAAGUAAACAGUGAUUCUGAAAACAACAAUACAAUUACAUACGACGGUAGUUAAAUAAACAUCGCCUUGUAAAGAAAAUAAAGACGACAGUUUUUACGAAAAACAGUCUUCAAAAUCUUAAAGAAAAGAAGGCUAAUGUUGAGCCUAUUCUUAACAACUAAAAUGAGUUAUUAAAAACAGCAACUUUAAUUCUCGCAAGUGCACGAAUCGUUUAUAGUAUAGCUUAUGUAAAUACGAGGUCGAUCCCACGGAGAAUGGUAACUUGGUUCCAAGUUAAAUUACUUAGAAUGCUAGAAAAACAUAGAACAAAGAAACUGACUAACUAGCUAAAGGCAAGGUCGAAUUCAACAAUGCCUCUUGCUAAUUACUCAAGGUCUAGGACAGAAUCCUAGCACCACACACGCACUCGAAAUGGGGGAUUUUGUUGUUGAAAUGAAAACAAGAAAGUGAAAUGAAAGUGCUCGAAAGUAAACACUGGCAGCAAUCAACAAGUUGUGAAACAAUGAUUGAGAGAUGUUAGAGCCUUGGAAUCCACCACUAGUUUUCCUAACCAAGUUAUGAAUGCAUAGAAAUUGACUCAAGCUUCAUUAACAAUAGAUUAUCGCAUACAAGCCUAUGGUAUCUAGGUGCAGGAUGCAUGAUUCUCCUAAGGCAUGUGAUUAUGCAUGGUAUCUACACAACACGUGAUCUCUAAUAUGCAACCUAAGUAUGGUAUCUACUUAGAAUAAAGCAUACAAGAGUCAUUAAGCUCCUUGAGAAUAUGAUAUGAUAAUCACACAAGUCCUAGAACAUGGUAUCUGUCCUAGUCAACCUAUGGUUAUUAACCCCUUGAAUGAUUCUUAGGCCAUUCAUGUGUUGCUUGUGAAAGGAGAGUAGAAUUGGUGAAUCUAAACCCAUUCCCAACCUGUGAUAGAUGCAUAAAAUCCUAGUUAGCUACUCCAAGAAAACAUACAUCAGGCACCUAAUAAACUGGAGAUUAACAACUUGAUAAUAAAAGCAAGGAAAUCAAUUAACUAUAAAAUCAUCCAUAACAUUGAAUAUUCAUGACUAGGGCUUCAUCCUAAGCCCUAACUAAAUGGAUUAGUUAGACAUUACUAUGAAUACAGAAAAUAAGAAAUACAUAGAUAGGAUAAAGAGAGGAGAAGAACUAGAUGAUGGCAGCAAGGAAGUUCCCAGGACAGCUCCAAGCUCCCUUGACAGCUCUAAGCUCCCUUCUCUCUUUGUGGUGAAUCUGAAUGUGUGUAUGAGAGUAAUGGAUGAAGUGAAUGUGUGUGUCUGCCCUCUCUCUUGAAUGAGUGUGCAACUCUUUAUUUAUAGAGUGCAAUUUCGUGCUCCCCUUUGGCUGGUGAAGCACACCUCUCUUAGCUGCUCCCAACUGCUCCAGCUACCCAUACUUGCCAACUGCUCCAGCUGACAAAUACAUGCUUUGGUAUGGUUUCUUUAUGGAAAACUUGACUUUUGUUUAUCUUUCUGAGCUUCUGAGCUGAUUUGACUCCCAUGUAUGGCGGCCCAUGUGUAGCACAUGGCUCUAGGGAUGUAGCCACAUUAAAUGUGAUGGCAGCCAACAUGACAUUUCUGUGAACUUGGUUCAGUCUUUGACGUGUUGAGGGCUCUAGAUUUAUCCAAUUGGGCUGAAAUGUGGAUAUGUUAUAAUAGACACCCAUUGGAACAACUUCUAUGAAGGAUGUCUCCUCAUCCGACCUGUGUAAGUUACUGAAAUGAGGCCUGCAAGAUGACCUACGAAACUGGACUGACAAGGAGUGUGGCACAAAUUGGUUUUGUCUUUAAGCUCAUAUUCCUCUUGUGCCACUCAGCCCUUAACAUGCAUGAAUUGUAUCAAAUGUCAUCCCCUUGCUGUCUUAACCUACAAAGCACACAAACAUAGGUAAGAGACUCAAAAUAAAGAGAAGCUAAGAAAAAUUACUAAGGAAAGAAGGCAUGCAAAUGUGUGAAAUUAUGAGCUUAUCAGCUAAAUCUUCUUUUAUUCAGACCAUUUCUAAGAACCCAAUAUAUGUUAACAACCUAUAACAUUGAAUUUUAUGAAAAGCACGCAAAUAUUAAAGUCAUUCCUUAUUCAUAACAACAGAGAUUGAUGAAGAACAUAUAUCCAAAACCCAACAAUGCAGUCUAUGAUUUCAGAAUAAUCUUCUAAACCCUAAACAUAUAUCUAAAGCCAUUCCCUAAAUCCUAUAUGUUUGUACUUCAGAACCUAGAAUUGAAUAUCAAUCAAUGAAUUACGAAGCAUGAUAUUAGGGUUUGUACUUACAGGCAGGCAGAGCUCACAGAUUAUGCUCUCUUUGGAUUCGACGGAGGCUGGAGAGCGCAAUUUAGAAUUAGAGUUUAAGUGAGAGAGCGAAAUGUAGAGUUAUAGCGAAAUCUGAAAAUUUUAGGUCGCGGCCAAAUUUUUAGAAAGCGUGCUUCUUCAAACAUCAACAGAAAUAAUACAAAACCGUCGUUAAAAACACAUCGGUUAAUAUAAGACAGACAACGUGGUAAAGUAGUAACACGGCGGUAAAACAUAAAACCGACGUCAAAAGAACUAAAUAAUAUUUCUGGGAUUUGGUUUUCCUGGAACAGAAAAUAAAAUACAACACUGGCAUCAUAUACUAAACCCUAAACCCUAAACCCUAAACCCUAAACAUUAAAUUAUAAUUUUGUAAAAAAAGGUUUAGGGUGGUUAAACACUGAAUACCUACACCCCUAAAUACCUAAACCUCUAAAUCCCUAAACCCUAACCCUAAACCCUAAAUAAUAAUAUUUUUAAAAAAAAAUUGUACAAAAAUACAAAUGUUUGAGAAAAAUAAAACAAAAAUUGCUACGGACUCCUUACGACAAUGCCAUCUUAAUUAGAUUGCUAAAACCAGUAUUUUAAAAUUUUAAAAAAAAUUAUCCCCACCAAUGAAUGACACAAGCCAUAUGAUUGUUUAUAACUCAAAUUACAUUUUUGAAAGCUUUAGGAUAAAGACAAUAUCUCAAUGGCUGCAUAGGAGUUAUGGUGUAUUUCUUUUUGGAAAUUUUACAAAUUUAUUAUGAAUAUUAUGAAUUAAGGUCAAUAAUUUUUUUUUAUAAAUACAACAAACCACGUCGGUUUUAAAUCCGCAUAUGACGUUGUAUGCAGUUUAAACUUCGUUAUUUAUUCAGAUAACACAUUUACGACGUCAUACCUUUGGACGUUGGUUUGGUACUCCUACGUCGUCUAUGGUAGUAACCGACAUGGUAAGGAGAAUAGACAGCACAAAGCCUAUUCUUAUAAAUAAACCGACAUUGUGGUUUAGUACAGAAGGCAGAAAAUAAGUCAAAACUGCCACUAAAGAUUGUUUAAGACGUCAGGAAUAUAGACGUCAGUUAAAUAAAAUAACGUCAUUGUAAGUAUUUCAAAAUUCAUUUGAAAUAUCAUAAAGUUGACCAAACGAUGGUUUUAAAAAGGGAUGGUCGUUGAAAUUGCAUAAGACGUCAUUUGUUAUAUAGUUAUCAACGUGGUAUUUGCUUACAGGCUCUUUGUUUUUUGUGUUACGUUAAAAGGAAAAACGUCAUUUAUUGACUUUUAAAAUAUACCGUCGUGUUACGGAAGUUUACAUGUCAUUUUAUGAAUUUACUGUCGUUUCUUUAUUUUCAAGUUUCAUAAGACGACGGUUGUUGAAACAAUCUUGUCGUUGGAAGGGACUUCAGACGACGGUUUAAAGAAUUACUUUAGUUUUAAAAACUGAAAAAUAAUUUUAUUGACAGCCAAAAAAAACAUAUACAUUAUACCCUAAACCCUGUACAAAAAAUUGUCUAUUCAAAAAAAAAAAAAUAUGUACAUUUUUCAUAACUAUUUAUAAAAAUCCUCUACUCCAUAUGAAGGCAUAAAAAUCUGCCCAUUCUUUCCUCACUUCUUGGGGGUAUGGUGCUUGAUCUUUGCCCUUUUCAAACUGCAAUCAAUAAAAAUGAUUAUUUAGACUUCAUCAAUGGUUUUGUAGAAUCUGUGAUAGAGAGCCUAAAAACCAUGGCGGUACAUCCAUUCAAACGACGGUAAUUCUAUUUACCGUCGUCCACUUACAAAAACCACAAAAAUCAAAAUCAUAAAGUUUUCCAUUUACGUUCUUCUCAAACUCCAAAGAAUGAUAUGUGAUUAUGUCUCUCAUAAAGCGCAUGACAUAAUAGCCACACUCUACCCUGCUGGGUUGCUUUGGUGUGCCUUGUAGAUUUUUUCAAAUCGGUGCUUUACAGCCUUGUCUGCCUAUGUGUGAAUUAUACAUCUUGAUAGCACUGUUUCAUGACAACAAAGUGUUAUUGAAAAAAAAAAAAAUUAGGCUACAAACACACAUUACACUUUAGUAUAUCAACUUACGUGUUCACUAUGUUUUUUGCAUUCGUCAUCAACCACUCGAUUUCCGGGUAGUGGAUCUAGAAAAUACACAGUCUCCCUCUUUGGUCUCACAAUGACCAAGACCCAAUGACGACUACACAAAAUAAACAUAGAGGUUAAACAAUUUUAUAUACACUGCAUCAUACAAAGAAAAUCGUGUUGACUAACGUACCCUGGAUUGUAAGGCAUAAAGAAAAUAUGUUCCCCAUCUAUCUUUUGAAGUCGAUUGGCUAACAAACGUGAUCUUUGAGUUAAUGAUCCAGAGUUAGCACUAACUUGAGUGGGGUCAACAAAGCCAACCAUGUUCACCAUAUUUGCUGUUUUCAAAACAUCAAAUAGGCACCUACAUAUAUGAAAUGAUGUCAUGAGUUUUUUAAUCUUUUUAAAGAAAGGAGAGUGUGAAAUGACAAUGAGUUGAUAAGGACAAACCUCAUGUAUACAGCAACCACAGUAGCCCCAAUUUCAUUCAUGGUUGCAAACUGUGUAAUAUCUUCAAUCAAGACGAAGGUUUGAUGAUCAAAACCAAACACCUCUUUCUCAGUUGUAAAUAUCAUAUCCUUCUCAUGAACCUUUAAUGUCGUCUUCAUAUAACGACAAAGGGCUUGUAAAGAAGAUGGCAAGACUAGGUUUGAGUAAUCUGGUACUUGUUGUUCCUUGUCAGAAACGUCCAAGCACUUGUCUUUCUGCUUGAAGAAAUAAGGAAAGAUAUAUAAUACAUAAGUGAAAAAACCAGAGUAAACUACACAAACUUAAACGUCAUGGUAAUUGGGAUAAACACGACGGGUAAGAGACAAAAAUGACGUGUAAAUUGAAUAACCACGACGGUAUGUAAAAACCGUCGUCGUAUGUAUUAAUUACGUCUGUAUAAAACAGAGCCCUAGAAAAGUAACAAUUGCCAAUAUCAACUUAAAAGCAUGCUUUAGCAGAAAUACAGAUACCGUGAAAUGCAGAUAAAGAGAGAAAGAAAGAGAGAGUGGAACAGAGUGAGUGAAGAAAAAUUGAAAAAUAAAUGAAAAUACGACACUAUCUGAAUCCCCAAUACCGUCGUGGUAGUUAAAUUCCGACGAUGGGUUAUUUAAAAAACAGACGUGGUAUGAAAUUAAAACGAUGGUAAGUAAAAACCGUCGUCUUAUGUUUUUAUUACUUCGGUAUGAAACAGAGCGCUCCAAAAUUAACAAUUGAAAUUAUCAACUUAAAAGCAAUGCAGAUAACAUCAAUUGCAGAGAGAGAGAGAGAGAGAGAGAGAGAGAGAGAGAGAGAGAGAGAGAGAGAGAGGGACAGAGAGAGUGAAGAAAGAUUGAAAAAAAAAAUUAAGACACUAUCUAAAUACCCCAUACCGUCGUGGUAUUUAAAUGACGACGUCUUAUUAAAAAAACAGACUUGGUAGGAUAUUUAAUACGUCGUUAACCAAAAAACGACGUCUUAUGGCAUAUCUAACGACUAUAUUGAACCCCAGUGACGCAUAUGUAUUUCCAAAUAAGAAAGAAUUUCAAAUUUCAGAGAAUUUACCCUUUCAUCUUGCUUUUCUGCAUCCUUGGAUUUCUGUUUUAAGAAAUAAAGAAAGAUAGAUAAGACAGCUUGUAUAAGAAUGAAAAAUUUCACAAACGUACUGUCGUAGUAAGGAAUACACACGAUGGUUAAUAAUAGAAGAUGACGUCUAAUUUAAAUUGAGAUGACGGUAAAUAAAAGACGUCGUUGUGGGUUGUUUCUAACGUCUGUAAUUAAGGUAACGACAUCUAAUUGGUUUUCAAAAGCAGUAUGCAGAGUUCAUAGAAGUUACCAUUUCUUGUUGUUGGCCUCCAUCUUUGGCAUUAUCAUCCUCAAAAUUGAGGGCUCUAACAUCAAGAGCCCCAGAGCAGCUUGCUUUAUUUGACAUUGGAGUUUUGGGACUUUGCUCAGGACCUUGGAUAGUUGUUAGUUUCAGCAUGCUUGGAUCAAAAUUUGGAAUUAGUUGGCGCAGUUGAUUCAGCAAAUUCUCCCUCUUAGCUUUUACCAAUUGCUUGGUUCUAGCCUCCAUCUUCGAGGUCUCUUCUUUAAGGACAUCUCUUACACUUUCCUUUAAUUGAUCAGCAAACUUUACCCUUUGUUGUCUAGCUAAAUUGAAGUAUUUCCUAGUGGAAAUCCCAACCCCAACACCUCUAACUCUCCCUGCUUGCUCAGGACCCAAAGCCAUAGUCAACACAUCAUUACUUACAGAGACAGUAAGAGUGUCUUCACUGACUUGUUUUUUGCAAUUCAUCCUAAUUAACACAAAGACACAUUAAAGUCAAUAAAAACAUAAAGUUUGUUUCAUAUGCAAGUCUAAUUAAAAUUCCAAUGCAGUUUAAUACAAAUUUAAAACAGAGUGAAAUGAAUUUAGGCUUACAAUUAAUUUUGUUUCUUCGCAACCUUUGGAUCGGGGAUGUUAUCGUGUUUGUCUUCUCUAGCUUUCUUCCACAAGGUAGAUCGACCAAUUUCUACGCUUGGCAUGGUUUCUUCCAAAUCAUUCUCCAAACCAACAUAUCCUUUUCGAGACAAUCGAUGAUUGUACUCGCAUUUCUCUCUCCUCUAUGCUUGUUUAGCAUGGACAGACUCAAAUUGUUCUGAUAACCUUGAAGCUACAAACACAUCCCAGUGUGCUUUCUCUAUGAAUUUAUAUAAUUCAGGGGUUGUCUUAACUUCUCCUUCUCAUUGAUGAAUGGAAGGAUAUGAUGCCUCGUUAGUGUAGACUUGAAAUCCUUCCAUUUCUUGCCAGCAGAUGAUAACACCAUUUUUUUACCCCCUUGCCCUACCACAUAAGCCAUGUCAACGGCUUCCCAAAUAUGCUCUUUUAUAACCUUGGGGAUUUCAGUCCAUUUCUUGUCCAUAAUUGGGACUCUGGACCUUGCCAACACACCAAUAUAGGAUUGCAUCUCAGCAUGUGCAGGGCCAUAUGGUUUCCCCCUUUGGUUGUACUCAAUAACUGGCUUGAUUUUCUUCAAUUUUCUCUUCACAACACGGGGCAUUGUGUUUAUACCACGACUAGACUUUGGCUCCUCAUAAAAUGUUGUCGUGCUGCCUGGUUCUAUCUUAGCAGGUGAAACAAAUUUCAUCUUCUUCGAGGGCUUGGUUUGAGGUUUAGAUACUUUAAGCUCCUUACAUUCAUUUUCGUUCAAGCUAGAAUCCUUACUUGGCGCUUGAGAAACCAUGGUUAUAGAGAAAUGAGACCUGCAAGUACAGAAAAAAUAACAUAAAAGUCAAUAAGAAACGACGCUUAUUUAAAAAAACGAUGUACUAUAAAAUUUCAUACAAAGGAAUAUAAAAACAACCGACGCAAUAAGAAUUAUAUAACGACGGUAGUUAACUACCAACGUGGUUUGAAAGUAACACGAUGUAAAUUUUGAAUUUUUCACGAUGGUAGUAAGAAAACGUCGUGGUUUUACAUUACAACGACGUGAAAUAUAAAAUACCGUCGUCUUAUUAAAAUGAAAUACAAAAUACAGAGUACUGUUUUCAGACCAUUUGGUUCUUGUCUUUAUAUUUGGAAAAACUUAAAUUGAUUUUCACCAGAAAAAAAGUAAAAAUAUAUUUCAACAAACGUCGUGGUAUUCAAUUACAACAACGUUAGUAAUAAAAUAUAGUUGUCUUCUUAAUAUGAAAUUAAAAAACUGUUCCAAGACCAUUUGGUUUACUACUUCAAACACAAAAAGACAGUAGAUUUUAUCAUCGUGGUCAAUGACACUUUGUUCUUUGUCAGUAGAUUUUAUCUAAAAAGUAAAAUGAUUUUCGCAUGAACAGGAACAAAGAUGAGAAAUGCUUACCUUUUGCUUGCAAUGAAAUUUAUCGCUUGCAAAACAAGAACAAAAAUGAUUUUUCAAAGACAAAGACGAAGAGGAGAGGAAGCCGAUGAGAUUCAGACACGGUACUUUGGGAACAAAAAUGAGGACAGCGUGAAAUUUUUUCUCGGGUUUGGAAACAAUAUAAAUGUAGGUCAGGAAAGGCGAAAAGUUUAAAAUAUUAACGAACCGUUUCAUAACACGAUGCUAUUAAUGACAACCGCCCUAGUAAAUGGUUCUACACGGUUGUAAAUAUGUAGUUCACGCCCUGGUAAAGAAUAUUAAACGACACACACUUUUCCGACGUGGUUAGUUUAACUUAUAAUUCAAUAGUGUUAUAGAUGUCGUCGUAGUAUUUUUUUAAUAAUAAGUCGGUAAGUUUACCUGUACUGACGUCUUUACUUUCUACGUCAGUUACUUAAUAGAUUCUGUCAUUGGUUUUUCGCUCUAAGUACAAGACAACGCAUUUUAGUUAUGCGUGUCGUGGUUUCUCUGCAAAAACCGCCCUAGUAAGUCUUUAUUACGUCGUUAAACUAACAGAAACGGAUGUCGUUAGUAUUUUAUGCGCAGGGGCGGAGCUACAGCCAAGCCUGCCAUGGCCCUUGCCCCCCCCCCCACUUAAUUAUUAAUCUCUUGUAAUAUAUUAUAAAAUAUAUGAUAUAGCAAUAUAAUUACUGCAAUUAGAUUAGUAAUGGCCCUCCCAGUUGAAUAUGAAAAACCUAGUAGAAGUGAUUUUGAAAUUUUGGCCCCUCCAUACGAAGAAUCCUAGCUCCGCCACUGUUUAUGCGACUAGAGGGUUGGUACGAACCGACGUAGAUUACUUUUGUUAGACGGCGGUAAGUGUAAUGUAACCGACAUGGAUGUGAAGAAUUUUUUUUUUAAAUUGGGUUUUUUUCACGCGUUCUUUCAGUUUCAGUUUUCAAUUAGGGUUACAACUUCUUCUUGCCCUUGGCUUUGUCUCCCCUCUUUGGAGGCAAUAGUUUGGAUGUUGAUGUGUGUGUGCGUUUGUAUAUCUGAAAGAUACAAAUACACACACAUCAUCAACUUCUAAAAAAUUGUCUUUCUGAAUGCAAAUAUGUGGUUGCCGUCGUCAAUUUUUAGAGGCAAAUUUUUUGGAUGUUGAUGUGUGUGUGCCUUUGUGUAUCUCAAAGACACAAAGACACACACAUCAUCAACAUCUAAAAUAUUGUCUUUCUCGCACAUUGGUGGUCCGAUUAUGAUGAGGAACAGAGUUCCCUCUGGUAAGAUUUCAUAUCUCUUGGGAUCUCAGACUAAUCUGAUUAUGUUGGCGGUUUUCUAUAUAAACCGUCAUGGUUAUUCUCAAUUCUUGUCAUUAUGUUGAUCUACCAUCGUAAGCUACCAAAAUCCAAGAAAUAAAUCGUAAAAAAAAUUAAUAAAUAUUAAGACGACGGUUUAGAUAUAAGGUGAGCCGUAUAAAGUGAAUAAAUACGAUGGUAAUUUUAACUUCACGACGUGGUAAAUUUUAUUAUACGGCAUUAAUUGAACAAACCGACGUGGUAAAGUUAUAGAUACCGUCGUAGUACAAUACAAAAUAAUAAGUCGAUAAAUUUAUCUUUACCAUCGUUGUACAUUGAUUUAAUACGGCGAUAUUUUGUAAUAUACCGACGUAGAUUUUUUUUGAAAUUAUAUGGCUCCAAAUACAAAAACUUGGUCGUGUUUAUUACGGAGUAAAAAUGGCUACUGUUGUUGCACACCGUCGUCUUUACUUUCUGCGUUGGUGGAUUCAUACCUUCUGCCAUUGUUUUUGAGCUCAGAGUUUACCUAUGAGGAAAACCUUUUCAAUAAGACGACACUUUUUUAAUUUGGUGCGUCGUUUUUUAAAAACACCCAUUGGAAUCUCCAUUUUUUAGGUGUUUAAAUUACUCAUACACGGCGGUUUUAUAACACUGUCGUCUUUUUGAGCACAACGAUGGUUUUUUGUUAAACCAUCGUUUUUUUCUGGUCGUUUUUUUCACUUUUUGUAGUAGUGCUAAUGGAUCACACACCUUAAAUGGUUAACUUUGAGUAAUACAAAUGAGAACGAGGAAAUCAAUUUGAUUGAUUUGAUGUAGAUGAUUUACUACGAGUAAAAACGUAUUUGGGCCUCGAUAAUAGUUAACAGGAAGCCCAAAUGGUUGAGUAUCAAGCCCAAGGGCUUAAGACACCUAAAUAUUAUGAUUUAAGUGUCACAAUGCCCAAUUUUGGAAGCUCAAUGGGGUUUGGCCGAAAAUGCAUAAGUAAAUGUGUUUGGGAAUUGUUUCCAUAAGCUCAUUAACACACAAACACAAUCCAAUAUCAACCAAAUAGGUUUAGGAGAUCGAAGAGAGAUAAAAUAGAGUUUUCAAGAGUGAAACACUUUCAUCUUUCAAGGGGUUUAGAUUGAAACCAAUCUUGAGAAUCUUGCACUAGCAUCCUUGUAUUCUCAAGAUACUUCCUCUCAUCUCAAGGUUCCAUUGGUGUAGAGACUUAGAGGCCAUAUACUUUUGUGGCUCACAUGGAGGAGAAAGAUCAAGGAGCAAAAAUCAAGAUCAAAGAGGAGGUCAACAAAGAGGAAUUCAUCAAGAGAAGACCAAACACAAAUUGGUUCAUAUAAUUGCUUCAAGGGUAAUUAGAUCUUAUCAUUUCUCUUGAAUUUUUCAUUUAUGAAAUACAUAUCAAUGUUCAUGGCUUAAGAUACUUGGAAAAAGUUUGUUUUUGAAUGUAAACAAUCACCAUAGACUUCCGCUGCGAUUAAUUUGAUUAAAUGCAUGUUUAAUAUUCAAAUGAACUUUGUAUAAAUGUUUUAAAUCCUACCCAAAAAAAAAAAACCCAUGCCACCCUCAUCUCAACCUCCCCAACCAUCGUCCCUCCUCCUCCCUUGACCAGCCACAACAACAACCACCCCUAGGGCUCGUCAAUGGGCCGGGUCGGGCUAGUCCAAUUCAAAUUUAAUGGACUUGGGUUGGGUCGGGCUGAGCUAGACCGAGCUUUAAAGAUGAGAGAGAAAAUACCGGACCGGUUAUUUUUAAAAAAUUCAAAGCCCAAGCCCAACCCAUGGGCCGGGCUAAGCCUAACGGGCAAGGCUGAAAUGAGCCUACUUCAUUAAAAAAAAAAAAUUCAUAAACUUAAUCAUAAGGGCAUUUUAGUCCAAAUUUGAGAUUAAACUCACUUAAUUCCAAUAAUUUCACAUCAAACCAAAUUCAUAAAACACCAAAUAAAGUCACACAACUUAAUAAGAUUUUUCACAAAAAUAAUAAAACCAAGUAUUAUGUUUGAGGUUAUUACAUAAUUAGACCGUAAUACGUUUUAAAAAAUAAUAAGUAUCAAAUUUUUUUUUUUAAAGGAUGGUAUGAAUAAAUAUGCAAAUAUUUGGUGAUGUGUUCAAAAAAAGCAUGAUUAUAUUUGGUGGUACGAUUAUGUUUCGUGAUAUGAUUAUAUUUGGUGAUGUGAUAUGUUGUUCAUCUUAUAUAUAUAAUUAUUGAAUUAGUAAUUGACACAAAUUAAUGUGCUAAUCAUCCAAUUAUAAACUAGGAAUGAGUAAAGAAAAGUAAAUGAAAUGAAACAAAUUAUAUAUGUGAUUUAAGUGAUAUAAUCCUAAACCUAAACUCUUAUUUAUACAUAAUUAUAUAUGUAUGCGGGUCUAAUAGGCCGGGCUUUUAUAGGCAGGCCGGGCCAGGCUUUCUUGGGCUUAAUCGGGCCAGGCUUAUGGCCUGGGCCGGGCUUCAGACACCUAAGCCCAAGCCUAGCCCAGUCGAAAGCAAGCCGGGCCAUCUCAAAGCCCAUAACGGGUCGGGCCGGGCUUUUUUUCAACGGGUCGGGCGGGCUCCCAUCAGCCCAUGAGCCCGUGGGCCAAAUGAUGAAGCCUAGCCACCCCCACCCCAUCCUCAACCCCAGCCCACCCCAUCACCACCCCUUCCUCAACAUCUAUUGAACAGACCCCAAACCCACUCGAAGUAAAUGAAUAAAUUGAAUUGAUACAAUAAUUAUAAUAAAUAGAUAAUUGAAAAUCCAAAAACCCCCAAUUAUGUACUCUACAUAACCAACACCGUAGCAAAAACCCCCAAUGGCCACAGCUUCGGCAGUGGAGAAACUAUUCAAAUGGCACUGUUAUUGGCGAGUGCGGGAGCCUAUGAGGGAGAUCCAUCAUAACAUCUCGUCCCAAAAAUCACUGUUCAAUUGAUUAUUUAUUAUGAAAUUACAUUUUUGCCCUUAGGUGUAGGGCACUUUAGUCACUUUUUAUUUGGAAAGGAAUUUGGGGAAUUGAGUGGCACCGUUGAGUUGAGAUCAACGAUACGAGUUCGUAGACAGGCGUCAUGUUCAAUUCAGAGUUAAAACGAAGAAGUUAUGAUUUACGGAAAUGUAGUUGAACAACCGCAAUUUUUGCAAAGUUAAAAUUUAAAUAUCCCAGCUUCUCUCUCUCUCUCUCUCUCUCUCUCUCUCCUUCACUAAAACAAACCGGCCACUUUGGCUUGCAUUUUCUCCUCCUUCUGACCACGGCGACCUAUUAAACGUUCAUCUCUUCUUCCUCUUCACGUUCAUACCCAUUUCCACUUUCGAAACUCCAAGAUUGAUCGCGAUUUUGGACUAGAACUGAGCGAAACCCUAAUUUGUGGCCCGGCAAAGUUCGUACGAUUUCUAGCGAUUCCGGCAGCCAUAUGAAACUUCAUUCCCUCAUCAUGCUCUACUUGUUUAUGUACUUAGUUUGGAUCGAUUUUGAGGUUUUACAAAUCAAUUCUUAAACCCAUUUUUGGUCGUGGUCCAAGAACAAAAGUUUAUCCCUUUGUUAGUUUGAUCGUAUUGGUAUAGGUGUUUGUCAGGAGUUUCCGAGAAAUUCCCGUUGCAGGAAAUUUCUCAAAACAACCACGCACUAGCAGCGCCGGGUGACGGCGUGUCGGCCACUGUGUGGCACCCUAUUGAGUUCUAAAUUGUUUCCCUUGUCAUCAUGAGCACGACGGUAUGCUCGGAUUUGGAUUUGGUUAUCGUUUGACAUUUGAACAGAUAUUGCACCUAUUUUGGUUGGGAGGUGUUUGUGGUUUGGUUGUUUGAUUUUAAAACGGUAUUUUCCUAUGAGAGUUUUGUUAACUGUUUAUGAAUUAUUGUUCUAUCACUUUUACUUUCUGAGAAUGAUAUAUCCAUGUUUAUUUUUAUAUGUGUGCUAAAAUGGAUUAAAAAUUGGAUUGUGUUGUUUUCGGAAAUAUGGUUGUCUUUGGAGAUAUUGAUAUCUUCUUCUGACAUCCCGGUUGCCUUCUGAAAUAUUGAUGUCUUCAAACAUCCUGGUUGUCUUCAAAAAUACUGUUGCCUUCGGAAAUAUUGAUAUCUUCGGACAUCCUGGAUGCCUUCGGACAUCCUUGAUGCCUUCGGACAUACAGUUACCUUCGGAAUAUCUUCGGAUAUACAGUUGCCUUCGGAAUGUCUUCGAACAUAAGGUUGUCUUAGGAAUAUCUUCGGACACCUCAGUUGCCUUCGAAUUUGUCUACACACGUAUGACAGUGUGCCCACGAGUUUCGAGGACUCUUGUGUUGGAAAAUUUAAUAUUAACUAAUAUUGAUUUUCCUAUUUGAAUGGAAAUUAAUAAAAUUCAUUGGGUUAAAGGCAUCUUCACAUGGGGGGUGACAACUCUUCAAACCAAGGGAUGCAUUGUUUGGGGUGACAACUCUUCAGACCAAGGAAUGCAUUGUUUGCCUUUUCAGAUUGAGAUACCUUUUUAGAAAGGGUAUUUCAUCAUCUAUAAAUAGAGCAAUCCUCCUACAGUUUUAUUCAUUCAGUUUAAUUCUCUACAUAUAGACUUUCACAUAUAGAAAGCAUUAGAGUUUUCAUAAAGGGAGGUUCCUGCAUAAUUUGGUUCAAAGUUCCUUGUGAAUUGCAGUGCUUCUUUCAUAAGGAGGGGAGUCGUUGUAUCCUGGGAGGCGAACGCUAGUGAACCAUAAGCACCAGUGUGGGGCGUAAUUCGUCUUAAGGUCAGAGUGUCCAACACUUGCCUCGACUCAAUUAAGGUUCUUUUAAUUACAUACUACUGUUGUAAAAAUUUGUUUUGUUUGUAGUGUUUAUUUGAUUAUUUUAUAGCAAUUUAGCACUCAUAUUUCCUACAUCUUGAACCGUGUAAUGCAAGGAUUUGCAUUCUCAAGUGGAGUAUAUCUCCCUGAGUUAUGCGAGGAUUUGCAUUCUCAAGUGGGGUAUAUUUUCUUGAGUUAUGAGAUGAAUGCGGUCUCAGGCCGACCUCGUUUCCUCCAAGUUCUAUGAUGAUAUAUCACAGACGUGGCCACAUGUGUGGUGCAAGGGGAAUUGACAAAUUAUUUGUGUUCUUAGGUUGAGUAUAUCUCCAUGAGUCCUAUGAGAGGAAUUGAUAGUAUAUUAUUGAAAUUGAUGGAUUAUAUUUGAGGUACAGUUAAAAGGAUAUUCUUCACCACCCUCCCUGCUCACAUUAUCUGCACAGGGUUGGCCAAGAUCCCUAGUCACCUACCCGACUUGUCUAUACAGGGGGGUGGUUAGCUAGUUUUCCCUUCCCCUGUUGCCUUCGGAUUUGAUGGUAUUCCCAUAUCCCCUCCCCCCCUUUUAGGGUCAAGCCUCACAUAUCCCUUGAUGGGUGAUUACAGGAUAUAUGCAAUAUGUGGAUAAUUGCAAGUAUGGCUUUCUGGUAAAAGGUUUGGUUAUGUAAGUGUUUGGAUGUACAGCGAUAAACUAAUUGAAUAGUUAGAUACAUAAUUACAUGGUAUGACAUUCAGUUAUAAAGCCCCUCAUUGUGAGAGAAAUACCUUUAUAGUCCGCAAUAUUUCAACGGAGCUCUAAAUAAUGCUCUAUCCACCAUAUUUAGAGCAUCAACCAGGAUGGCCUUAGAUAACCUGAUAAGAUAAACAACGCCAUCCGCCAUACGAAGUGGUGGCGUUAGAUGAGGUUUGUAAAUUAAAUCACCAUUUUUUCCAAUCCACAACGUAAAGAAAGAGUUGAAGGCAUAUAGAAACAAACAACGCCGUCCAAAUAACAAAAUGCAUCACACUCAAACAGGGACAGUGGGACAUUUUUGGUAGGUGCUUUCAGGAAAAAUGGUUAAAAAGAGGUUGAGUAGGUGCUUUCAGGAAAAAUGGUUAAAAAGAGGUUGAGUGGGGAUGGGGAUGGGGCUCUAUAUUUUAUGUAUUUUUUAUUUUUUGUCUCUCCUAAGAGCUGGUUCCCCUCAUGAAAUGAGCAGAAAAAUUCUCCACCACUUCUUAUUUUAGCUGCAUGUAGGCUUCCCAAGAGAUAGAAGAGAAGUUCACUUGGGGUCUGCAGGCUCUUAGAGCAACUCCACCCAUUUGCCUUUUGCUAUGGUAAGGGAGGGGAUAAGGCAGCUACUAUUCACAUGAAUAGUGAUUGCCCUUGUAAAAAGCCAUUUCUGUUUCCACCCGUUGCCAUGACAAAGGGCAAUUACUAUUCUUUUUUUUUUUUCACAAUUUUUUUUACCUCAAUAAUUAAUUUGGAUAAUAUUUUCGGAUAAGAUUUUCGGGUUUCUAUGUGUCAAUACUAUUCAUAGCUCAUAAUCGGAUAAAAUUUUCAGUUUCAAAUUUCAUAUAAAUUUCAAAAACAAAUUGGCAGGUAUUUAUAGAAAAAAAUUCACUAAUUUUUGGGUAUUUUUAAAAAAAAAUUCAGAAUUUUUUUUAGUAUUUUAUGGUAAAAAAAUUGGCUGUCAUUAGAUUGGAAGAAAAAAUCCGAUCGGAGAGCCCAGACGACAUCACAUGGCAACAGAAAAAAAAAAAUUCAAAUGAGUGGGCUGACGCCAGCCUGGCGUCAGCGAUGACAUCAACCCAAAACUCGAGCUCGUGCUUGGGCUGAACUCCCCCUCGAGCCAGCCCAAGGUCGUGGCCCCCACCUCCUGCCCAGGCAAACCUUCGCUGCUGGAAACAUGAUUUGAACUGCUCUUAUACCCAAGCAAGUUGAAGUAUUCCUCCCUUUAUUUAUUUAUUUAUUUUUUUAAGAAAAGAGAAAUAUAUUAGUACUGUCUAUUUUGCCACAUGGUAGGAAAGUCCCCACCUAAGUUUUUCUCUUUCGUGUUUAUCUCCUAGCAUGUUGGAUAUAUAUAUAUAUAUAUCAGUAGUGAAAAAAAUGCUCAUGUCCUCUAAACAAUUGUGCCAAAAAUUAACGGCUGGAAGAAGAAAGAGAGAGAUGGAUUUCUUGAGUUGUGUACUAUUAUGUCUAAUGGUUGCCUGGAUCGUAAUCCAAGCCCUCCAAAAUUCAUUUGCAAGAAGAAUUCCCACAAACCUUCCACCUGGACCAAAGCCAUUUCCUUUGAUUGGAAAUCUCCUAGAGCUUGGAAACAAACCCCACAUCUCACUAACCAAGCUUUCAAAACGCUAUGGCCCCAUUAUGACUUUACAACUCGGCCAACUAACAACAGUUGUAGUUUCUUCAUCCAUCGUCGCCAAACAAGUCCUCCGAACCUAUGACCGAUUCUUUUGCAACCGAACGAACGCAGAUGCACUCCAAGCCUGCAGCCAUGCCAAGCACGGCAUGCCCUUCAUACCUGUUUCAGCUAAAUGGAGAAACCUUCGCAGAAUAUGCAACUCCCAAUUGUUCGCCACCAAAGUUCUCAACGCCAACCAAGCCAACCGUCAACUAAAAGUGCAAGAGCUCAUAGCUGAUGUCAGCGAAAGCGUGGUAAAAGGUAAGGCAGUUGAAGUUGGAAGGGCUGCUUUCUUAACUACCCUCAAUUUGCUGUCACGUACUGUCUUCUCUGUGGAUCUAGCGGACCCGAAAAGUGAGACGGCUAGAGAGUUCAAGGAGUUGGUGUGGGGUAUCAUGGAAGAGGUCGGGAAACCAAACUUGGCUGACUAUUUUCCUGUGCUUAAGAAGAUUGAUCCCAUGGGGAUACGGCGCCGUUUGACCAAGCACUUCCGGAAGAUGAUUGACCUCUUUGACCGCUUGAUCUUCCAAAGGUUGGAAACAAGAAAAUCACAUGAUUAUGUCACAGCCAAUGAUAUGUUGGAUACUCUUAUAAACAUGAGUGAAGAGAAAAAUGAGGAUAUGGACAUUCCUGAAACUCAUCAUUUGUUUCUGGUUAGUUAUGGAUAUAGCUUUCCUACAUAUACUAAUUGCUAAUUAGAGUGUAUCUUUUUGUGAUUAUUAAGGUUGUUUUUGGUUUUGUUUAUACCAUCUAAACUGACUUAAAGACGGUUGAGAUAGUACACGUAGUUUUAUUAGUUCAUUAUUAUACAUAUAUGCUAGCUCCGAUUAAUUUUCUGACUAAGUAAUCAGCCAUUUGGUGAAUAAUAUAGGAUUUAUUUGUUGCGGCCACAGAAACAACCUCAGCCACAUUGGAAUGGGCAAUGGCUGAGCUACUAUGCAACCCUGAAAAACUGUCAAAAGCUCAAGAGGAGCUAGAACAAGUAAUUGGGAAAGGGAAACCAGUUGAGGAAACAGACACUGCUCGACUUCCUUACUUACAAGCAAUAAUCAAAGAGACCUUUCGGUUGCACCCAGCUCUUCCGUUUCUUCUCCCCCGCAAAGCCGAAGCAGACCUGGAAAUCUGCGGGUAUUUUGUACCCAAGGGUGCACAAGUGUUGGUCAAUGCAUGGGCCAUAGGCAGAGACCCUGGCUUUUGGGACAACCCGGCCUCAUUUAUCCCAGAGAGGUUCUUGGGAUUGGAUAUGGAUGUCGCUGGCGGAAGCUUUGAGCUUAUCCCGUUUGGUGGUGGGAGGAGAAUAUGUCCUGGCUUGCCCUUGGCAAUGAGAAUGUUGAACUUGAUGUUGGGUUCACUUCUUAACUCGUUCCAUAAUUGGAAGCUUGAAGAUGGAGUUGUACCAGAAAACAUGAACAUGGAAGAGAAGUUUGGCAUCACUUUGCAAAUGGCUCAGCCUCUGAGAGCUGCUGCCAUGGCCGUGCCAUAAAAUAUCCUACUAGCUAUUUGUUUUUACCUAAGUUAAUAUGUUGUGAAAUUGAAUAAAAACUAUUCAUGCCAUGGAAUAAAAACUAUUCAUGCCAUGGAUACUCUCACAAGUUCCUCCAAAUAGGUUGUGUCCAUUUUCUUGCCAUGGAAUAAAAAUUGCAUAUUUAACUUUCAGUUGUCCAUUUUUUCUUAUGCUCAUCUGGAAUGGAUUUUGUUUACUCAACGUUGUUUUAACUUCUAGUUUCAGGUUUUCUUCUUCGUGUAGAGCAUUCAUUUUAUUAUAAUAGAUUACAAAACCCAAUCUGAUUUUAAACAAUAAAAUUAUUGCCAAUAAUGAACCAUUUGUUUGAAAGAAGAAAAUUAUUGGCAAUAAUUAAUAGUUUUAGGUGGGUCGAGAUGACAUAUGGGAGAAGAAAAUAAUGGAAGGAAACAACAAAGUAAGAUCCAUUUGUUAAUCAAAGAGUUUUUGCUGUUCACAGUCGCUUAAGGCAACUGCGAAAUCAAACUCUCUCUUUAUUUGAAAAACUUCAAAUUUUUCGCUUUCGUACCAACUAGAGAUUAUAACGACCUUUCGAACAAUAAAUCGAGCGAAGAACAAUUCCAACCAUUGCAUUUCUUGCUAAAAUAUGAAACCUAACUUGAGAAUAUUUGUUUGUAGGAAUUUUUUAUGUAUUCUUCUCCUUGUAGGAGAUCAUAUUUAUAAUACAACGAAACUUUAAUGGGCAAGUAAAUAAUAAAUUCAUAUUUCUAUUUACAGUAGGAAAUCAGGAAUUAAAGUAAAUCAAUUACAAUUAUAAUAAGAAUUCUUGGUAUGAAAAGAAAGUAAGUCAGUGGUCCACAAGACACGCCAACACUCUCUCUCACGUUGGUACAUAGAUGUCGUCAAUGCCCAACUGAUCCAGUGAAUUGUGGAAUGCUUUACUGGAAAUUGCCAAUUUGGCGUCAGCAUUGACAUCAGCCCAAAACUCGGGUUCGCGCUCGGGCUGAACUCCCUCCUGGGCCUACCCAGGUUCGUGGCCCCCACCUCCUACCCGGGCAAGCCUUUGCUGCUAGAAACGUAAUUUGGGCUCAAAACGCUCCCAGCCCGCCCCCUAACUUCUCCACUGAAACUGCUCUUAUACCCAAGCAAGUUCAAGUAUUCCUCCCUUUAUUUAUUUAUUUUUUUAAGAAAAGAGAUAUAUAUUAUUACUGUCUAUUUUGCCACAUGGUAGGAAAGUCCCCACCUAAGUUUUUCUCUUUCGUGUUUAUCUCCUAGCAUGUAGGAUAUAUAUAUAUAUAUAUAUAUAUAUUAUUGAAAAAAUAUGCUCAUGUCCUCUAAACAAUUGUGCCAAAAAUUAACGCCUGGAAGAAGAAAGAGAAAGAUGGAUUUCUUGAGUUGUGUACUAUUAUGUCUAAUGGUUGCCUGGAUCGUAAUCCAAGCCCUCCAAAAUUCAUUUGCAAGAAGAAUUCCCACAAACCUUCCACCUGGACCAAAGCCAUUUCCUUUGAUUGGAAAUCUCCUAGAGCUUGGAAACAAACCCCACAUCUCUCUAACCAAGCUUUCAAAACGCUAUGGCCCCACUAUGACUUUACAACUCGGCCAAAUAACAACAGUUAUAGUUUCUUCAUCCGCCGUAGCCAAACAAGUCCUCCGCACCCACGACCAAUUCUUCUGCAACCGAACUAUCCCGGAUGCAGUCCAAGCCUGCAAGCAUGCCAAGUAUGGCAUGCCGUGGCUGACGGUUUCCUCCACGUGGAGAAACCUCCGCAAAAUAUGCAACUCCCAGCUUUUCGCGGCUAAAGUUCUCGACGCCAAUCAGGCCAACCGUCACCUAAAAGUGCAGGAGCUCAUAGCUGACGUUAAGGAAAGCGUUGUGAAAGGUAAGGCGGCUGAAGUUGGAAGGGCUGCUUUCAAAACUACGCUCAAUUUGAUGUCACGGACUGUGUUCUCUGUGGAUUUAGCGGACCCGAACAGUGAGAGGGCUAGAGAGUUCAAGGAGUUGGUGUGGAGUAUUAUGGAG
rnacentral:lncRNA from 1 species